rnacentral:lncRNA from 1 species
GAGUUGCUUUUGUUACCCUUUAUGUGACGGCCACACUGCUGUCACAUAUGUUACGAACCGCGUGACGGUGAAGAGCCGUUCGGUAUACUAAUAUUUUAGAAUUUUAAAUUUAUUUCCAGUUAGAAAACUAUUCGCUGGACUCCGUGUUGCUGGCCACCAUCGUAAACAUAACUGGUUGCCAGCGAACGGCGUAAAACGCCGGCCAUCUUCUUCUUCAACGUAUUCUCCCUUCAUCUUUUGAGGUAAGCUUGUGAUUAUGAGUUUCUUCUCUUACUUAGCUUGUAAUUAUAGAUUUUGAUUUUUUUUAAUUCGUAUUGUAGCCGUUAUUGUCAAUUUUUGUCCCGCCAGCAAUAUUUUUUUAUUCCUACAAGUUGAACCCCUGUGUUCUUGUUCCAUUGGUGAGUUUGCUCACUCAAAUUAAUUUUGUUCUGCGGAAUUUACAAAGUUCAAAUGGAUUCAUUUGAAUUACUAUUGAAUUUAGCUUUAAUUCCAACAUCCAUUCUAAUGUUUUGCAAUUAGAUUUAAUUUAAUUUUAUGUUUAAAGCUUCUACAAUGAAUAGCGGAGCUUGGGUUUUAGUUUCAUUUUCUGGAUAACUUGUUUUAGUUUAUCUUGUAUGCUCACCAAAUGCUUGUUAUAUUGUCUGAUAAGUUAUAUACAUUGCUGAUUCUACAUUAAUAAUGUUACGUUGUAUUUUCAGAAAUUAUAAUACAAAAGUUUUUGCAAUGGCGUGCAUCUACAAACUGAAUUGACUUGUAGAAUAAGAGCUCGGAGUAGUGUUAUGUUCUUGAAUAAUUGAAAGUUCAUAUUGUGUAAGAGCAUGUAGAUGUAAAGCAUCAUUACCAUUUCUACAAAGUGCUUUCAUUCUGUUCAUAUGCUCUUCUUGAACUUUGAAAGGUGCCUCGUUCAAGUCCUAGCUAUAACUACUAGCUUUGAUUAAUUAAGUUCCUAUACUAGCUGAAACAGAUUUAUUUAAUUAAUUAAUUGUGUAUGUACUAAUUAUAUUGAAAGUAUAUGAAUUUUUUUUUUAACAUGAAUGACUUCUAAAUGACUUAAAAACCUAAAGGAUGUGUGAAACAAUGCUCAUUUCAUUUGAAUGAGCCCAUUAAUACUUUUAUGUCUAUGAUUUUCAAUAUUGGCUAAAGCAUUUCAGUUAAGUGGUUUACCUAACAGAGAAAAAAAUUUAAUAGAAAACUUCAGAGUUCUAACAGAAAUAUAGUUCACUAUGCAGAUAUAGUUAUUUUACGGUAUACAAAUCAAGUUGUCCUAAUCUCAAUGUCCUAUGACCGAUUUUAUUUUAUAUAGUCAUUAAUUUUUUCCUUGGUUUUUUGUGUUUAUGAGUAUGAAAUAGUGGGAUUUGGUGUACCUUAGCAUCUUUUGAAAAUUCUCUUUCAGUGUGGCCAACAGAAAUAUACAUAUAAUCAAGUUUCUUAAUCGUGUAUAUUAGUUUUGGGUAUGAAUGUUCCUAUUCUAGUUCGAGGCAAAGCUUCUUCGUUUUGGUCUUCAGAUUUCCAGUAGGUUAAGUUAAUCAACUAUCAUAACUGGCUAGCUAGUUAUUGUCUGCCUUGGCGCCAUUACCCAGGCCAUUAUAUUGCAUAGCAUAAGGAAUAGUGAUUAGGGGAUUAUUAGUGAUUUGUUGAGCUUAUUAUCGACCAAACAAACAUAUUCGCCUUUGCCCACAACUUAGUUUGAUUAGUUAUUAGACCAUAAAGAGCCUUGAUCUAUUCAUUGGCUUUAUUAUUUUUAUUUGGUUUUUCUUUCAACAAUAUUGUUGAUUUCUUAUAAAAAUAUUCAUUGGUUUUUAAACACCUAAUCAUUGGCUAUAUGAAGCUAAUUAAAACUGAGGCUUUGGAUCAAUUUCUUCUAACAAGAUACAAAUGAGCAUUAACCUAUCUCCUAUGAGUAAAUUUUUUUAAUAUCCUUGAUUUGUAAGGAUCUGGAGGCCUGAAAUCCUCUAGAUUUUUUUUAACACUGUCAAUGUUCUUUUUAUUCUGAGAAGGAAAUAAAAGGUUUUAUCUUUCAUACCCAAAUAGUAAGCUGGCCUUGUCUUAACAUGGCCUCCCGAGGACUUGCAAGAUUCAUAGUGCCCCCCACCCCAAAAAAUAAAAAUAAAAAACACAAAUAGGAAGAUUUUGCAAGAUUCACCACCAGGUUUUUUUUAAUUUGUUAAUUGUGUGUACGUGCUAGUUAUAUGUUGAAAGAAUAGGAAGAAGUAUUUCAACAUGAAUGACUUAAAACUUAUUGCUCAGUAAACAUAAUCUGCAUGUAUUUAUCGUUUGUAUUUUUUAUGGUUUUGCUAAAGAAAUGAUAUGUGAAAUAAUGCUACAUUGCAUCAGGAAUAAAUUGAAGAGAUUUAUGAUAUUUAUGUGUUAUUCAAAUUUCAGAUUCAAUUUUAAACUUUUGAUACGUGCAUUGAAAGCUUAGACUUGUUUAAGAAAUUAUUAAUAGACACAUGUUUUUAUUAGUGUCAUCUUUGGAUGAUAGUGAGGAUCAUAUGUCUAUUAAUAAUUCUUGAAUUGUCCAGGCUUGGACAGUUUGGGAAUGCAUAGUUCACUCUGGUAGCUAGUAGCUGAAGUUUUUUCCCACGUAAAAAUGGGUUUUUCAGUAGCUGCUCCUCGUGUUCUCUGGGUACGUACUAGGUGAAUGGGUGUCAUGUGUUGUUUUGGCAUAACGCAUAAACACUUAUAUAGCUAUGUCGUGUGCUUGGAGAAUUAUAGGGAGAUGGUGCCGAAAUUUUUAUAAACGUGGAAGAAAACUUUAGGUACUUGAGAUUGAAGAAACUUAUGCAUUCUUGAGUGGGAUAUGUAGGAUUACUUACCUUUUGUAAAUAUGAAGGGAAUGUUGGAUAUAUUGGGGAUAGUGUAGGAGCUGAGUUGGAUGAAUGUAAUUGGUGAUGAUUUUGCUGAGCUGACCUUGGUUUUGAGCUUGUAAUUUUGUUUGUAAAUGGAGUGCUAUCUCCAAUGUUGGUUUAUAAAUAUGUUUCAGGACUUGCUGACCUAAUUUUUUGUUUCUAGGUUACAGGCUUUAUAUAUCUGUAAUUGAUGGCGAAGUGAAGUUCCCAGAACUUGGCGAGGAUGUUUCUUUACAGAAGGUAUUGGAAACUGUUUUUUACAUUAAUUAUUGUUGUAUAUAUACUUUGAUUUUCACAUCUUUUUCUCUGAUUCUUGUGGCUUUGCUUGCUUUCAUAUAUGUAAAUUCUAAUGAAAUUAACCAUAAAAUUGUAAAAUGAUCUUUUUAUUAUAUUGCAAAACUGUGCACACACGAAAAUAUAUUGUUUAGUAGUAGAAAUGAAGAACUAAAAUGAUUUACUUAACUAAUUUUUGUAGCGCAUUAAAAGGAGAUAGUCAUGGACAUGUGUUGGGUUGGUUUGCCAAAUAGAUAUCCAAGUCAUAUACUGAUGGGGAUGAAAAAUUUAUAGAUUUUGCAUUUGAGAAUGUUGUUGGUGGUACAAGAAUUUAAUGUCCUUUUAAGAAGUGUUGUAAUCUAUAUUUCGUUAUAAGGAAAGUGGCUGAUGAUGAUAUGGUUGGAAUGAUACAAUGCAUCACGUAAUCAAAUGUUCAAGUUACACGGAGCAUUGUUAUGGACUAUCAGUGACUUUCUAGCAUUGCCAACUUGUCUGGGUGGAGUAUUAAAGGUAAAUAAGCAUGUCUUGUUUGCCAACAAAACACUAGAUCUAAUUGGUUGAUACAUAGUAGAAAAUUUUGUCACGUGGGUCACCGUCGAUUUUUACCAACAAAUCAUAGGUUUCGAAAAUAUAGUGUCUUUUGAUAAAACUAGAGAGUAGGGACCAGCACAUUCUCGGUUGUCUGGAUCUGAAGUGAAAAAGCAGUUUAAUAUACUUACUGAGUAUAAGAUUGAAGACUUGAAAAUAGGAGAAUGAAUAAAAUGAGAGAAAUGAUAAGAUUACUUGGAAGAAGAAAAGCAUAUUUUAUGAACUACCGUGUUGGGAGUUCAAUUUGAUUCAUCAUAAUCUUGAUCUCAUGGGCUGUUUUGAUUUUUGUUAUGAACUCAGAUCAAAAGUUUAAUGUGAUCAAAAUUUCUUAAAAAUAGUGAAAACGACUCCUAAUAAUAUGGAAGAUGGCUAUAAAAGAUAAAAGGAAAGGCUUAAAAAGAAAAGCCAUGCCUGUCCAAAAAAAAAAAAAAUCAACAAAAAUCAAAACGGUGCGUUUGAGAGUGUAUAAAAUACAUUUAGAGUGGGAGUUGUGUUGUUGCUUGAAGGCAGAAAGAUAUUUGUCGACGAAGCCAAAACCAAAGAUGAAGCCCAUAAAGCUCAAAACUCCACCGGAGCAAAUUCAGACAAUUACGAGGGUUAUGUUUGACAUAGUCAAGGAAGACGGUCCUCUCACCGUUGCCGAAACUUGGGAACGCGUCAAGGUGUGUGUAUCUGUUAAAUUGAAUUUCAACCGUUUGAUCUGUAAUUAUAAUUAAUCCAAUCGAUCUGACAGUGAUCACUGACCAUAAUACUAGUAGUUGUUUUACAUUUUCAGCAGGCUAGAGCGGGUGGAUUGACGGGCAAAAGCUCAGGCUCGUCUGCAAUCACAUGGGCCCUCAUAAGCAAAUCCUGUACACAACUUGGUUCACUAAACCCAACAACUUGAAGCAGCCAAAAUCAGGGAAUGAUCCUUCUCCGUCACAACCCUAGCUGCCUUAACCUUGUAGUGACACGGUGAAGAUGGAAGCCCCUCAGCAUGUAAACUUUUCAACAGCGACAGAGCUCUUAUUCCAGAGGCUGCACAGAAGAGCGACCUGAAUCCUCUUCAAAACUUUCAAAUUUUUAUCAAGUAAAGCUUUCAAAAUUUCUCAACAAACUGAUUAUUUGGUGUGGUUGCCACAUUUUGUGCAACUGCUAUUCGUCUUCAAGUACAAAUUCCUUGCCUUCUAAGUUAGGGAACAUAGAUGUGGAGCAAACAGGGAAAUAGAUGUGGAGCAAACAGGGAAACAGCAAUGAUGGCAAUUAACAAACUAAUAGCAGUAUUACAUUUGAUUCUUUAGCCCAAUUUUGUUCCUUCUGUCAGCCAUUCUUCAAAAGUUUUUGAAAAUUAGAUGUGAAGCAAAAAAAAAACAAAUUUAGACAACAGAAGCCCUGUGCUCAACAUCAUAUAUAUACCUUGAAUACCUAAUAUACUAAAUUUCACAUAUAAAAUACUAGAGAUUUCAAACAGUACCAGCAAUAGAAUAAUGACAACGACAACAAUAACAGAAAAUUACAAGAUUGCUGACAAAAUUUAUGUGAUUUACUGUGCCUUUAUGCAUGCAAAAUGAAACUGAAGAUAAAAAAUUUAGGGAAAAGGACACAGAGACCCCCAACGUUUGAAUAAGGGACACAAAAUCCCUUAAUGUUUCAAAAAAGACACUCAGACCCCCAUUUGUUAACAUUAAAUUAUAAUUUUACCAUUGUACCCUUAUAGCAUAUUAAAAAAUAAUUAUUCAUUAUCCAAUUUAUUUCUAUAUUAUUAAUAAAAUUACGAAUAUAACUUCAUUACUCAAUUUUUCCAUUUAAUUUUUAUCAAAUUUUAUCUUCAAACUAAAUAAAUUUAAUCCAUUGCUCAAAAAUAAAAAUAAAUUAAAUUGAUUAUUAAUAUAAUAAAAAUAACAAUUCUCCAUAUGUUAUUUCUUAUAAUUUCUUAUAUAUAAAUUAAAUUGAUAAUUUCUUAAAAAUAACAAUUCUCCAUAUAUAAAUUAAAUUUAUUUUAAUUUAAUAUAUGUUAUUUUUAUAUUAAAUAUAUGUUAUUUUUAUUAUAUUAGUAAUCAAUUUAAUUUAUUUUUAUUCUUGAGUAAUGGAUUAAAUUUAUUUAGUUUGAAGAGAAAAUUUGACAAAAAUUAAAUGGAAAAAUUGGAUAAUGAAGUUAUAUUCGUAAUUUUAUUAAUAAUAUAGGAAUAAAUUGAACAAUGAACAAUUAUUUUUUAAUAUGCUAUGAGGGUAUAAUGGUAAAAUUAUAAUUUACUGUUAACAAAUGGGGGUCUCAGUGUUUUUUUUGAAACAUUAGGGGUUUUGUGUCCCUUAUUCAAACGUUGGGGGUCUCUGUGUCCUUUUCCCAAAAAUUUAUAAACUAGAAAUUUAUAAUAAUCUAACUUAUUCUCGUUACUAUUAAAAAAUAAGUAAACAUAUCAAUAACAAUAUAGUUUAUUAUGAUUAUAAUUCAUUCAAUUAAAAUAAAUAAUUUAUUCUUAUUUCUAUUCUCUAUUCUAAUUUCAGUAAAUUUUGAUUUUAGUUUAUUUUAAUUAUUGAUUAGUUGUAAACUUAACUGGAAAUUUAUUGCAUAUAUUACGAGAAGCAGUACACACCAAUGGUAAAUUGAUACAUCGUUUUUGAGCUUAAGAUAGUCAAAUGAAAGAAACACAACGUAGGGUUCAUGAAACACUUUCAAAGCUGCUGAUGACUUAAAGUGAAUAACCUCAGCAUGUAAACUUAACUUCAAAGGACGGAGCACAAGUUUCACAGAAAAACAGCUCUUAUUUCUGAUGCUGCGAACACAGAGGAGUGACCUCAAUCUUCUUCAUCACUUGGGAAUUCUGCAAUUAUAGAGCACGACAUUGAGCAUGAACUAGAAAAAAUAUUUAUUUUCUACAAUUUUCAUAUAACCUCACUAACCAAGAUUAAUUUUGUGGUAAUGUAUUGGGUCAUUAAUUCAUAUGUUUUUACUGUCAUCACUUUAGAAAAAACUAAUUUCUCAAUGUGAAAUGGCCCAUAAAAGGUAUUCUCAUUUAAAAACUAAAUUUGACAAACCCCUCGAUUAAAGCAGGGGAGAGAAAAGAAAAAAAAAAAGAUCUGAAGGCUUUCCACAUGAAAAUGUUGUCACUUUGGAUGAUAUUUUCAAGGGAUUUCAUUCUAAAAAUAAAAUACCUGGGACCUUAUUCUUCAAAUUGACAGCUCGCCCAGUACUAAACGCGUAUGAGAUCAGUACUGGGACAAGUAACGAGACGACCCCUCCAACAGCUGAAAAUAAAAUUCGCAUUCAUCAAUUUAAAUUGAAAUUCAUAUUAUGAAAUUAAAACUAAUGAUUAAUGAAUUUUCAAGGAAUUUAAUAAGAUUCUCAUAUAUAAACGUGAUAAAAAAUUCACUCAUCAAUAACAAAUAUUCUAACAUUUUGUUGAUGUAAUUGUUGUAUGGUUGUGUUAAGGUCAUUAUUAGACCAACGCAGUUUGUCAUCACUCAUUCCGUACCAGACGUUUACUCUCGGAGGCGUGAUUGAUUCUCCUUUGGUGAAAUCUUCAUCUUCGGACAACCAAUCACAGUAAGAUAUUCCAAAGAUGGGAAUUUGAAGGCGUAAUUGCCAGAGGAGAAGCUUGUGAGACUAUCUAAAUCAAACAGGGACAACGUAGUCAGUUUGCUGAAAACAAUCUCUUCUUUUAAAUAUGCUGUUUCAUUUCAAGACUGGCAAAAUUCAUUGUGUAAUCAAAGUUUUCAAUGAUCCAACUAAUAUAUAUAUAUAUGUAUGUAUAUUCCUUCUCUAGUGCAGACAUUCUCAUUUUUUUUUUUCAUGUGGACCAGUUUUUAGAUCCCCUGGUUUAAAAGAGUUAGUUUUUAACUCUUUAAAACCGCAUGGCUUCAUAAUUUAUUUAAAAACUAACUCUCUUAAACCGCACGGUUUAAAAGCGUGUCCACAUUAAAAAAAAAAUACGGACCCCCACACCUGAGAAUGAUUAUAUAUAUAUAUAUAUAUAUAUAUAGACACACGCUCUUAAACCGUGGGAUUUGAAAGCUUCUCCGCAUGAAGAAAGUAAAAAAUAAGGGCAUUCCCACUAGAAACAAACUCCAUAUAGGUAUUUAUUAAACCUCCUGAUCUGUGAGUGAGGAACAACAAAUAUAAUUGAUAAAAAAAAUCUAAAAUUUGGUUUCAUACCUUCUUGAACGAGAACAGGGUUGUUGUGCCGGAAUACCAAAUUGAUCAUUCUCGUUAUUCUGGGACAACGUUAUUUUAUCACAAUUACAGGCCUCCAAUGUUUUUUAGUGCUGGCCAUUCUGAAGUAUGCAUUCCAGGGUAUAAACAUCCGAGUUCUGGUAGACCUUCGAGAUUCAGAGUGGUCACUUGUGGAAAGACAAAAUAUGGGGUCACUUGAUCUGCUCUGUCUUUGGAGAUGAUCUCUUGUAAACCCAUACAUAUCCGUAUCUCCAGGUGUUGGAGGUGCUCAAGGCUUUGGAUCAUAGAAGCUGAAAAUAUGUAUUUUAAUUUGUCACAGCCCCACACUAUCAAUCGUGUCAAACUUUGAAAGCCGCAAGUUGAUUGUCAUGCAAAAUCUCGUCGACAUUAAUAGCAUUCAGCUCCAAAGCCUCCAAAUUUGGCAACACUACCUGAAGAUAAUUUUCUCUUUAGAUCCAAUAUCCGUAUGGAAAGCACUUGUUUUGACACAAUAUCCAUAUAAGAAGCACUUAAUUAAGAGCUUAAUUAGCGAGUGUAUGAGACUUUUUUUUUUUCAAAUGCCAGUGCAUGAUAGAACUAAAAAAAAAAAAGAAGCAUUAGCCUACGUACCUUCUCGUUGAAAAGCAGAGUUGACGUUUCCGAACUGAUCUCGUUGGAACUGGCUGUCAAUUCCUCUUGCGACUCUUGUCUGUUUGGUGAUGUGGAAGAAGUCUUCACUUCACCGCAAAACCUUGUAACCUUUGGAAGCUUUCCCAGACUCAAAGAUCUUAAUUGACCAAACUCUAUCUUCCCAUCAACAUCAACAUCAGCUUCUCCUCCAGUUGCAAAAAUCUCUUCCAUGCUGCUGCAAUUGAUAACUGCAAUCCUCUCCAGUCUUGGAAGGCAUUUUGUACUACUAGAGAGCCAGAAGAUAUUACUCAACUCAUCACAAUUUUCUACUUUUAUGGUUUUGAGUUCAUUGAAGGACUCUAUUUGAGUCGAUCAAUACAUAUCCUCUCCAUAUUGAUCAAAUUUUGAAGAGUAUGGGACUCCAAAAGAGGAAAGGCGACACAUGGUUCUCUCUCCAUUGAAUCGACGAUACACAGGAAGUCUGGAUUAUUUUGAACAUGGAGAUGCUUCAAUUGUGAAAAGCCCUCAGUGUCCAAUUCUAAAACAACAUUCUUGAUUCCUUGCAACUUAUCCAAACAUAAGUAUUCAACGUUAUUGAUGCGCUGCAACUUCUCGGAGCAAAUGGCCAUAGAAUCAAGCUUGAGCUUCAAUGUUCUUAAACUCUCAUGAUUACUGAUCAUAAAGUGCUGCCGACUUCAAACCAAUCAUUCUCAAUAACCAGGGUAGAGUCGAAUGAUGCAUCUCCUAUUGAUAUAUCAAACCUUUCCAGCUUUUUGGAAAAAAAGCCAUCCGGUAAAAUGCUAUCAUUUUUAACAUCUAUCUAAGGUGGUCAAUCGCCUCAUAUGCAUCAAUUCGUCGAGGGUGGCAUUACUUCUUUCACUAUUGGCCUUUUCAACUUCCCAUUCAAUAGGGGAAUUACCCAUAUACAGUUCUUCCAAUCGAGUGAAGCUUGAUAAGACGUUGGGCACAAUAAAUUUUAGUUGCAAAACAAUCUGUUAAAUCUAACAGCCUUAACUUAGUCAGUUGACCUAGUUCGCCAGGCAACCGUACAAUAUCAGAAUUUAAAAAGCUAAGGAUUUCUAGAUUCUUCAACUUUCCAAUUAUGGCUAUGUCUCCCAACAUGCUUUGAUCUAGACAGAGUGUUUGAAGAUUGCUAGAAGACCGAUUGAAGAUGGCAAUGAAAAUAAUCGCAUUCGUGUCAAAUCUACAACUCGAAGCUUUUUCAGCCUUUGAAAAUGUUGUCAGGAAUAUUGACCUCAACAAAAAGUGUUUGGGAAAUAUGUAAAAAUUCAAGUUGCAGACAUUCAAAUUCCUCAGAAACUUCAUGAAUGCUACUAUUUAGUAAAAGAGAUUGCAUAGCAUUUUUUAAGUGCAUCCUCAUCUGGCCACUCCCACACAGCCUCAUUUCUCACCAAUAAAGCAUGUUGGUCUCGAUUUAAACUUUAACUCAAUUUGAAAAACUGAGCAAGUAUGCGUUACAGGAAAUCAAAAAAGCUCCACAUACCCAGAUCAUGAUCUCACGUUGAAUCCAGGUGGGAGAUAUAUUUAUGAUCAAGCCCAACAAUCGAAGGGGGCAAAAAAAAAAAAAAAAAAAAAAAUCUACCAGACAUAUGAUCAUAUUGACCACGAGCUUCAUACGCCGUGGAUUUAUUAACAAAAGUGGAAUUAAUUAAUCAUGAGCAUGUGUUCUAGUUAAGUCAAAAGAGAACUUAAUUAAGAACGCAUAUAUAAUUCAUAAUCAGCACAUAAAAAAUCACUAGUGCUUGCCCCUCCUGCCCUUGCCGUGCUUGCCGUGCUUGCCCCUGCCCUUGCUCUUUCCAUGCUGGUAGUAGCCGCCGUGCUUGCCGUGUGUGUAUGCACCGUGAGCUCCAGGAUAUGCGUUAUUAUCUGCAACAAAAUAAGAAAUUAAAUCAUAAGGCUUAUAAUUAGCUCGCUCGCUAAGAGUGAUUAAAAUAAUACCGUGCGGAACGGAUGGGCCAGGAUAUCCCGUUGGUGUGUAACCACUGGCGAGUGCUGCUCCUGUAGGCGGGUAGCCGGCACCGGCUGGGCAGCAUGAUCAGCACCUUCCAUGAUUUUGAUGAUCACCUAAUAAAUAAUAACUUGGUCCAAAAUAAACAACAAUAAAUAAUUGUGAUUAAUAAAAAGUAAUAUAUUCUCUAAUUAAAAACAUUAAUGAUCAUUGGAGAGCAAGCGAGAAAUACUUACUGAAUGCGAUGGGACAGACAACAUCAUGCAUAGAGAAUUGUUCAUCUUCAACGAAUUUGGCUGCCCGGUCAAUGAUGCCGUUAGCACUAACCAGCCACUUCUCAACCUUCUCUUCAAUCUCUUCCCCUUUUUCUUUUGCCUCUGAAACUCUGCGCCGAAUGCUCGUACGUUCAACCUUCAACUUCUCCAUUUCCGUCUUGAGAUUCUCAAGGUGGCAUUGUAGUUCCGCUUGCGCAAAUAAACAAGUUGGCGUUCUGUUGAGGAGCCAAGCAUUUACAAGUUCCAAAACGAGAGUAACAAUGAUUUCCAGCAUCUUGAAUCCUGACAACAAUGUAGAAGUGAAGAAGGCCAAAGGACAGUCAAAACAGAGAGACAGCGUUACGACAACAGUUAUGAGCUAAAAAUAAAUAACAAACAAACAGAAGCAAAGUGUUUUUCGAAUGAGAAGAAGGAAGCAAGAAAAACUUAAAACUAGUAUAAUAAAUUUAUACUAAAACUAGUAUAGUAAAACAAGAAGUCAAGAACCAGCAACUUUUACACACAAAAUAAAACCUUAAAACUAGUAUAAUAAAUUUAUCAUCAAGUUGCAGCCUUCUUAUUCAACAAUUACAGCAUUAUCUUGAGCUCUGUGUUUCUUUUUUUAAAAAUUAUUCAAAAAAAUCUGCAUUUUUUUUCAACGAUAAAAAUUAUAUUUUUGUCUCAUAUAAUAUAAAAUUAAAAAAAAAACAAACAUAUAUUAAAGGUCUGUUUGGGAUUAUUUUUAGAGGCUCAAAAGUAAUUUUUUAAAAAGUUAAAUGCUAAUUUUGGUAUUUAAUAAAAUUUUUAGAAGUCACCUUUGGUAAAAUCAUCAAUCCUACAACAAAUUUUGAAAGCAAAUAGUUUUUCAAAUUUUUAUUUUGAUAAUUAAUUUUAUACUUAAUAUAAUUCCAUAUACAUCCCUACAUAUAUUAAUUAUCCUUAUUAAUUAGAAAAUAAAAUUAUUAACUUUAAAGAUAUUAUCAACAAUUACAUUGAGAUAACAAACUAAAAAUAAAAUUAAUAAUAUAAAAUAUUUAUUUUAGUAAUCAAUUAUUAUACUUACAAGAUAAAAAAUAUUUUAUUUAAAUGUUUAUAAAUGUACAAAUAAAUUUUAUUUAAUAUUAUAUUCAAUUUAGUCAUUUACAUUGUCAAUAGGACUUCUAAAAAUAAAUUUUCCUAAAUGUUUAACUAAUUCUCUUCAUAGUGAUUAUUUNUUUUAUUAUAUUAGUAAUCAAUUUAAUUUAUUUUUAUUCUUGAGUAAUGGAUUAAAUUUAUUUAGUUUGAAGAGAAAAUUUGACAAAAAUUAAAUGGAAAAAUUGGAUAAUGAAGUUAUAUUCGUAAUUUUAUUAAUAAUAUAGGAAUAAAUUGAACAAUGAACAAUUAUUUUUUAAUAUGCUAUGAGGGUAUAAUGGUAAAAUUAUAAUUUACUGUUAACAAAUGGGGGUCUCAGUGUUUUUUUUGAAACAUUAGGGGGUUUUGUGUCCCUUAUUCAAACGUUGGGGGUCUCUGUGUCCUUUUCCCAAAAAUUUAUAAACUAGAAAUUUAUAAUAAUCUAACUUAUUCUCGUUACUAUUAAAAAAUAAGUAAACAUAUCAAUAACAAUAUAGUUUAUUAUGAUUAUAAUUCAUUCAAUUAAAAUAAAUAAUUAUUCUUAUUUCUAUUCUCUAUUCUAAUUUCAGUAAAUUUUGAUUUUAGUUUAUUUUAAUUAUUGAUUAGUUGUAAACUUAACUGGAAAUUUAUUGCAUAUAUUACGAGAAGCAGUACACACCAAUGGUAAAUUGAUACAUCGUUUUUGAGCUUAAGAUAGUCAAAUGAAAGAAACACAACGUAGGGUUCAUGAAACACUUUCAAAGCUGCUGAUGACUUAAAGUGAAUAACCUCAGCAUGUAAACUUAACUUCAAAGGACGGAGCACAAGUUUCACAGAAAAACAGCUCUUAUUUCUGAUGCUGCGAACACAGAGGAGUGACCUCAAUCUUCUUCAUCACUUGGGAAUUCUGCAAUUAUAGAGCACGACAUUGAGCAUGAACUAGAAAAAAUAUUUAUUUUCUACAAUUUUCAUAUAACCUCACUAACCAAGAUUAAUUUUUGUGGUAAUGUAUUGGGUCAUUAAUUCAUAUGUUUUUACUGUCAUCACUUUAGAAAAAACUAAUUUCUCAAUGUGAAAUGGCCCAUAAAAGGUAUUCUCAUUUAAAAACUAAAUUUGACAAACCCCUCGAUUAAAGCAGGGAGAGAAAAGAAAAAAAAAAGAUCUGAAGGCUUUCCACAUGAAAAUGUUGUCACUUUGGAUGAUAUUUUCAAGGGAUUUCAUCUAAAAAAUAAAUACCUGGGACCUUAUUCUUCAAAUUGACAGCUCGCCCAGUACUAAACGCGUAUGAGAUCAGUACUGGGAAAGUAACGAGACGACCCUCCAACAGCUGAAAAUAAAAUUCGCAUUCAUCAAUUUAAAUUGAAAUUCAUAUUAUGAAAUUAAAACUAAUGAUUAAUGAAUUUUCAAGGAAUUUAAUAAGAUUCUCAUAUAUAAACGUGAUAAAAAAUUCACUCAUCAAUAACAAAUAUUCUAACAUUUUGUUGAUGUAAUUGUUGUAUGGUUGUGUUAAGGUCAUUAUUAGACCAACGCAGUUUGUCAUCACUCAUUCCGUACCAGACGUUUACUCUCGGAGGCGUGAUUGAUUCUCCUUUGGUGAAAUCUUCAUCUUCGGACAACCAAUCACAGUAAGAUAUUCCAAAGAUGGGAAUUUGAAGGCGUAAUUGCCAGAGGAGAAGCUUGUGAGACUAUCUAAAUCAAACAGGGACAACGUAGUCAGUUUGCUGAAAACAAUCUCUUCUUUUAAAUAUGCUGUUUCAUUUCAAGACUGGCAAAAUUCAUUGUGUAAUCAAAGUUUUCAAUGAUCCAACUAAUAUAUAUAUAUAUGUAUGUAUAUAUUCCUUCUCUAGUGCAGACAUUCUCAUUUUUUUUUUUUCAUGUGGACCAGUUUUUAGAUCCCCUGGUUUAAAAGAGUUAGUUUUUAAACUCUUUAAAACCGCAUGGCUUCAUAAUUUAUUUAAAAACUAACUCUCUUAAACCGCACGGUUUAAAAGCGUGUCCACAUUAAAAAAAAAUACGGACCCCACACCUGAGAAUGAUUAUAUAUAUAUAUAUAUAUAUAUAGACACACGCUCUUAAACCGUGGGAUUUGAAAGCUUCUCCAUGAAGAAAGUAAAAAAUAAGGGCAUUCCCACUAGAAACAAACUCCAUAUAGGUAUUUAUUAAACCUCCUGAUCUGUGAGUGAGGAACAACAAAUAUAAUUGAUAAAAAAAAUCUAAAAUUUGGUUUCAUACCUUCUUGAACGAGAACAGGGGUUGUUGUGCCGGAAUACCAAAUUGAUCAUUCUCGUUAUUCUGGGACAACGUUAUUUUAUCACAAUUACAGGCCUCCAAUGUUUUUUAGUGCUGGCCAUUCUGAAGUAUGCAUUCCAGGGUAUAAACAUCCGAGUUCUGGUAGACCUUCGAGAUUCAGAGUGGUCACUUGUGGAAAGACAAAAUAUGGGGUCACUUGAUCUGCUCUGUCUUUGGAGAUGAUCUCUUGUAAACCCAUACAUAUCCGUAUCUCCAGGUGUUGGAGGUGCUCAAGGCUUUGGAUCAUAGAAGCUGAAAAUAUGUAUUUUAAUUUGUCACAGCCCCACACUAUCAAUCGUGUCAAACUUUGAAAGCCGCAAGUUGAUUGUCAUGCAAAAUCUCGUCGACAUUAAUAGCAUUCAGCUCCAAAGCCUCCAAAUUUGGCAACUACCUGAAGAUAAUUUUCUCUUUAGAUCCAAUAUCCGUAUGGAAAGCACUUGUUUUGACACAAUAUCCAUAUAAGAAGCACUUAAUUAAGAGCUUAAUUAGCGAGUGUAUGAGACUUUUUUUUUUUUCAAAUGCCAGUGCAUGAUAGAACUAAAAAAAAAAAAGAAGCAUUAGCCUACGUACCUUCUCGUUGAAAAGCAGAGUUGACGUUUCCGAACUGAUCUCGUUGGAACUGGCUGUCAAUUCCUCUUGCGACUCUUGUCUGUUUGGUGAUGUGGAAGAAGUCUUCACUUCACCGCAAAACCUUGUAACCUUUGGAAGCUUUCCCAGACUCAAAGAUCUUAAUUGACCAAACUCUAUCUUCCCAUCAACAUCAACAUCAGCUUCUCCUCCAGUUGCAAAAAUCUCUUCCAUGCUGCUGCAAUUGAUAACUGCAAUCCUCUCCAGUCUUGGAAGGCAUUUUGUACUACUAGAGAGCCAGAAGAUAUUACUCAACUCAUCACAAUUUUCUACUUUUAUGGUUUUGAGUUCAUUGAAGGACUCUAUUUUGAGUCGGAUCAAUACAUAUCCUCUCCAUAUUGAUCAAAUUUUGAAGAGUAUGGGACUCCAAAAGAGGAAAGGCGACACAUGGUUCUCUCUCCAUUGAAUCGACGAUACACAGGAAGUCUGGAUUAUUUUGAACAUGGAGAUGCUUCAAUUGUGAAAAGCCCUCAGUGUCCAAUUCUAAAACAACAUUCUUGAUUCCUUGCAACUUAUCCAAACAUAAGUAUUCAACGUUAUUGAUGCGCUGCAACUUCUCGGAGCAAAUGGCCAUAGAAUCAAGCUUGAGCUUCAAUGUUCUUAAACUCUCAUGAUUACUGAUCAUAAAGUGCUGCCGACUUUCAAACCAAUCAUUCUCAAUAACCAGGGUAGAGUCGAAUGAUGCAUCUCCUAUUGAUAUAUCAAACCUUUCCAGCUUUUUGGAAAAAAAGCCAUCCGGUAAAAUUGCUAUCAUUUUUAACAUCUAUCUAAGGUGGUCAAUCGCCUCAUAUGCAUCAAUUCGUCGAGGGUGGCAUUACUUCUUUCACUAUUGGCCUUUUCAACUUCCCAUUCAAUAGGGAAUUACCCAUAUACAGUUCUUCCAAUCGAGUGAAGCUUGAUAAGACGUUGGGCACAAUAAAUUUUAGUUGCAAACAAUCUGUUAAAUCUAACAGCCUUAACUUAGUCAGUUGACCUAGUUCGCCAGGCAACCGUACAAUAUCAGAAUUUAAAAAGCUAAGGAUUUCUAGAUUCUUCAAACUUUCCAAUUAUGGCUAUGUCUCCCAACAUGCUUUGAUCUAGACAGAGUGUUUGAAGAUUUGCUAGAAGACCGAUUGAAGAUGGCAAUGAAAAUAAUCGCAUUCGUGUCAAAUCUACAACUCGAAGCUUUUUCAGCCCUUUGAAAAUGUUGUCAGGAAUAUUGACCUCAACAAAAGUGUUUUGGGAAAUAUGUAAAAAUUCAAGUUGCAGACAUUCAAAUUCCUCAGAAACUUCAUGAAUGCUACUAUUUAGUAAAGAGAUUGCAUAGCAUUUUUUUAAGUGCAUCCUCAUCUGGCCACUCCCACACAGCCUCAUUUCUCACCAAUAAAGCAUGUUGGUCUCGAUUUAAACUUUAACUCAAUUUGAAAAACUGAGCAAGUAUGCGUUACAGGAAAUCAAAAAAGCUCCACAUACCCAGAUCAUGAUCUCACGUUGAAUCCAGGUGGGAGAUAUAUUUAUGAUCAAGCCCAACAUCGAAGGGGGCAAAAAAAAAAAAAAAAAAAAAUCUACCAGACAUAUGAUCAUAUUGACCACGAGCUUCAUACGCCGUGGAUUUAUUAACAAAAAGUGGGAAUUAAUUAAUCAUGAGCAUGUGUUCUAGUUAAGUCAAAAGAGAGACUUAAUUAAGAACGCAUAUAUAAUUCAUAAUCAGCACAUAAAAAGAUCACUAGUGCUUGCCCCUCCUGCCCUUGCCGUGCUUGCCGUGCUUGCCCCUGCCCUUGCUCUUUCCAUGCUGGUAGUAGCCGCCGUGCUUGCCGUGUGUGUAUGCACCGUGAGCUCCAGGAUAUGCGUUAUUAUCUGCAACAAAAUAAGAAAUUAAAUCAUAAGCUUAUAAUUAGCUCGCUCGCUAAGAGUGAUUAAAAUAAUACCGUGCGGAACGGAUGGGCCAGGAUAUCCCGUUGGUGUGUAACCACUGGCGAGUGCUGCUCCUGUAGGCGGGUAGCCGGCACCGGCUGGGGCAGCAUGAUCAGCACCUUCCAUGAUUUUGAUGAUCACCUAAUAAAUAAUAACUUGGUCCAAAAUAAACAACAAUAAAUAAUUGUGAUUAAUAAAAAGUAAUAUAUUCUCUAAUUAAAACAUUAAUGAUCAUUGGAGAGCAAGCGAGAAAUACUUACUGAAUGCGAUGGGACAGACAACAUCAUGCAUAGAGAAUUGUUCAUCUUCAACGAAUUUGGCUGCCCGGUCAAUGAUGCCGUUAGCACUAACCAGCCACUUCUCAACCUUCUCUUCAAUCUCUUCCCCUUUUUCUUUUGCCUCUGAAACUCUGCGCCGAAUGCUCGUACGUUCAACCUUCAACUUCUCCAUUUCCGUCUUGAGAUUCUCAAGGUUGGCAUUGUAGUUCCGCUUGCGCAAAUAAACAAGUUGGCGUUCUGUUGGAGGAGCCAAGCAUUUUACAAGUUCCAAAACGAGAGUAACAAUGAUUUCCAGCAUCUUGAAUCCUGACAACAAUGUAGAAGUGAAGAAGGCCAAAGGACAGUCAAAACAGAGAGACAGCGUUACGACAAGCAGUUAUGGAGCUAAAAAUAAAUAACAAACAAACAGAAGCAAAGUGUUUUUCGAAUGAGAAGAAGGAAGCAAGAAAAACUUAAAACUAGUAUAAUAAAUUUAUACUAAAACUAGUAUAGUAAAACAAGAAGUCAAGAACCAGCAACUUUUACACACAAAAUAAAACCUUAAAACUAGUAUAAUAAAUUUAUCAUCAAGUUGCAGCCUUCUUAUUCAACAAUUACAGCAUUAUCUUGAGCUCUGUGUUUCUUUUUUUAAAAAUUAUUCAAAAAAAUCUGCAUUUGUUUUUCAACGAUAAAAAUUAUAUUUUUGUCUCAUAUAAUAUAAAAUUAAAAAAAAAAACAAACAUAUAUUAAAGGUCUGUUUGGGAUUAUUUUUAGAGGCUCAAAAGUAAUUUUAAAAAGUUAAAUGCUAAUUUUGGUAUUUAAUAAAAUUUUUAGAAGUCACCUUUGGUAAAAUCAUCAAUCCUACAACAAAUUUUGAAAGCAAAUAGUUUUUCAAAUUUUUAUUUUGAUAAUUAAUUUUAUACUUAAUAUAAUUCCAUAUACAUCCCUACAUAUAUUAAUUAUCCUUAUUAAUUAGAAAAUAAAAUUAUUAACUUUAAAGAUAUUAUCAACAAUUACAUUGAGAUAACAAACUAAAAAUAAAAUUAAUAAUAUAAAAUAUUUAUUUUAGUAAUCAAUUAUUAUACUUACAAGAUAAAAAAUAUUUUAUUUAAAUGUUUAUAAAUGUACAAAUAAAUUUUAUUUAAUAUUAUAUUCAAUUUAGUCAUUUACAUUGUCAAUAGGACUUCUAAAAAUAAAUUUUCCUAAAUGUUUAACUAAUUCUCUUCAUAGUGAUUAUUUCCAAACAUAACUACCAAAAAUUACUAUAAUAGAUACAACAUUACCAAAAAAAUAUUGAGAUAGAUUUUAAUUAGGUAAUUGACUUAAUUAUGAAUCAAUUUAUUAUUUCCAUAUGUGUUAUCAAAACCAGCUCAAUAAUGAGAUCACUCUUUUUCUUAAAUAAAAAUAUUUGUGCCAAACAAUUGUUGCAAAAUUUCAAAUAUAAAUUACAAACAACAAAAUUUUCUAAAAUCAUAACAAUAAUUUAUGUUGUGAAUACAUGUAACUAAACCACAUUGAAAUUUUAUUGUUAGUAAAAUUGUUUUUCACGCAAAUGCAGUGACGGAUUCAGUUUCAUGUUUCACCCUCAAUAACUUAAUUUUCAUAUCUAACAAAUCAUCCAUAUUAUUAACAAUAUCAUCACCAAACAUAAUCUACCUAAACAUAAACUAAACAUAACACAUACAUAUAACUAUAUACAUACCGAAUCAGGAAAACAAUGAAAGCUACACGUAUCCGGCUCUACAAUUCCUUCUUGAUACCCUUGUGCUUCUGAAAUAAUCAACCAAUUAUAAAAAUUAGCUUAGGCGCAACUUUACCCCUUUUUUGGAAAACUUAACGAUAAAUAAAGUAUACAAAUCUCUAAAUUAACUUCGUCCCCAUGAAAUUCAGCAUAAAUAGAAAUAGAAUUAUAGAAACCUUACUACCUUUUAUGAGAAAUCCAACUUAUAUAUUUGAGACCUCUCUCUCUAAACACGCGCUUCCUCUCUCUGUACACUUUCCACCUUUGAAUUUUCCUUCACUAAGUCUACCUAAAUGAAUUUAGCAUUCUUCCAGUUUCUUUAGCAUUUUUUCUCCGUGAAAAUAGGUGAAAAAGAGAAAGUGGUUUGAUUAUUUUAAUGUAUGACAGAUCUGGUUUCCAUCUCUGUAAUUUAAGUUUGUCAAAACGAGAUAAUCAACUCUUUGUCGAGUCAGUCAAAUAUAAAAGACAAAUUACUAAACCAAGCAGAGCCCAAAAAAAAAUAUUUCCAAUUAAAUAAUCAUCAAGUCUUUUUCAAUUAAAUUAGGGAGUGCAGAACAACUGUCGAGAGAUAAUCAUUGUUUAUGGAGCCAUAUUAUAUUUUCGAUUAAAAUAGUUGCGCGUGAACAAUUGGCAGAAUUCGUAUAAAUUGUUGUCAGGUCUAUUAUAAUUAACAAGCGGAAUGGCCAAUGGAUGAAGAACCACUGUAAUUUCGUUUAUGAAUUCAAAAUGCUAAAGAAACUGGACAUCAACGCUAAAUGUCAGCCUGCGGCCCUUGCCUCAGUGUCUUUCAGGCGUUACUCUGGGUAGUUGAUAUACUGACCGUCCCUUUAUCAAUUAAUAAUCGAAAUAGGUUAAAAUAUGAAUGGAUUGGAAUGGUAUGACUUGGAAUUAAAAUAUGGAAUGACGAUUAGAUUAAUUAAUUUAUUUAAAUUGAGAAAUUAGAAUCAUAAUAAAUUAUAUUGUUAUUGAUGUAUUUGUUUUAUCUUAAAAUUGCGAUGAGUUGUUACAAAUUACUAAUAUGCCUUUGAUUUUGUAUUAUGAUAAUUAUUAUUUAUUAUAACAUUUGUCAUAUAAUAAUAAUAAUAAUAACAACAACAACAAUUAAUAUUGAAAAAUUUUUAUUGUUAAUAAUAAAUAGGCAAUUAUCCACCGAUCAUGUGAUCUUUUGGACGUUUUAAAAAAUAUACAAACACUUUUUUCUUUGCAGAAAUCCACCUGAAAUUUACAAAGUGUUUCAAUUGUUCACUGUCAUCUAAAUUUUGUUAGAAUUUUCUUGACGUUGUAAGGAUAAAAUUGUUAUUUUUACCUUGACUUCCAAAGAGGAUGUCUUUCAAACAUGAUGAAAAUAAAAAAAAGGAUAAAAAAUUAUCUGUAAACUAUCUGAUCUUUUAGCCAUUAUACAAAAUAUUAAAAAAAUAUACGAACAUUUUUUAUUUUUUUCAACAAUCCAUCUGAUAGUUAUGAAGUGCAUUAGUGCUCCACUACUAUCAUAACCCUUUAAAAAUAUCGCUUAAACACGAGAACCUAUUGCCUAAAAUUAUUUUUCAAGAAAAUGUAACUACAGAUUUGGUUUUGAUCUUCAUGACUUUUAAGUGUACAAGAACAAGAUGAACGAACCUUUGUCGAGUUGAUGAAUUAAGAUAAAUCAAUUACAAAUCGAGAACAAACUUACGGGUGACAUUUUAGUAUUAAGCAAACUAUAAUUGAUCAUCCAAUGAUAGGCUUAUUUUCAAUUAAAUUAGAGUAAAGAUAGACAUUCCAAAUUUUUUCUCUCAAAUUUAAUCCUAGAUAAUGUGUUAUUAAUUGAGUGCUUGGUAAUUCUUUCAAGAUCUAAGUGAAUUAAUUAUAUUAUCUCUCCAACCAAUUGAUGAAUAUUAUAUUAUUUGAGAUAAUUUUUUUUUAUCUCAAAUCCCAGCAAAGAAAACAGAACAAACGGAGCAAAAAUAUUUUUAGAAACCUAAAAUAACAAAAAAAAACUUUUUCUUGUUUUUCUUAUUUUCCACUGUUAAACUUCAAAAUGAACAACUUUAUUCUACCAUCUCUCAAAUAAUAAUAAUAACAACAAUGUCAUCAUCAUCAAUAAUAAUAAUAAUAUAUUAACUUUGUAGGAUGGAGCUCUCGCAAAUCUUCAAGACACAAAAUGUGCUUGACCCCAUUGUUGUUAUUAUAAUUUCAAAAUCAUCUGUAUUAUAUAAUAUUAGGGAAUAUGACAUAGCAAAAUUGAUGGUACAUAUGUUGCAAUAUACUUGUUCAUGUGGCGACACAUUGAAGUAAAGCACAAGCAAAACAACGAAAAAUGUAACGGGAGAGCUCUCAUUAUGUAGAUUUUCAAUAGAAGUAAUGCAAAUUUCACAAGGGCAAUGGCCUUAUUUCGAAUGCUGCACCUGAGGAAUGACUUGAAUCUUCUUUAGAACUCAAGCAUUCUGUAAUCAUAGGGUAUAACAUUUCAACAAAAAUAUUAUAUAGGUCGUUCCUUUAUAUAUUUUCUGGGUACACAUACAGAAAUAUUAUUUUAGGUACAUUUCUCACAAUAAAGCCUGCCCAAUCUAGCAUUUUCGUAAGUUGGGUUUCUUAUUUACAUGUUUUUUCCAUUGGUUAAUUAUCACAAACCUCCACUGAGAUUUAGCAUGUUUUUAGUUUGAUAGAUUGUAUUCGCGUAUUCUCAAAUACCUUUUAGUUUACCACUUCGUAUAAAUUAAGUUGGUGAGGAUAAAAUCAUAAAAGUACACAUUAAUGAUAAAAAAAUUCAAGUAAACUUGAAAUUUUCAAGGGGUAAUUUUUCGGGACCUCCCCUGAGGUUCGGUGUAUUAAAAGUCUCAUAGAAAGUAUUCAUGUAAUUAUAAGAACCUCCCCUGACGUUAGUACACAGUUAACUUGACUGUUAGUGGACUGAUAAAAAGUCAAAAAUGCCAUUGGCUACAAAAAUGAGUGCAACAAUUUGGAGUUAAAUAGUAAACACCACAUUGGAGCACUAAAAAGUCUAUAAUAAUCAUGGAAAAAAAUCAUUGACAUUUACAUAAUAUAAAAAAAAAAAGUAAAAUAUAAAUUAAGAAAAUCAACAAAAUUGUCAACGUAUAGAAUAUUUACAGCAGCAGUGGCUAUAAAUACAACCGUCGUCAAAUUAAAAUAUCACCAUUAGUAAACUACUUCAAUAAGACAAUAAACCAUGAUUCACUCUUCAAAGCAUUCAAAAUACACAACCCGCACAAUAGAAUCACAUACGCACACCUGCUAAUGAAAUAUAAGAACAAACAGGAAAUUGAACUGACAUGGCUAAGAUACUCCUUCCCCAUAGCUAUUAGAAAGAUAAUGAGCGAUUUAUGAAUCAUGAUGCUUGCUUUACUUUCUGGCAGUGUUAGCUUCAAAUUCAAUGAUAGUAAAUGAACAAUGGUUCAUUCAUUAUGAAAGUAAGUGUAAAGCUAGGAAUUUAUAAUAUUCAGAUGUUGGAAUUGGAAAAAUAUUCCUUAAUCGUUUCAAUUGAAGCCAAGGAAGAAAAGAAAUGAGUCUUCUUUUUUCAGGAGACAAGCCAUAUGAAGAAGGCAGACCAGAGCAUAAGAACGAAUGCUACUGCCACAGUAAAAGCCUGGAUCAAUGGGUAAUGGUACCUGCCAUGUCAAUUUCAAGACAAACAAAAAUCAAUUAUCAUCCCCAGACCACAACACCACCAAACCAACCUUUUGAAUCUAAAAUAACAAGUUAAUAAAUCAAAGAUUUCAAUUCAUUUAAGUUUGAAAUCAACUAAAAUAGAAAAAAAAAACCCAAUUUCUUUUUUGUUCAAUAUAACUCAUUCAGCAUCUUCUUCAACACAUUUUUAUCAUUCUUCAUCAUCACAACAAUAAAAAGAAAAAAAAAACAUUGAGUCCAACAUGCAAGUUUUUUUUUUGGGAAACUAACCGUUUUUAGGUUCCAAUUCUAGUAGUCUUAAACAGUAGCCGCCGACGAAAUUCGCUUGGCGACACCCUUUUGCCACCAUUGCAGCUUGUCAUGUUCAUACUCAGCUUAAAAUUACUUGAAGGCAGCAGGGAUUUUAUAGUUACAAAAGUUUCUUCAGAGCUUUUCAAGCUUGAAAAUGGCUGAGAGUUUCAUUUCAUGAGAGAGAAAAUGGAGUUUUCAUUCAUCUUAGAUAAAUUGAAGAUAAUUUGCAUUGUGGGUAAUAAAUUGAUUGUCAGUGCCUAAAUUUGGGUCAUCGACACAACUUUGGAAUUUUUUUUAUUUUUCUUUGAUUUUUAUUAUGAAACUACUAAUUUACCCUCAUAUACUAACAUAUAUGAAAUGGCAUACUAACGUCAGUUAUGUCAAGCAGCUCCCUGUAAUUACGUGAAUAUUUUUCAUGAGACUGUCAAUACACAAAAUCUCAGGGGAAAUCCCUAAACAUUACCUAAUUUUUAAGUUGUGUUCUGAAAUUGGUCUCAACUUUGUAAUGUGUAAUGCCCACAAAAAAAGAAAAGGAAAAAUGGUCAUCUCUUUCCUCCAUUCGAACUGAAGCCAUGAAACGCAAUAUCCCUUUCAUCUUCUCUCUAAUGCUUUGAUUAAAAAACUUGCUUACGAACGGGAGACCAUGACACUGAAUCCGAAGACAGAAAUACCUGAGAUGACUGAUUCACGCCGGCGAUGUGGAAGAAUACCGACCAGUGACUUUCGCCGUCGACCCACAAACAAUCCCAGUGUUUUCGAGCCGCGAAUGAGGUAUGAAUAAGAUUAUUUCCGUGCGUGUCAGUUUUGUAAGGAGAUUUGAUUAAAAAAAAGAAUAAUGGGUCUCGAAAAUUUUUUGAGUAUUUCUGUUGCUUAAAUUUUUUUCCAUCGAUUAAUGUUAGUUGUAGGUGAAUGAUUGUUGCAAACGCAUGUUCGCUUGUGAUUGAUUGAAAAUGACUUGUUAUUUGUUAUGCUGCCAUGUGACUCAUUGAAAAUGCCUCUGAAAUUUUUUUAUUUGUUUAAGGUACUGAUUCUGAUUAUUGAACAGGGAUUCAUGCUAGUUUUUAUUAAAUUAAAGAUGAGAUUAUUUUUUAAGAGAUCUACCAAACCUUCUCUACUAUAGAUUUGGCUUCUGACAUACCUGGUUCGCUGGAGAUAAUUGUUUAUAUAGUCAUUGCUGCUCGUAUUAAUCAGGAACAUUGAUUAGCAAUGUACUGGAAUAGAGAUUGGUAUAAUUUUGGAAAAUUAGUCGUAGAUGCAACCUGAUUAUGGUCUCAAAUAGUGUGAUCUGUCAAUUCCGUUUGCUCUAGCCUAACAACCUUGAAUCUGAGCUAUGCCACUAUACAAAGUCCUGACCUAAUCAAGCUUGUUAGCCAAUGUCCAAAAUUGCAGUGUCUUUAGAUAAGCCCUGUCUUACUUGUUUGAGUUAUAAAUGAAAAUUGAAGUGUCUUUGGAUAAUCACGCUGAAUGUUCAAGUUAUUGAAGAGAAGGGACCCCCAGAUUCAAGGCCGGAGCUCCCUGUUGAGAAGCUUUACAUAUAUGGGAUUGUCGCUGGGCGGAGGAUCGAUAUGCCCGGUUUUGUUUGGAAUAGGGAUGAAGAUUUUGCAUUGAGGCUUUCUUGAUAGAUCAUUCUGCAAAUCAAGCUCCAUGUACCUAUCUUCAGACUCUUGGAUAUGUAUAAAGCAGGUGCAUGCUCUAUAUGUUACUCAUUGUAUCACGAUUAUUUUUCUAUUGCUUAAAAUAAUUGCAGUCCUUGAUGUAGUUGGAGACAACUUAUGGAGGGUAUACAGAGGCUCGAGAGUUUGAUUGCCAUUCAUUUGACACUUGGCUGAGCUACAGCAUACCAACUAGUGAUUAAUAAAGAGAAGGUAUGAAGGUCCUGUUGCUGGUGGUAUUAUCAAUCAGAAUUGUUAUUUUACUUAGUCAUAGUUACCAUGUAUAAGAUUCGUAGACUUUUUGCAUGUUUAUGCAUUCGCAUCAUCUUUUUGUUAAGCUAGAGAUGGUUGAUUUGUGUACUCAUUUGUAUCACUUGUAGCCCUUGAGGAAUAAAAUUUAAAAUUUUGUUGCAUCUCCUGUACUAAAUACUAAUUUUGUUUGCUUUAUGUAUGGGAAAUGGUUCAUUAUCUUAUUUCUUUGAUGUGUAUAGUGUUACACUGUCUAAAGUUGAAAAGUAUUUCUAUCACUUGUGUAAAAAACAAACAAUUUUUUUUUCACUCUUCUUAUAUUGAAUAAAAGAAGGACACCAAGAUCUUCACCAAGAUUGAACGAAAUUUGAUGCAGAAAGCAUAGCAAUUAGGCCAGUGCAAAAUAGCUUCCUUCUGAUUCUCUGAUAUUUGACUUAAAUCUUUUGUUUGUUUCAUUCAUCAAAGUCAUUUUGGAAAGUAGCAGGCGUGAUUUGAUAUUUUCAUUGUAUUCACAUCCGUUGGCACCAAAACAAACAUGCUGGUACUAACCAACAAUUUUUUAUUUUUAGUGUACAAAUUAUUAUUUUUAAGACAAAUAAGCUGGUACUAACCAACAAUAUUUUAUUUUCAGUAUACAAAUUAUUAUUUUUUUUUCUAAAUUAGGGGUAUUAAGAAAAGGUAUGCUAGCACCAGGGGAGGUAUUUGAAAAUAUACAAAUACAAUCUAUCAAACUGAGAAUACACCGAACCGGCAGGUUUCUGAUAAAUCCUUUUUUUCUUUUUCCUCCAUUCACUAUAGGUUCAAUUUAGACGCUGUUGACCAAACAGAAGGUUUGGGUUGGUAAACGCACUGGUGUUAAUGCCAACAACCCAAGGGGCUUCAUGGUCCUCUGGGCCGAAAUAGCGUAAUUAUUAAUUCUCCUCCAGUGAAAAUCUUCAUCUUGGGACAAAUAAUUACGAAUUGACAUUAUAGCUGUGGAAAUUUGGAGGUGUAAUAACCGGAAAAGUAAAAAUCUUAAGAGACUUUUUAAAUAAAAAAGAUACAACACCUUCAAUUUGCUAAAAGUAAUGGUAUCAUUUCUUGUACGGAUAAUGGAUGAUUAGAUUUUGUUUUUUGUUAUCCGACGAAGGAUAUUCAGUUGUUCUUUAUGUGUUCACAGGCAAGAGCAUGAGCAUAUUCAUGGUUUCAUAUAUGCUUCUUGCAUUUUCUAAUUAAGUACUCUCUUUCCUUGCCUUCUUAGUUUUGAAAGAAAGAUGUGAAGCAAAGCAAACCCAGUGAAAUAUACAGAGAAACAGAACCAUCAGAGGAAAAACUAAAUAACAGAACCACAAUUGAACCAAACAAAAUCAAAUAAACCGAGGCAACGGAUACCCUGAAUCAGGCAUCCCUUUUUCUCGAAAGAAAAUAUGUUUGCAUGGGUGGGAACCUAAUAAUUACUCAAGAGUUGGAGUUGGAAAGAUUUGGUAUUCAUAUCUUCACAAUUCAUAAGCUUUAAUGCAGAAUCGACAGCUUUAUAUUAAUUUAUUCAACCAAAAACGAUAAAGUAGGAAAACCACAAUAAUCCACCAACUUUUGCUACUUUUAGGAAUAAUUUUUAGUCAACUUUCAAAAAGUGAGAUGACGAUCUUUGAGUUGAUAAAUCUUGGCCUGCUGCUUAGUACCCUUCCAACAUAUAAAGUACUAGAUGUUUAGCUGAGAAAAUGACGAGAUCAUUUAUCAAAUUUCUUGCGCAUAUAUACAUAUAUAUACAAGAAAUAAGAAUCAGAGUGAUUAUAAGACCUUGCAAUGAGGCAAUAAUACAUCAUCAAAUCUAAAAAUACACAAGAAAUUCGUGACGUAUAUAUAACAAUAGACCUCUCAUUGAGUCAUACAUAUUGAGAAUAAAAUGUCAAAAUGCAUACAAAGAGCUUAUACAGAAAAUGAAUUUACACACAUUUAGAAUAAACUGUCUUUGAACUUCCGAUGGUCAAACAAAGGAAACAGACAGGAAAUGACACACACUAUCAUAUAUGUAGCGACACGAUGAAGUAAAUCACAUGAAGAUGGAAACGGAACCCCUCACAACAUAAAAUUUGAAUAAAGGGGGAAAAAAAGGCUUCAUUUCAAAUGUUGCACAGAAGAAGAGUGACUUGAAUCUCCAUCAAUAUCCAAACAUUCUGCAAACAUAGUGCUGAGAAUUUUAACAAGAAUAACUGUAAUAUCCCAAAUCUCCUAAGGGUAUUUAAGUCUUUUUAAUUUUUAGUGAUCCUUUUUACCCUAGUAUAAAUAGAACAAGAUGUCUUUUUCAUUAUAAGAGAGAGAGAAAAAGAGAGAUCGGUUGAAAAAGAGAGAUGGAGAGACAAGAGAGAAAAGAAAAGAAAAAAAGAGAAGAAGAAAGUCUUCUUCUUCUUCUUAGUUUUUGCCAUAGACAACACAUGGGAUCAAGUUGUUAUUGUUGGGAGAAGUUUUGGAGGUACGUUUUAAUUAUUGGUUUCUAUUAAAUUGUUGUGGAGAAGCAUGAUUGUAAUAGAAGUAGAAAUCAAAGAUUUUACAUAAAUAUGCUGACAGCGAAUUAUUACAGAAAUCAUAGUAAUUUGUACAAAUUGAUUUUGAUUCUGAUUUUUGGGUAUGUUAAACUAGACAUCGUCUAGAAUGUUUUGAAACUUGUUUCAAGUUAAUCGGAUAAGAUUUCAAUUAAUUAUGAUUUUUCAAAUUCAAGUCUGAAAACCUGGAAAUUUAUGAUUUCAGUGAAUAACGUGAAUUACGAAAUUAUUUUUACCAUAGUUAGACUUCUUCAAAAAUUAUGAAAUUUGGACCAAUGCUUUUUAUAUAUGUCUAGUAUGAUUCUGGAAAUUUUCAUGAUUUUAUGAUAAAGCAAUAAAUUGUUUUGUAUUUGUAAAGCAAGUGUGUUCAAAACAGAAAACUGUUUGACAGUAUUGAUGAUGUCUGAAACGUGAAUUAUUUUCAAUAGUUUUUGAAGGAAUUAUGUUAUGAAUUAUGCUAAUCUUCUCUGUAUCGUUCCAAUUUUAUUGGAUGGGAAUUGCUCUGAUACCAUUUGAAACACCCCAGUCCGAAAUCCAAGGGCAAAUAUGUCCACAACUCACAUAUGAUUUAAAUAACUCUUUACAACUGAUAAAAUUCGAGCCUCAAAUACAAAAGCCAGCGGAAUAACUUAAAAACUUAACCAAACCAUCUACUAUCCUCAAUUCAAAACCAUCUUCUCACUCAUCACGAAUCAAUCCUGACUUCUGAAAAUUGAAUCACAAUAAACUAUAAUGAGUACAAAACCCAGUAAGCAAACUAGUUUUUCUUAUACGGAAAAUACAUACAGACUUAUACAUAAUGCAAUGGUUGAUAUGUCAUGAUCUUUUGGAAAUACUGUAAAAUAAAUUCAUAAAAAUCUCUUUCUGUCGCUUUCAAACUUUCUUAUUUUCUUUCGAUGAAAUACGUAUCCUACAAUGUGGCACUUUGUGCUGUACGUGGCACUUUGCGGCGCCCUGGCCCUCAAGAGGUGGCCCCCGCAUAGUCCCAAGAGGUGACCCCCACACAACUUCAAGAGGUGGCCCCCAAUGCAAAAUCUCAUAAAACAUAAAUUCUGUUUGCUAAAAUCCACUUUCUCAUUCGUAGAAAACUCAAUGCAUUUUCGUGCUCAUGCCAAUGAACCAUCACACAUACAUAUGCCCAUGUACAUAAUCACGCUCAACACAUGCCAACACAUCACAUAAACACAUGGGCAAAGACAUCUAAAUCCAUAUCCGUAUAUAUAUCAAAAUAUGCUUUUCACACAAGUCAAACAUAUAUAUUGUUUAGUGUGAUUCGUUUUAAAGUCUAGUUUACUUACCUCUUGGCAUCCUCAUGUAACAAAUGCGUACUGAUACCAUUAACCUAAAAUCAUCAAUAACGCCUCAUAAGAUAUAAUCAAAUCUCAAUCACAAACUGUAAUGUCCUCAAAUAUCUCAAUUUAAACAACUCCUAAGCUCAACCUCAAAUGUCCUCAAUAAUCGGCCCUCAAAACAUAAAUCCUUUACAAAUACUCUUUAUCAGUUGUAAAGAGUUAUUUAAAUUAUAUGUGAGUUGUAGACAUAUUUGCCCUUGGAUUUCAGACUGGGGUGUUUCAAAUGGUAUCAGACCGAUUCCCAUCCGAUAAAAUUGGAACGAUACAGAGAAGAUUAGCAUAAUUCGUAACAUAAUUCCUUCAAAAACUAUUGAAAAUAAUUCACGUUUCAGACAUCAUCAAUACUGUCAAACAGUUUUCUGUUUUGAACACACUUGCUUUACAAAUACAAAACAAUUUAUUGCUUUAUCAUAAAAUCAUGAAAAUUUCCAGAAUCAUACUAGACAUAUAUAAAAAGCAUUGGUCCAAAUUUCAUAAUUUUUGAAGAAGUCUAACUAUGGUAAAAAUAAUUUCGUAAUUCACGUUAUUCACUGAAAUCAUAAAUUUCCAGGUUUUCAGACUUGAAUUUGAAAAAUCAUAAUUAAUUGAAAUCUUAUCCGAUUAACUUGAAACAAGUUUCAAAACAUUCUAGACGAUGUCUAGUUUAACAUACCCAAAAAUCAGAAUCAAAAUCAAUUUGUACAAAUUACUAUGAUUUCUGUAAUAAUUCGCUGUCAGCAUAUUUAUGUAAAAUCUUUGAUUUCUACUUCUAUUACAAUCAUGCUUCUCCACAACAAUUUAAUAGAAACCAAUAAUUAAAACGUACCUCCAAAACUUCUCCCAACAAUAACAACUUGAUCCCAUGUGUUGUCUAUGGCAAAAACUAAGAAGAAGAAGAAGACUUUCUUCUUCUCUUUUUUUCUUUUCUUUUCUCUCUUGUCUCUCCAUCUCUCUUUUUCAACCGAUCUCUCUUUUUCUCUCUCUCUUAUAAUGAAAAAGACAUCUUGUUCUAUUUAUACUAGGGUAAAAAGGAUCACUAAAAAUUAAAAAGACUUAAAUACCCUUAGGAGAUUUGGGAUAUUACAAUAACAGACAAAAUAUUGUGCUUAUAUACUUUUCACAAAACUAGACCAAAUCAGUUCCCUUUUUGGUUUGUGAAAACUUGAUAUUUUUGAAAAUUCUAUCCAAUGCUUUCAAACAAUAUUUCCACAAUAUAGUUGUUCAUAGCUAACCUUUGAUGGUGUAAGGAUUUGUUGUAGGCAUAAUGGGCUAAUUAUAUAUAUAUAUAUAUAUAUUUUACCCGCUGAAUGAUAUUCAGCUUCUUAAUUAUGUGUUCAUAGGCAAGAGCAUUUUCUUAAGUACUUUCGUUGCCUUCCAAGUUUCCAAAGAACAAACAGAGCAGAAACAAAUAUAACGGAACAGCAAUGAUGACAAUAAAUGAUUGGCAAAGAAAGAAAGAAAAAAGUUCGCAUGAUUUCAAGGAAUUAUAAUAUCUGAAGACAUUCAACAUGCAAGUGUUGCCCCUUUUAAUGAAAUUUCAUCAUAAAAUGCUUGCAAGGAAUUAUAAAAUUUUAGAGAACAAGCGAAUUCUCAAACAAAAUACUCAAAUUAAAUUAAAUUAGACCAAAAGACAAUCAAUGACGCAAAAUCUUCCCAUAAAAGCCUGAACGAAUCAUGAAAAGUGCAUUCCAUAUUGACAGUAAACCAAGUGACCCAUUCUAAACAAUUGAGAUGAAAUUGUGAAACAACCCACGAGAUCAAAUAAAUAAAAUAAGAAUUAAUUACCAGCUGGGACUUUCUUCUUCAAAUUCGUAACUCCAAGUCAUAAGAAGCCUAUGAAAUUAGUCGUAAUCCACAGAGUAUGACGACGACCCCGCCAACAGCUGAAAAUAAAAUUCUUAUUCAUUAAUUUAAACUAACUUUAUAACAAAUAUCUUAUCGAUAUUUUAUUUAAAAAGAAAAAGCAAAUUUUGUAAAAUUUUUCCAUGGGAGAUAGAGAGUAACAUGUAUAUCCGUACCUUCUCAGCAUGUAAUUGUUGUAUGGUCCUGUUAAGAUCAUUAUUAGCCCAGCGCCGUUGAAAACCCGCUGUCUCUCCAUACCAGACAUUUACUCUAGGAGGCGUGCUUGAUUCUCCUGUAGUGAAAAUCUUCAAUUUGGGACAACCAAUCACCCACAACGCUUGCAAAGAUGGGAAUUUGAAGGUGUAAUUGGCAGAGGAAAAACUUGUGAGGCUAUCUAAAUCACUCAGUUCCAACGUCUUCAAUUUGCGGAAAACAAUCUCUUUACUGCUCUGCCCCCACAUAAUAAAGUAGCAUUAGAGUACUAGACAAGCUCACCACGUCUAAGCUAAGCGGAGAAUAGACUUCAUCAACAACGCUUUCGUGAAUAUGUGUUGCAUUACAACGCUCCAAUGUGAUCCUCAUCCAAUACCCAUUAUUUGUGAUCCUUAUUCCACUGCGUCAAUUACACUCCAGUCCAAUGCUGCCAUCAUUAUCGAACAGUCGAUAUCCAACACUUGCACGAAGAUUCCAAGAGGUUGCCUGGCUGCUGACUUUUAAAUGCUAAGCCUUAUUGUGUCCAUGAUACACCAAACAGAGCAGUCCCGGGUAAUUGCCAAAACUUAGAACUAAACAGUAGCUCAGGUCAGAAAAUCAAAUGGAGUGAUGAUAAGAAGCUGAGGCACACCAAUCGAUUGCCUAAGCCUAACAGCAGAUUGGAGGAAUAUGCAUGGACACAUGCGGCUCGACGUCCACGCCAUGCAACACGUGCAUGAGUAGUGUAAGGCACGUGAGAAUUGAUUUGCUAUUAAUUGGGAGCUGAAUAAUUGAUGAUUUGGAGCUGACCUUUUCAAAAGUUGUUGCUGAUUUGGAAAGGAUCUCACGCAUGAGUUGUUCUUUUCUUUGAUUUGAUAUUUAUUCCAAAAUAAUAAAAGUUGUUUAAAUCAAUAUUAACAACUCGAUCUUGUAAGCUUUGAUUAAGCCUAACUACACGCUACAAAGCAUAAUAAUUAGUUUUGCAUUACAACUAUAAAUAAGCUCCAUCAGUGAAUAAAAUCAUCAUCAGACUUUUAUCCAAACACUACUAGCAAUUGUGGUAGUUCUCACUCUAAGAAGAACAAAUUAUUCACUUGUUAUUUCUACUAAUUCUGACUGGGACCUAUCAAGAUGAAACCAUAAAAUUUGAUUUUAUUGUAUGGUUGAUUUCAUAUCUCUUGCAGUCAUUUCUUAAGAUAAUCAAAUUUUCUCUGGCAUCUUUUGCAACUGUAGAAAUAUCAAUUAUGAUCAAUCAAAACGAUUUCAAAACCUUUCAAUGAGACAUAUUUAUAAUACAAUAUUGUGAAAAUUACACCAAAAUUUUUAUUUAUUAUAUAUUAUUAUCCAACGAGUACACACAAAUGAAUUCGUACAAAUCUAAAAUACUUAGCAAUUUUCAAAUAGAAUUUACCAUGUACUACAAGAAAAUAUGGUAUAUGUGACCCCUAAUGUGAAUGGAAAAGCAGCCAUUACGUAUAUCACUAACUUUGUAACCCCGAUACCUUUUAUGUGACGGCCACACUGCGGUCGCAUAUGUUACUAACCACGUGACGGUAAAGAGCCGUUCGGUAUGCUACUAUUCGCUGGACUCCGUGUUACUAGCCACCAUCGUAUAAUUUAAUCUCCCUUCAUCUUUUGAGUUAAGCUUGUGAUUAUGAGUUUCUUCUGUUACUUAGCUUGUAAUUAUAGAUUUUGAUUUUUUUUUAAUUCGUAUUGUAGCCGUUAUUGUCAAUUUUUGUCCCGCCAGCAAUUUUUUUUUAUUCCUACAAGUUGAAGCCCCUGUGUUCUUGUUCCAUUGGUGAGUUUGCUCACUCAAAUUAAUUUUGUUCUGCGGAAUUUACAAAGUUCAAAUGGAUUCAUUUGAAUUACUAUUGAAUUUAGCUUUAAUUCCAACAUCCAUUCUAAUGUUUUGCUAUUAGAUUUAGUUUAAUUUUAUGUUUAAAGCAUCUACAAUGAAUAGCGGAGCUUGGGUUUUAGUUUCAUUUUCUGGAUAACUUGUUUUAGUUUAUCUUGUAUGCUCACCAAGUGCUUGUUAUAUUGUCUGAUAAGUUAUAUACAUUGCUGAUUCUAUAUUAAUAAUGUUACGUUCUAUUUUCAGAAAUUAUAAUACAAAAGGUUUUACAAUGGCGUGCAUCUACAAACUGAAUUGACUUGUAGAAUAAGAGCUUGGAGUAAAUGAAAGUUCAUAUUGUGUAAGAGCAUGUAGAUGUAAAGCAUCAUUACCAUAUCUACAAAGUGCUUUCAUUAUGUUCAGAUGCUCUUCUUGAACUUUGAAAGGUGCCUCGUUCAAGUCCUAGCUAUAACUACUAGCUUUGAUUAAUUAAGUUCCUAUAUUAGCUGAAACAGAUUUAUUUAAUUAAUUAAUUAUGUACUAAUUAUAUUGAAAGUAUAUGAUUUUUUUUUUAACAUGAAUGACUUCUAAAUGACUUAAAAACCUAAAGGAUGUGUGAAAUAAUGCUCAUUUCACUUGAAUGAGCCUAUUAAUACUUUUAUGUCUAUGAGAAAAAAAUUUAAUAGAAAACUUCAGAGAUGUUUCCAGAUAUUAUCUAGAAUCACAAGAAUCUUAUUCUCACUCUUCAAUCGUUCAUACAGCUUGCUAGCUCUUCUAUAUUCAGCUUCAUCGGACAACUCCAGACCUAACUUCUCUGCAAUUUCCCCUUGAAUCUUUUUUAUCUCUGGAGUUUAUGAAACCUCUGUAAAACCACCCGAUAAAACAGCUUCUUUUCCCUGGCUUGCCUAGCAAACUCCUUCACCAGUGUGGUCUUUCCAAUGCCGCCUAUGCCGUACACCCCAAUAAUGCUGACAUUCGCCUCCGUCAAUGCAUUUUUUAUAGUAACCAUUGCUAGACUUAAGCCAUAUCUCCUCCGGAAUGGUACGGUGGGAAACAGUAUCAAACUUCUUAACUUCUUCUCCAAGUUCAAUAAUGGCCUUCACCUCCGUCUCUGCUUUCUUGCUAAGCUGAUAGCGACUCUUCCAAUUAGGACUCAAGCCCUUGACACAGCGCUUAUUCGUUGACUCCUCAUCUUCAAUGAAUUUGGCUGCCCGGUCAAUGAUGCCGUUCGCACUUGGCAGUAACCAGCCACUUUUCAACCUUCUCUUCAAUCUCUUCCCCUUUUUCUUUCGCCUCUGAAACCCUGCGCUGAAUGCUCGUAUGUUAAACCUUCAACUUCUCCAUUUCCGCCUUGAUAUUCUCAAAGUUGGCAUUGUAGUUCCGCUUUCGCAAAUAAACAAGUUGGCGUGCAGUUGGAGGAGCCAAGCAUUUUACAAGUUCCAAGACGAUAGUCACAAUGAUUUCCAGCAUCUCGAAUCCUGACAAAAACGUAGAAGCGAAGAAGGCCAAAGGAAAGUAAAAACAAAGAGACAGCGAUAGGACAAGCAAUUGUGUUUUUCAGAUGAGAUGAAGGAAACAAGAAAAGGGUUUCUAUCACGACGUAAAGAGCUAAAAGAGCUGAUGGGUACAGAAUAAGAAAUGAGACUGAGGAGUGAGCAAAGCUAAAUAAUAACAGAACAAGAACAAUGACGAAUAGAAGAAACAGUAGCAAAGAGCCGUUUAGAUGAUUAGAAUGAAAUUAAGCGACUGGAAAGAGUGGAUGGUAGACUAAAGAGAAAGUGAUUGAUUAUUUUUGGAGGCCUAUUAACGUAAUGACAGACCCGGUUUCGAUGUUUGUAAUUUGAGUAUGAGGUAAAUCGAUUCUUUGUCGAGCCAGUCAAAUACAAAGGCAAAUUAGUAAAACAAGAGCCAGCAACUUUUACUCACACAUAAGCCAAUAAUAUAUUGAGAUCACGCAACAUUGCAAUAAAGUUAUCAUCAAGUUGUAGCCUUCUUAUUCAAUCAAUUAUAGCAUUUUCUCUAGCUCUGUAUUUUUCAAAAAAAAAAAAUUAUUCAAAAGAUGUCUGUCAUGAAUUUUUCAAUGAUUAAAAUUAUAAUUUUUGUUUAAUAUAUAUAACGUAAAAUUUUAAAAGAAUCAGACAUGCAUUAGGGUAAAAAUAAAAAAUAUGGAGGUAGCUUUUAACUAGGUAAUUGGCUCAACUAUGGAUUAGUGUGAGAUCGCUAUUUUUCUUAUAAAAAAAUAUUCCAGCCAAAACAAUUUUCGCAAAAUUUUAAUAUAAAUUAUAAAAAAAAAAAUUCUAAAAUCAUAGCAAUAAUUUAUAUUUUGAAUACCUGUAAAUAAACCACUUAGAAAGCUGUCGAAACACGAGAACCUAUUGCAGUAUUGCUAGUAAAAUCAUUUUUCAAGCAAAUGCAGUGACAGAUCUGGUUUUGAUCCUCGUGACUUUUGGGUGUAAGUACGGGUGAACGACUGUCUAGUCCAGAACAACUUGGGCGCGACAUUUUAGUAUUAAGCAAACGGAACUUUUUUUAAUUAAAUUAAUCUCAAAGUGAUAGGCUUCUCAUGAAUCAUGUAAUGUUGUCGUUUUUCAAGACAUGACAAUGCACAUCACUUGUUUGUCACAAUGUCCAAAUAAAUAAUUUUUUUUUUUAAAAAAAGUUAUUUUCAUUCUUUCUUUUCAAGUAUCCUAAUUCCUUUAGCAGUUUGAUUCCUCUUUUCCUGAAAUUUGUUCCUUCCAUUAAACUAAUAAUUUAUUUAAGGGUAAUUAAGCGUCAGCCCCCAAUUGUUUAGUAUUUCAUACAGCACACCCACAUCUUUCGACCAUGCGCACCUCUUCCCUAUUUCUGUCAAAAAAUCAACUAUCAACUAAUUGUAACUAUUUAGACUGUUAUAAAUUUAAAAGACUAUACUACCCUUGUUUUGAAUGAAUUGGGUAUAUAAGCACUAAAAUAUCCUUACAACUUGUAAAAUUUAUAUCAAAAAGCAAAAAUUUAUUAUAAUAUUUUUAAAAUUAUAUGGAGACGAUUUUUUUUUCUGGAUUACGAACCCAAGAUUAUAAACCUAGUAAAUUACAAAAUCAGAGGCAAAACAUGAUUCCAAUGUGAAAGAAGAAAAUCAAACACACAUUCAUCAAUACAUUACAAAAUAAGUCCAAUAAUCCCACCAAAACAAAUAAAACCCAAUAAGAAAGAAACCCGAAACUAAUGAUACCAAAAUCCCUGACAACAAAUUUCAUUGUAAAAUUCUAUUACAAAAUAAAUUCAUACUAAGAAAAUUCAAUAAAAAGAAACCCAAUAAUCAACAAUCCUAAAACUAAAGAUAUCAAACCCUAAAUUAAAUUAUAGAGGCGGCGAAGGAAAAAGGGUUUUUUUUAAUUAUAUAUAUUAUUUUAAUCUUGUAUUAAUUACCAUUCUACCCUUCUUUCUGUUAACGUUAGAUUUGAAAGAAAUGGGGGUGGUGGACAUGGUCAGAAGAUUGGGGGCACAAUGCAAAAUGUCGAAACAAUUGGGGCUAACGCUAAAUUACACAUUAUUUAAAUUAAAUUAUCCUAGUUGUAUUUGACUGUGACUGUGACCGGAACCGUUACAAUCACUUAGUAUUUUUAUUAAUUAAUUAACAAUUUGUUUCAUCAUUAGACGGUACUAUGAUAGUUUUGUCACUAUGUUUGUUACCAUCUCUUAAAUCGUGUAACAAAGAUUUCAUGAAAAAUUAGAAAACAGCACGACAUGAUACAAACUUUUUUUUAAUACAUGUAGACCUUAUUUUUUUAAAAUGAACAUACAAACUCUUUUUUAAUACAUGUAGACCUUUUUUUGUAUUUAAAAAUAGUUACACAGAUCCUGAAUUUGUGUGUCCCUCAAUAAAUUUUCAUGAUCAUUUUUUAAAAUAAGGGAUUUUUGUGAUUAUUUUGCCACGUCCAAGGAUGCCGCUAUUCUUGUCACCAAAAAUUAUUCUCAUUAAGAGUCAUGAUUAAUUGGACGUCAGCAAUGAGGGCAUGUAAUGAAAAAAUUUUGUUUUGCAUGGGAUCCAAUAAUUUUAAUUACCAUGGUGGUGACAGACCCAGCUGGAAAAUCAACUGAUUUUAGAAUUCUGUUGAAAAUUCUUUAAAUGAUCACUAUAUCUCUAGUUCGAUUAUAUCCUUAAGCUCAUUGAUUCUUUUGUAUUGAUUUUGUUACUUCUUUUCUAAGUACUUAUAUUUAAGCAUUGAAAUAGGAUUGAAUAGACAAAGACGAUAACUUGAGCUGAAAAUUUUUCAAGUAUGGCGGAGGGGAAAGUGAGAGAGCCGCUAUUGAAGAAGAAAUAUUAUAAGAACUGCUCAGGCUGUAAGGUUGAUAAGCUUAAAGAGUCGGAACGAGGCUUACCAAUUCGUAAGCUUUUAAUUAUUUAAAUGUUUUAUUUAAAUAUAACUAGCAAUUAUUUAAUUAAGGGUAAAAUAUGUAUAUAUUAUAUGCUCAUCAAAUACCCCCAAACUUAGAUUUUGCUAGUCCUCGAGCAAAACUAAAACUUAAAACAAAAAUAAAAAUAACAAAACAAAAAGUAAAUCCUAACUAAACCACUUUCGCAGGUAAUCACGAUUGCAUUUAGCAUAUGCAACAAGCCUUUAAACCCCUAGGCGGCCCUAGUGGACGAGUUAUAGUCUCGUGAGGGCUUCAGUGAUGAUACCCACAAACAUCAUUUUUAAAAAAUAAAAUAAAGAGAACAAAAAAUUUUUAAAUAAAACAUGAAAAUAGCCUCAAAGAUUGCAUAAAUUAUAUAACUCAAAGAAAAUUUCAAAUAUUGGCAAAGUUCUAACUUUAAUUCAAUAAUCAAUCCCAUCUCUCUUUCGAUUCUUGUAGUGUGUGUGUGAAAUCAAUUCAAUCAAAUCCAUUCGCAAAAUCUUCAAUAUCAACAGCCUUCGCCUCAAACAAAGAAAAGAGUAGGUCAAACUAAUCUUAUCAUCUUAAUCUCCAUUUUUUUUUUCACAUGCUUUUAUGUGCAUUUUCUUUUGAUUUUUUUUUUGUUCAGCACAUGCACUUGGUUUUUUUCUUCUUUUUUUCUCAACCAUAGUCAGGAGCUUUCACUCUACCCCUUAAGGUAACCUUCUUCUCAUGGUAGAUUAUCCUCUACAUACUGGUGGUACAUAGGCCUAAAUUACUCAAGGAUAGCUUCACUCUUAAGGGUUAUAGGUAGCUAUUUCUGACUUUAGCGCCCGUGUAUACUAUUUUGUAUUGUGGAGAUAAGAAUCAAGACAAACAGUCAUUUACUCUAUCUAAAAUUCUCAACUCAGGCUGCGUCAAUCUCAAAUUUCAAGUCAAAAUUAUGAAAGAAUUGAUAUUAGUGCUCAUGGUUUAAAGAAUCUCAAUCAAGAGGAACUAACACAAGAAUCAAGUAUAAACUAAGACAAUAUUCAACCCUUUCUAAGAACCAUAUUCAUUGUCAAUCAAAUUCUUAUCAUUGGCUUUUCACAUAAAAACAAAUAACAAUACAAUUUUUUUAACAAACAAAACACACACUAUUCCCACCCCCAAACUUAUUUGGAACAUUGCCUCAACGUGUCACAAACAAAAGAUAUGCAUGCAAACAAAUGAGAAAAAAAAAAUAGUAAAAUUAAAAUAAAAUAAAAUAAAAACAUAAAUAAUAAAAAAGAAAGUUGGAGAGAACACACCUGGAUGGGCUAGGAAAGCUUAAAAGAAAAUGCCAAAUGAAAGAAGACGUUAGAAGAAAUAUAAAUAAUAAAAUAAAAAAACAAAAUAAAAAAAAUCCUACUAACUAACAAAUUAAUGUAAACAACAAAUCAACCAGGAUCAAUAAGAAUUUGGUGAAAAUCAAAGCAAUUAUACAGAAAAUACCAGAAAGCAUAAUUGAUUAAACACUGGAGCAUUUUAUCCAUAAAAGGAUGAUGGUAAUGAAACUCCUCAAUAUCGCACUGCUUUGAUCUCUUAUGUUCCAAGAUUUCCUGAGAGUUAUCUGAAGUAGUAUAAAAAUCUAAUAAUUUAAGCACUUUAGAUCUUACCACCUUUUUCAUGUCAAAAUGUGACCUAUGUUGCACUGCUUUAGGACGUAGCUCCAAUUUGAAUGGUUCAAUUUUCUCUUCAGGAGGAAGUGGCUCAAUCUUUUCUGUCCACUUAAUUAGAUCUAUGAUAAGAGUCGAAUCAAGUAAAGCAUUAACUUCUUCAAUACCACUAUCAACAUCAACAGAGAAAUCAGAGUCAGUUGUGCAUGGUAUUAAUAGAUUGUCACAGUGGUUAGAAAUAAGUGAAUCAUCAAUUGAUGCUUCUAUCAUAUCUACUUCAACGACUUCAUCAUCUUCUUGCGCCUGCUUGGGAACAUUAAAAAUGUUUAAUUCCGUGGUCAUGUUACCAAAAGACAAUUGCAUGUUUCCAGUCCUGCAACUAAUAUGAGCAUCAGUUGUAGCUAAGAAAGGACGACCUAGAAUAACUGGGGUGUGUUUCUUACGAUCCUGUACAUGCUGAGUAUCAAUAACAAUAAAAUCAACAGGAUAAUAAAAUUUAUCAAUCUGUAUCAACACAUCCUCUAUAAUACCACGAGGUAUUUUCAUUGACCUAUCCGCAAGUUGCAAAAUAAUAGAAGUUGGGUUUAACUCACCUAAUCCAAGUUGCAUGUAAACAGAAUAAGGCAAGAGAUUAAUACUAGCACCCAAAUCCAAUAAUACUUUAUCAAAACAUUGGUUCCCUAUAACACAUGAGAUAGUAGGAGAACCAGGAUCCUUAAAUUUUGGUGGCAUUGUACAUUGAAGUAAAUUGCUAGUUUGUUCAGUUAAAAAUGCCUUUUUAGUAACAUGCAAAUUUAUAUUUUUAGUGCAUAAGUCUUUCAAAAACUUGGCAUAUGAAGGAACUUGCUUAAUAGUAUCGAGUAAAGGGAUGUUUAUACUUACCUGCUUGAAAAUUUCCAUAAUCUCACAUGUUGAAGUCCCUUUCUUUACCUUUGCUAACCUUUGAGGAAAAGGAGCCUUGGGAAUGUAAGCUGGCGGGCCACUCUCUUCUGGAUCAUUUGGUGAUGAGUCUUGUGAUGGAAUUGGAUCUGAAGAAGUAGGCUCAUAUGUCUUUCUUGUUUGAACCUCUACUUUGUUGUCAAACAAUUUUCCUCUUCUUAAGGUCAUAAUAGAUUUUGCUUCUUCAUGCUGAUGACUUGAACUCGAUCCAACUUCAUGCACUCCUUUGGGAUUGGGAAUUGGUUGACUUGGGAAUUUUCCUUUUUCUCUCUCAGCUACAAUAGUUGCUAAUUGACCCAAUUGAUGUUCAAGUUUUAGAAUAGCUUGAGUGUUUAACUGAAAAGCUUGUUGGGUUGACUGAAUGAAACUUUGAAAUGUAUCCUCUAAAGAAGGUUUUCUUUGUUGGGGUGCAACAAAUUGAGACAUAGGCUGUUGGGUAGGAGGAUAUACUUGGUUAGGAGGGACAAAUUGUUGAUUGGGCAAGCUAAAUUGUUGUCCUCCUUGGUUGGACAAAGGUUGAUUUUGUUUCCAAGAAAAAUUAGGGUGAUUCCUCCAAUUAGGAUUAUAUGUGGAUGAAUAUGGAUUAUUGGAGGUUUUCUCAUAUGAUUGUAAGGCAUGUACCUCAUUAGCUACACUAGGAUGAUGAUUCAUGGAUUGGUUCAGAGCUAAGGCAUCUACUUUCCUAGAAAGUGUAGCUAGAGUGGAUUUCACAUCAAAAUCAUCCUUAACUUUAUAUAACCCCUUUCUAGAAACUUGAGAUGAUUUUUCCCUUUGAUUUGAAAAAUUCCACUGUUGAGAAUUUUCAGAAAGUGAAUUAAAGAAAUCCCAUGCAGCCCCUUCAUGUAGGUUAAAAAAUCUCCCACCAUUCAUAGACUCUACCAUAUGACGAUUCGACAUGGUUAAACCGUUAUAAAAGCAUUGUAUAAGUCUCAAUUUCUCAAAACCAUGGUGGGGGCACUUAAGGAGUAAAUCAUUAAAUCUUUCUCAACACUCAUAAAAUUGCUCACCCUCUCUUUGAUAAAAAUCACUUAUUUCUCUCCUAAGGGCAUUUGUUUUAGACAUAGGGAAAAACUUGGUAAGGAACUUAUUACUCAAUUCAUCCCACGUAGUUAUAGACCAAGCAGGAAGCGAAUUCAACCAAGCUUUCGCUUUGUCUUUUAAUGAGAAAGGGAACAUACGAAGCCUAAUUGACUCAUCAUUAAAAUCUUGAAAACGGAAUGUAGAGCAUAUGUCAAGAAAUUCCUUAAUGUGCAAAUAUGGAUCCUCUCUCUCUAACCCAUGGAAAGAUGGUAAAAGUUGAAUGACUGAGGGCUUAAGUUCAAAGUGUGUUGCUGUAGUUUGUGGCAACACAAUACAAGAUGGUUGGUUGGUUGCAAGUGGUGAAAAGUAUUCUCUAAGGGUUUUCUCUGCUUGCACUGGUGGUAGUAUUGGCAAUAAUCUAUUUGGGUCAUCCAUGACUUGAGAAGAACUAGCUUGACUACUAUCAAUUUUCGACUCUCUUUUAACCAAACGAUUUGUUGAAUCACGUUCCCAAACACUCAUAAACUAACUAGACAAGGAAAUAAAAAAAAAAAAAUAGACCAAAAAAUGAGAAUAAACGAAAUUUAAAAAUAAAAGAAAUCAAACAACCAAACAAUGAAUUUAAAGACAAAUAAUUUUUUUUUGUGUUUUUUUUAAUUAAAAAAUAAAAGACAACCUAAAUUAUAACUAGUGGAAGAAUCAAAUCAACCUAGAUUAAACUGACUUUCUAGCACAAUCCUCGGCAACGGCGCCAAAAACUUGUUGUGAAAAUUUUAAUAUACUCGCAAGCGCACGAAUCUAGAAAUUGAAUAGUGGUAACGAGGUCGAUCCCACAGGGAUUGUUAUAAAUUGAAAAGUCUAAUUUAAAUCUAAAAUUAAUAUUAAUUCUAACCUAGUUGAGCAAAUUGAGUUUUAAGAGAAAUUAAACUAAUUAAACUAAGAAAACAAUUAAAGUAAAGGAGAAUUCAAUAGGAUAGAAAUUACCAAGGUUUCAGAAUCCACCACUAUUCAACUAGUAAUUAUCUAAAUAUUCGUUAAUCCCCAAUUUUAGAGUGACAACUCGAAAUCAAUCUGUCAUCUCAUGGAUAUAACAAUUAAGCCCAAAUAAUUAAAUCUAAUAUAGGUUCUUUUUCCGCUUAAUAGUAUGACAUCUAAGUAUCCCAUGUGAACAUAUUGAAUAACAAAGAGUCAAAGUUUUCCUAAACACUCUAUGUAAACAAUUUAAUGAAAGACAUAGAAUCAAAGAUAAUCAUGUAUGAACUUUAUAAAUCCAAGCAUAGAUUUAAUCGAAUAUUAAUCCUAACAAUCAAUAAUACAUGACAUAAUUGAUGAAAAGAUUUUAAUAACAUCAAAUUAAUCAUGUGAAAUAAAAACCAUAAUCAUUAAAGAAUAUAUAUGGGAAUUAAAUAAAUAAAAAGAUAAUUAUUUUAUUGAAUAGGGUUUCAUCCUUAACCUCAAUAUAAGAAAAUUAGCUGGACAUACUUGAAUUAAGAGUAACAAAAGAGAUAAAACCAGCCAUGAAAGUCGAACUACUGCAGAUUUUCUUCUCUUUGUCUCGUGUUUCCCUCCUCUGGCGGCUCUCCCCUUGCAAAAGCCAAAGUUCGGCUUUUAUAUUGUAACACCCUCCAAAAUCCUCAAAUCAAAAGGAUUUAAAACAAGCCAAGCACAACCGACUUUGAGCCCAUGCACGUGAAGCCCACUUGGAAUUUUCAUUCUUUUUGUAAUGCCAUGCAAUUGCUUCUCACGUGCAGGCCACUUUAGCUUUAAAUUUCUUCUUUGUUUGCACUAGCAUGGAGAAUUCAAUUUAUUGGCCUCGGCUUCUUCGGAUUGAAUUUCAUACAUAUUUACUUAACUGCUUCCACAAAUUGACUUGAUCUUCAAUGUUGUCCAGUUGUUAUUCUUUAUGCACUUUUCAUCCAUAAUCUCUAAUUAAUUCCCUAUUCAAUAAAACAAUUCAACUAAUUAAAAAUAACAAAUAAAUAUAACUAGCAAUUAUUUAAUUAAGGGUAAAAUAUGCAUAUAUUAUAUGCUCAUCAGCUUGCAACUAGUAAAUUUUUCAACUUCAACUCGAUAUAAUGAUUUUGGAGAGAACCAUUUACAAUGAUUUUCAAUUCUUUUGUGAUUUUUUUUUUCCGUUUUGCCGGUCGCAUCUUUCUUUCCCUUCCUUUAUUUUAUGGUGAGUGGAUUAUUAUUGCCUUCAGCGUUGUGGUUAUUAGUGAGAAAAUUUAUAUUUUCCCAUCAUGCUUGGUGAUUUUCUGAGAAAUAUAAGAAAAAGACAAGUUUUAUAUGUCAAAUAAUUCAUUGCUUUUUCACAGCAGUCAUUUAUGAUUUCUUUUCAGAUUAGGGAUUUUCACAUUGCAAAAAAGGAGGAAGAUAUUGGAUUCUAUGCUGGUUACGUGGGUGAGUUAUUCUAUGUUUUUUUUUAACGUAUUUAAUAAAUGACACACAGUAUGGAGUCCGUCUUGGGUACGAAUGUCCACACCUUAUAAAGUGCUGACUCACGCCUUUACAACUCUGGGAGGACAUUCUACCGAGACUUUACAUCACUGUAAACGCACUGUACAAGAGCUUUACAAUGCGGACCCGCGUCUUUACAACUUUAAAGGGCCAAGUCCAUGCUUUAAAAAGUACAUAUGUUCGCACCUGGAAACGAUUUACAUAUGUAUGUAUAUAUGUAUAUAUGUGUGUAUGUGUGUAUAUAUAUGUAUGUAUGUAUGUGUGUGUGUGUGUGUAUGUAUGUACGACCAAUAAAACAGUUCAAAUUCCUCAAGAAGUUAUCCUAACAAACAUCUUAAUACCUUGAUGAAAUUGAAGGGUCUUCAUACAUGCUUGGCAGAGCUCUAACAUCUGUUUUGUGGGGAAUGGUGGCUGACCACCGUGGUCGAAAGCCUGUAAUAAUAAUAGGAAGCAUCACAGUGUUAGUGACUUCUAUUUUCAUAUGAUCAAGCUUGAAAUUGAUGAUACUUCGGCAAUUUCUGGAUUUCUUGUCUGUCUUAAAAUGCUCACAGGGUUAUUUUUAACACUCUUUUUGGGCUUAGUGUGAAUUUCUGGAUGGCCAUAGCUACAAGGUUUCUCCUUGGGGCUUUGAAUGGUUUCCUUGGACCAAUAAAGGUAUUGAUUGGGGGUAUUUGUUGAUAAUUCCAAUUUAAUUCCUGCAAAUAAUUGUGCUCAAACUUCUCUUACACCACGAGGCAUAUGCAUGUGAAAUAUUGUGCGAUCAGCACCAAACUUAUUACGAAACUAAAAAUGUUACUUGUUUUCUGUACUUGCUUUCGCAUGCAUCACCCCCACAAAACUGCUUGACGAUUGUCCUCAUUUUGAACUUACUAUAGGUUUCAGUCUCCUUGUUUUUCAACUUACUCUGUACCCUUAAGGAUUAUUGGGCCAAUAAUCAUAACACGAAUUGCAGGGGGUAAAAUUUUGAGCACCUCAUGCGGCAUUUGGACCAUUUGAUAGUUUGUUUGAAACAUAUCUGUUUAUAAAAUACUUUUCUUCAUGGUUUUGGUCCCAUAACUUUCUAUGUAUGUACAGGUUUUAUCGAUACCGCUUUUGACAAGUUACACUUACAUAGCAAUGUUAUCGGGUUCAGCCUUGCCUUUUUGAUAAACUGUGCUUCUGUGAUGAAGAAUGUUUUAUCUGUAAGUGGAUAUCCUAAUCAUUGAUCCAUAUACUUAGGUUAUAUUAUCCACCAGCAAGUAUGUAUAAAUUAUUUUAUGUCUUAUUUAUUAGAAUUGUUGUAAUUCUUUUUUACUUUUCCUAAAUUGUAACAUCAGGUGUCUAUAAUAACUGGAUUGUUCCUUCUGCAAAACAGAGCAGUGGUAAAUAUAUUUUCUUUUGUUUGUUUAGUACAUUUCCAUGCUUUCAGCUUUUUCAAAUUUUGUAUGUGCCAAAGUUUAAAUUAAUUGGUUGGUUUAUGGUAUAAUAACAGGUACGAUAAUUUACUAAUGAAAUUUCUCACUAGUUUGUGAAUUACUUGGUGCUAAUCAGCUUAGUUAGCUGCUUAAACUAAAGUGCAGGUAACCAGGUGAUUUUUUUCAUCCUGAAUUCGGUGGAGGCACUUGGAGUAAUAUUGACAUUCAAACCGUUUCUAACUCAACGUGCCCCGUGAGUGGAGAAAAGAUGCGUCUGUUGAAAUAUUCAAAUAUAUGUCAAGCAAAUUAAAGCUUUCAAAAUCUUUCAACAAUUUGAUUGUUUGAUGUGGUUGCCACUUGCCAUAUUUUGUGUUACUUUUCUAAAGGCUUAAAUAUGAAAAUGGUUGUUGGUGCUCACGCCAAUUGAUUGCUGGUAACAUUAAUUGUGCAGUACUUGUCAGAACUACCACAAUUUAUCUUCACAAUGAUGCUAGCUAGAAAGAAAAUUUCAUGUUAAGUAAAAUAUUGAAGCCAUAAAGAGUCUUAUUCCAGAGCCUUAUUAAGUACUGAGUUUUCUGCCAUGCUUUCAAAGUUACAAAUUCGAAGCUUGGGAUUCUGUAACAAUGGAGGAUAAAAAUUAUAUAAGAAUAUUAUUUUGUACAAUUUUCAUACCCAGACAGAAGCGAGCAUUAUUUUUUGAUCAUAACUCAGAUCAAAAGACCUUCAAUGAUGUAUAAUAUGCACAAAAAGCUAGCUCAGAACCAGACAUUAGAACUUAUGAUGAAAGGGAAACAUAGAUGUUGAGAUUGAAAACAUAGAGAAAUUUUUUUAAAAAGUCUGAAAUUUUAUUACUAGAAGUUUGAAUAACAAAAUUAGGGUAUUGGACCCUUUUUAUACAAAUUCUAAAUAUUAUGUAUUUAUCAAAACAGGCAAACUUGAAAUAUUAUUACAUAAUAACGUUCUCCUAACUGAAAUAAGAAAAAUAAAAUAAAUCAUACUUGAAAUCUUAUAUUUAGAGAAAAACAUAUCGUACUAUGUCGAGAGAGAUGACGACUCCUCCAACAGCAGAAAAUAAAUUCUUUCAUUCAUUAAUUUAAAGUAAAUUUUGUAAAUUUAGGUACUUGCACAUUGAGAUUUGCAAUUUAAUUUGACAGGACUUUUCAUUGAAUAAUGAAAUUAAAAACUAACGAUUAAAGAAUUUUUUAUAAUUCUCUAAACUCUUGUGGAAAUGUCAGCUGUAAAUAGGACAAUUUCAAGAAUCUUUAUCUGAAAGCGUAAUUGGCAGAGCAGAAACUUGUGAGACUAUCUAAAUCACACAGACUCGAUGUCUUCAAUUUGCUGAAAACAAUCUCUUGUUUUGAAUUUAAAUUUGGUGCUCCAUCUUCUUCUCCGUCACCUAUUACCACCUCUGUCAUUGCCCUGCAUCCACCUACCUUCAUUGAUACGAGCCGCACUAGAGUUUCUGCUGUAGUGGACGGAUGUUACAAUUCCUUGCAAUGGAAAACCGACAGUUCUGUCAGAUUCCCAAAAGAUAUAGAUGAUCAUGGGAAUAGACUUAAAUGCUUGUAAAAUAGUCUUAGAAUGUCAAAAUAUUUAAAAUGGAGUCCAGUUUGGAGUUGCUUCAAUGAUUAAGUCUGGACAGGAUUAACCAUUUUAUCAGUGCCUACUUCCCCACUUGUUUCUACCAGUAUCCGGCUUGAUUUAAGAAUUUCUCUUUGUAUGAACUAUAACCCAGUAGGAGAUACUACCAAAAAAAACUUAUUUCAAAUGACGCACAGGAGAAGAGUUACCUGAAUCUUCAUCAGUAUCCAGACAUUCUACAAUCACAGAGUAAAGAGUUCUAACAGGAAAAACUGAGAAAACAACGUUCUUCUAUACUUCUCAUAAAACUAGACCAAAUUAGUCCCUUUCUUGGUAUCCAACAUUUUCAAACAAUAUUUCCACAAUAUAGUUUUUCAUAGCGAAGAGUUUUGCUUUGAUGGUCUAAGGAUUUGUUCUAGGCAUAAUGCUCUGAUUAGAUUUUGUUUAUUUUUAAUUUUUUAUCCGAUGAAUGAUUUUCAGCUGGUCUUAAUUAUGUGUUCAUAGGGAAGAGCAUUUGGAAAGAUCAUCAAAAAAAAAAAAAAAAAAGUUUCCAAACAAAGAUAGGUGUGAAGCAAACCAAACUAAAUGAACAAACUAAAAUAACAGAACAGCAAUGAUGUUUUCAAGGAAUUAUAAAAUAUGAAGACUUUUAAUGAAAUUUUAUCAUACAAAGUAUGCAAGGAAUUAUAAAAUUUUAGAAAACAAGGGGAACUCUCAAAAAAAGAAAAAAAAUACUCAAAUUAAACUAGACUAGAAGACAUUCAAUGAUGCAAAAUCUGUCCACAAAAGUCUGAACGAAUCAUUAAAAUUGCAUUCCAAAUUUAACAGUAAAGCCGAUUGACCCAUUCUAAAUAAUUCAGAUGAAAUUGCGAAACAAGCCACGAGAUCAAAUAAAUGAAAUAAAAAUUAAUUACCAGCUGAGGCUUUCUUCUAAAAAUUCACAACUCCCAAGUCAUAAGAAGCCUAUGAAAUUAGUACUGGGUAGAGAACGACGACGGCACCGCCAACAGCUGAAAAUAAAAUUCUUAUUCAUCAAUUUAAACUUUUACUUUAUAACAAAUAUCUUAUCUAUAUUUUAUUAAAAAAACAAAUUUUGUAAAAUGUUUCCAUGGGAGAUAGAGAGUACUGCGUAUAUCAGUACCUUCUCAGCAUGUAAUUGUUGUAUGGUUGUGUUUAGAUCAUUAUUAGCCCAACGCUGUUGAUUCGAUGUGUGUCCAUACUGGACGUUUACUCUCGGAGGCGUGAUUGAUUCUCCUGUAGUGAAAAUCUUCAUCUUGGGACAACCAAUCACUUCCAGAUAUUCCAAAGAUGGGAAUCUGAAGGUGUAAUUGGCAGAGCAGAAACUUGUGAGACUUUCUAAAUCACACAGAAUCAACGCCUUCAAUUUGCUGAAAACAAUCUCUUCUUUUUCAACUCCUUCUUUGUCAUUUAUUACCACCUCCGUCAUUGCUCUGCAUCCAUAUAUACUCACUUUGACGAGUUGCACUAGAGUUUUUGCUGUGGAGGAUGUUACCAAGUGUAUCAAUCCCUUGCAACCGAAAGCUACAAGUUUUGUUAGGUUCCGAAAAGAUACCGAUGAUGAUGGCAAUAGAAUUAACAGACUUUGACAAUGAUAUACUCCUAGAAUUUCAAGAUACUGAAAAAUGGGGCCAAGUUUGGAGUCUUGUUUGCACAGCUGCUUCAGAUGAUAGUGCCGGUGCAGCUCUAAUGUUUUUAUCAUUGCCAACUUCCCCACAUGUUUCUCUAAGCUUCCUUCCUCCGAAAAUACCUCUUCGUUGAAUGCCAAAAAAGACAGUACGAGUAUUUCGAGAUUGUGAAAUCUCUCCAGUACGUUCCAGAUUGGAAAACAAGCUGAGUCAUCUGCAGUAAUGUCUAGUUGUCUAAGAUUGCCAAAAAGGUGUUGUGGGAAAUCGGCCUGCAAAAUCAUCUUCACAUCUUUUCCACUUAGUGAUAGUUCCUUCAAGUUGGGUACGAUCUGAUCAUCAUCAAUCAUAAUAACUAAUGAGGUCAAUUGAUGUUCUUUCAAAUGAUUUUGAGUAAUCCAAUCACAAGCAGUGACUUUAUAGUAUUUAUUUUAUAUUAAUUUUACCCCUAAAAAAAAUGAAUUAUAUAAAAAAUGAAUUAGUGAUAAAAUUCAUUAUAUGAUUUUUUUAUAUGUUAGUUUUAGAGGUAAUAAAGAGAUUAGGGAAAAAAACGAAAUUAUUUUAUUGCACGAUAGUAAAUUACUAAUUUAUUUUGUAAGUUUUUCUAUAUGGAAAGACUAAGGAUUCUUUUAUAAAUGCUAUACCUAAAAAUGUUCAUAUAAUUAUUAAUUUACCACAUUGAUCCCUUAGUCUGUGGUCCCUUAGUCUAGACUAGCAAAGAUUAUUGUAUAACAAAAGUUUUCAAUUUAUUAAGUAUUAAUUUAACCAUGCUUUGCAUAUUUUUCAAAGUUAAAAAUAAGCUAUUGAAAAAAAAUCUAGAAAAUGGUUUCAUACCUUUUCCAACGGCAUUAGGGGCUGUUGUGCAGGAAUACCAAGUUGAUCAUUCACAUUAUUCUGCGAUAAAUCUGCAGCGAAUAUCUUUAAUUUGUCACAACGAUACACUAAAAGAAUUUCCAGUGCGGGCCAUUCCGAAGUAUGCAUUCCAGGGUACAAACAUCUAAGUUUUGGUAGAUCUUGGAGUUUCAGAGUGGUGAGCUGUGGAAAGACAAAAUAAGGGAUCACUUGAUCUGCUCUGUUUUCAGAAAUGAUCUCCUGUAAAUCCUCACAGAAGCGUAUAUCUAGGUGUUGGAGCUGCUUAAGGCUUCCGAUCAUAGAUGCUGAAAAUAUGUAUUUUAAUUUGUGACAACGCCACACAAUCAAUCGUGUUAAACUCUGAAAGUGAGGAAACACGGCCGCCGGAAUUUGAUUGCAAUGCCAAAUCUUGGCGACAUCAAUUUGAGAUAUCUCCAAAGCCUCCAAGUUAGGCAACGCAACCUUAAAAAAUAAGAAUUUCUCGUUAGAUCCAAUAUCCAUAUGGGAAGCACUUGUUGAAAUUUCCUUCUUUGAUUACAAAUUAAUGCAAGUCAGAAUCAAUUUCCAACUGACAGCUGAGUUUGAUGCAUUCUAAUUCAUACUACUUGUUAAGAGCUCAAUUAGUAAGCGUGUGAGAUUCUUUUUAUCCUUUUUUCCAUUUUCUUGCAAUUCUUUAAAUGAUUUAAUUAUUUUCCACGUAUGACGUCAAAAGAGAACGCAUGAUAGAAUAAAAUCUGUUAUAUAUAUAUAAAGAAAAUGUUAGCCUACGCACCUUCUCGUUGAAAAGCAGAGUUGAAGUAUCCAAAGUGAUUUCGCUGGAGCUAUACGUAGUCGUCGAUUCCUCUUGCGACGCUCGUCUGUUCGGUGAUGCUGAAGGAGUCUUUACUUCACGGCAAAAACUUGUAACCUCUGGAAGAUUCCCCAGACUCAAAGAUCUUAAUUGAGCAAACUCUAUCUUCUCAAUUGCAUUAUCAACUUCUUCCCCAAUUGCAAAAAUCUCUUUCAUCUUGCUGCAAUUAAUAACUGCAAUUCUCUCAAGUCUUGGAAGGCAUUUUGUUGUAGAGAGCCAAAAGAUAUUACUCAAUUUAUCACAAUUAUAUGCUUGUAUGAUUUUGAGUUCGUUGAAGGACUCUACUUUGAGCCGAUCAAUACAUAUCCUCUCCAUGUUGAUCAAAUUGUGAAGGCCAAGUGACUCCAAAAGAGGAAAGGCAUCAGAAGCGACCAUCUCCUUUGAAUCGACGAUGCAAAAGAAGUCAGGAUUAUUUUGAACCCCGAGAAGCUUCAAUUGUGAAAAGCCCUCCGUGUCCAAAUUGAAAAUAACGUUCUUGAUACCUCGCAGCUUGUCCAACAAUAAGUAUUCAACUUUAUUGAUGCCCUGCAAUUUGAUGGAGCAAAUGUCCAUAAAAUCAAGCUUGAGCUUCAAUGCUCUUGAAAACUUGCGAUUACUGUCGAUCAAAAAGUGCGGCCGACUUUCAAACCAAUAUUGUCCAAAAAGCACGGGAUGCCUGAAUGACUCAUUUCCAAUAGAUAUUUUGAACCUUUCGAGCUUUCUGGCCAAAAAACCUUCUGGUAAAAUACUGUCAUUUUUAACGUCAAUUUCUAGAGCGGUUAGCCGAGGUAAAUGCAUCAAUUCGUCAAGGCUAGCAUUACUUCUUUUGCUGUUGGCUCUUUCAACCUCCCAUUCAAUGAAGCAAUUACCCAUAUACAAUUCUUCUAAUCGGAUUAAGCUUGAUAUGACAUUUGGGGCAAUAACUUUCAGAAGGAAACAGUCUGUUAAAUCUAACAGCCUUAGCUUAGACAGUUGACCUAGUUCUUCGGGCAACUUCUUAAUAUCAGACUUCAAAAAGCUAAGGACUUCUAGAUUCUUCAACUUCCCAAUGAUUGCUAUGUCGCCCAACGCACUUUGAUCCAGACAUAGUGUGUGAAGAUUUACUAGAAGAUCAAUUGAAGAUGGAAAUGAAGAAAACUGCAUUCGAGUAAAAUCUAGAACUCUAAGCUUUUUCAUCCCUACAAAAAAGUUCUCAGGAAUAUUGAUUUCAAGAGAAGAAUCUUUGAGAGAGAGAUAUAAAAAUUCAAGGUUUGGGCAUUCUAAUCCUUCAGGAAAUUCACGAUUACUAUUAUUUCUUAAAGAGACAGCAUUGCAUUUUCGAAGUGCAUCCUCAUCUGGCCAGUCCCACACAUCCUCAUUUUCGGCCAAAAAUACAUGUUGGUGGCGGCAUGCAAUUGAUAUGGCGACAUCGCGAACAACAUCAUGCAUUGAAAAUUCUUCAUUGCUAUCACCCUCAAGCAACAAACAAGAGUCUCUAAGUUCAUGGACCAAUGCAUAUAAUUUGUCUCGUGCAUCUUCCAUCUUAUUGACUCCUUUAAAUAUACCCAAACCCAUGGAGUACUUAAACAGGUCCAAAGUAUGAAUACCGUUACCCAUUAGACUACCGAGGAGAAAAAUUUUCUUGAGUUGCUCACCUUUUAAAUGGUUGAAACUCAGCUCAAUACUUGAAUAAGUCUCUGCAGAUACUCCUUCGAAGUUCACCAUUGAAGGCGUUCGGAGUUCGCGCAAGGAAUUCUUCCAUUGAUGCGGACUCUUGCUUCUCAGUGCCUUUGCUACCGUACUCAAGGCAAUGGGCAAACCUCCACAUGCCCUGGCGACGUCUAUUGCUGUAGAUUUCAACUCACGAUUUUCAACAUCAUCACCGGCCAUCAUCUUAAACAAUCUCCAAGCUUCUUCUUCAUUUAAAUUGUUAAUCAAGAAGUUGUCUUUAGAUCCCAUUUUCAAGAGGACACUACGAUCUCUUGCCGUCAGCAGUAGUUUGCAUCCUUUAUGAUCUUCCCCAAAAGGAAUUCCAACGGUCUCCAAAUCAAGGUGUUUCCAGAUGUUAUCCAGAAUCACAAGGAUCUUCUUCUCAUUUCUCAAUCGCUCAUAUAGCCUACUUGCUCUUCUAGAUUCAACUUCCUCGUGCAACUCCAGGCCCAACUUCUCGGCAAUUUCCUGUUGAAUCUUUUUUAUGUCUGGAGUUUGCGAAACCUCUGAAAAGACCACCAUAUCAAAGUGCUUGUCUUCCAGAGCUUGCCUGGCGACCUUCUUCACCAGUGUCGUCUUUCCAAUGCCGCCCAUGCCGUACACCCCAAUGAUGCUGACAUUAACAUCGAUCAAUGCGUUUUUUAUAGCCUCCAAAGUAGAACGUCUUGAUUCGAAGGCCUCGUAGCCUUUGUGAGACUUGAGCCAUAUAUCCUCCGGAACAGUACGGUAGGAAAUUCUAUCAUCAAAUCUCCCAGCUUCUUCUCGGAGUUUAAAAAGGGCCUCCUUCUCUGUUUCUGCUUCCUUUCCAUGCUGAUAGCGAGUAAUCCAAUUAGGAAACAGCCCCAUGAGACAUCGUUCAUUUGCUUUCUCUUCGUCUUGAAUGAAUUUGGCUGCCUGCUCAAUGCUCUUGUUCGCAUUAACUAGCCAUUUCUCAACCUUCUCUUCAAUCUUUUCACUUUUUCUUUCAGCCUCAGAAACUCUGCGCUGAAUGCUUUCUCUUUCAUCCUUGAGCCUAUCGAGUUCUGCCUUGAGAUUCUCAAAGUUGGCAGAGGAGUUAUACCAAUAACUAAAUUCGCGUUGUGCGUGAGGAGACAAGCAGUUUACAACUCCUGGAACAAUGCUUUUCAAAAUGUCCAUUUUUUUUUUCUUUUUUGGGGAAGUGAACGAAAUAGAAAUAGAACAGAGUCAACGACCGCGCAAUUGAUAAUUAAGUAGAAAACAAGGCAAAAUUGAAAAAAGAAAUUAUAUUUGUACAAAACAAGGGGAAAAUCAGUGUAACAGAAGAGAAUCAAAGUGUUUUUGAGAUCAGAAAAUUGAACCAAGAAAAGGGUUGCUUGAUCCAAUGAAAAUGCAAAGAGCAUGGCAAAAGGAAACAAAGCUAAAUAAGAAAACGGUUAGCACGAGCAGUGACCACGAUCAACAGAAGCAAAGUGUGUAUGAGAUCAAAAGACGAAAAUCAGGAGAGGUUUUCUUGAUUGAGAAUUGAAGGCAAAGAGUAGGAGCUGACGAAUACGGGGAUCAAGAGGGAAAAACUGCUUGCUCGUAAAACUGCUUUCAAGCGAAUCUGAUAAAAUUAUUUCAGUACAAGUGGGCGACUCCCUUUUAAACUGCAGAAGGAAAAAAAAAAAAAUUCUGAUUUUCAAUAUAUUAAUCUCGUAAUCAAUGAUUAAUUAGUAGAUAAUCUUUCUAACAAAUAUGUGUUGAAUAGAUAUAUUUCUUGAUUAUUCGUAGGUUCGAUAUACUUUAGUAUAGGAAUGAAAGUACAAAUUGUGUCAUAUUAGAAUAAAAAUUAGACCUAAAAAUAUUGUCAUAAAACAUGUGAUCCUCAUCCAAAGGCCAGGUGAACAAAUAUAAACGACAAAUUCUUUUCAAUUAAAUAAUCAUCAAGUGAUAAUAUUCUAUUUCAGUACAAAUAGCGAGUGCAGAACAACUGUCAAGAGAUAAUCAUUGUUUAUGGAGCCAUAUAUAUUUUCUAUUAAAAUAGUUGCGUGAACAAUAGCCAGAAUCCGAAAAAAUUGUUGAAAGGUCUAUUAUUUUCGUUUAAAAUUGUUGAAAGGUCUAUUAGUUUCGAUUAAAAUAUUUUCGAUAAAAAUAGUUGUGUGAACAAUUACCAUAAAUAGUGUUUACAUUUUGGAUUGGACUGAGAAUCUUGAAGAGUGGAAAUCUUAGAAUUGAGAGUAUGGAGUAGAAGUGGGUGUAAGUUGUUUACUUACACUGAAAUAUAAGCAUGGAAUGAAGAUUAUAAUCCAAUUUAUGUAUUUACUUUAUCUUGGAUUGGGAGUAAAUAGUUUCAAAUUAUAAUUUUAUCUUCAUUUAAAGAAUUAUAGUUUUUAAUUACAAAGUUAAUAAAAAUAUAUAUUUAAUGAAUAAACAUUUAUUUUAUUAUAUUUAUAAAUUUAUAAUAAUUAUUAAUAUUCUUAAUUAUGUACAUCAUAUUUUUUAUUAAUUUUAAUUUUAAAUAUAUAAAUUAAAAAUUAUUGAUAAGAGCAAUGUAAAUGAAACAUUUUUACUAUUAACAUAGUACAAAAUUAAUAUUUUCUUAUAAUUAACUAUUUAUUAUUACUAAUUAUUGAUAUUAAAUAAAUAUAAUACUAUUAUUUUUAAAUAAAUAUAAUAAUAUUAUAUUUUCAAAUAAAGAUAGUAUAUAGUAAUAUUAUUAAUUCUCUAUUAAUAUAAUAAUAUUAUUUUAAGUAAUUUAAACUUAGAAUCAAACCAAAUUAUUAUUUAGUUAAAUAUAAUAUUAUUAUUUAAAUAAAUAAAAUAUUAUUUAUUUUAUUUUAUUAAAAAUAAUUAUAGUAAAUUUAAUAAAAGGGGGUUAAAAAAGGAAGGUAAAUAUAAAAUGAAAUAUUAUUUUAUUUAAUUAUAUUAAAUUUAUUAUUAUAUAAAUAAUAAUAUAAUAUUAUUUAGUAUAAAAUUAAUAUUUUCUUAGAAUAAACUAUUUAUUAUUAUUAAUUAUUAAUAUUAAAUAAAUAUAAUACUAUUAUUUUUAAAUAAAUAUAAUAAUAUGAUAUCUUCAAAUAAAGAUAGCAUAUAAUAAUAUUAUUAAUUCUCUAUUAAUAUAAUAAUGUUAUUUAUUUUAUUUUAUUAAAUAUAAAAUAUUAAAUUUAAUUAAAUAAAGGUAGAAAAGGGAGAGGUGGGAGUGGAUUUCCCAUGGGAGUCCCACUCACACUCCCCACUCCAAAAAUGGGUGGGGUCCACGGAGUGGGAUUUCCAACCCCUCCUUAAAAUGGUGAAGUAAACACUGGAGUGGGAGGAAUGCACACUGCUCACACUCACCCCAGAAAAUAAACACCGAAAAGGCCAGAUGAUGAAGAACCACUAUAAGUUCUUUUAUGAAUUUAAAAUGCUAAAGAAACUUGACACCAACGCUAAGCUAACAAGUGCAUAUUUUUCUGUGGCCCUUGCCUCAAUGUCUUUUGGGCAUUGCUCGGGGGUAGUUGAUAUAUUGAUUAAAAUAUGAAUGAAUUGGAAUGGAAUGAGUUGGAAUUAAAAUAUGGAAUAGUAAUUAAUUAAUUAAUUUAAAUUGUAAAAAUUAAAAUAAAAAUAAAUUAUAUCAUCAUUGAUAUAUUUAUUUUAUUUUAAAAUCACGAUGAGUUGUUACAAAUUACAAAAUAUCUUUAAUUUUUUAUCAUAAUAAUAAUAAUUUAUUAUAAUAUUUUGUUGGCCUAAAUGGUUAUAUAAUCCUUGAUUUUGAUGAUAACAAACUACAUAGAGUACAAUAGUAAAUUUAUUUCUCACAAUCUCACAAGUUUUUGAAGGGCAAAAAUCAUUCAAGUGGGAUCAAGAUCAAGAUACUCAAUAGACAAUGACAAUCAAGGACGAAUACUAAGGGUACUAGUUUAAGCCAUCUUUAUUGUUAAAUUUCUUGUAAAGCCAGUGUAAUUUAACGUGUGCAUGAUGUAACAUUUAAAAGCUCAAGACAUUUUUCAUGACAUUUUCAAAUUAAAUCAUCAUUUUCUAAAAUAUAAAAGUUUUAACGAUUUUAUAAAAUUAGUUGCUUUUUCCAAAUUUAUGAACUAAAUUGAAAAGUUUUGAGAACUUUGAAAUCAACUAAUAAUGUUUUAAAACAUAGAAAUUGACAUAUUUGUAAAUAUUUCAAACGUUUUGGGUCGUAAUAUAAUUUCAAAAAAAUUAGGUCUAAUCUAUAAAUCCUGGAACAAUAGUGGCUAAUCGCUUAACCAAUAGCGACUAACUACUUCAAGUCCAAAAACAUAGCAGCUAACCGCUUAAAUCAAGUGACAAUCCGCUUGAACCAAAGUUUUCAAAUUUGAUUUGCAACUGUAACUUACCAUAUCAACAUAGUGGCUAAUCGCCUCAUUUUAACGGCGAUCCAGCAAGUCCCUAGAAAAGCCAAUAAUUGCUAGUUUGAUUAUUUAAACUAUAAAAUUCAAAUCUAACAAUUUUUUUUUUCAAUCUCAAUUAAGCUAAAACUUAUUCAUAUAUCUUGAGCUUUCAUUUUGCUUAUCUACAUACAUUAAUCAUUAUAGAGCUAUCAUUUGCUUAUACACUCUUAUAGAGUGUAAUCUUUGUAAUCUUCAAUUAAAUAUCAAAAUUGAGUGAGUAUAAGUGUGGGAAACACUUGGGAAAAGAGGUGUGUGUAUACAUAAUUACUUGUAAAGGUUUAUUGACACCUUAGAAGUCAAUUGUAAAAUUUUGGAGCCUUGGAAGGUUUGGAUAGUAGAAUUCUCAAGUUUGGAUUGCUUGGAGGCGUAGUCAUAGGCGGGUUUGCCGAACCACAUAAAAAUUCAUGUGUUUGUUAUCUUCUCCCUUAUCUUUUUAAUUUCACGUAUAGUUAAAUUUACCAUUAUUAAAUUUCUUGAAGUAUUUGUUUAAUUUGUAUUGUGUUUUUGUUAGUAUAAUUUUUAAUACCUAAUUCGCCCCCCUCUUGGGUUGCUUAGCUAGAAUUUCAUUUGGUAUCAAAGGAAGUUCUCUUGUUAGGACUUAACCAUCUAGAGUAAAAGAUCCAUAGUAAUCCAAAAUGAUCCCAGAUUUGGGGAAGGUUAAUCCCUUACUAGAUCACCAUUCUUUGAUGGGAAUGAUUAUCCAUGUUGGAAAAUUAUGAUAAGAAUUUAUUUGCAAGCAUUAUAUUAUGAAAUAUAGGAAGUUGAUUGUGAUGGUCCAUUCAUGCCUACUGCUAAAAAUGAAGAAGGGAAAGAAAUUCUAAAACCUUCACAAGAAUGGAAUGAGUCGGAAAAGAGAAAAGAUUCUCUUAAUUUCAAAGUCAUGAAUGCUUUGUUUUGUGACUUAGAUAAAAAAGAAUUCUAUAGAGUUUAAGGUUGUUCCAAUGCUUAUGAAAAUUGGAAAAAACAUAAAGUCAUUUAUAAAGCUACAAAUCAAGUCAAAUAGUCUAAAAUUAGUAAAUAUACUAGGCAAUACGAAUUGCUAUAAAUGGAACAAAAUGAGAGUGUUAAUCCCAUAUACACUAGAUUAACAGACAUUAUAAACACUUUAGGAGCUCUUAGAAAGACUUUUUCAAACAGCGAAAAGGUAAAAAAAAUCAGUAGGUCUUUACCAAAAGAAUAGAGACCUAAGAAAAUUCCCAUUGAGGAAGCCAAUGAUAUUUUAUCUAUUGAUGAUUUAAUUAGUUCAUUUAUUUCUUAUGAAAAGGAUUUGACAACUGAAAAAUAUAAUGAAGACGAGAAGAAGAAGAGUUUUUCCUUAAAAGCAUCAAGAUCUAAAAGUGACAACGAAAGUGAGAUCGAAAAUGAAGACAUGGCUAUGAUAGCUGGAAAAUUCAAAAUAAUUUUCAAGAAAUCCAUCGAGCGAAGGAAAUUCAAAAAUUAGAAAGAGAAGAAGGAGGCAAUUAUUUUCUUUAAAUGCAGGAAGCCUAGACACAUAAAACUAGCAUGUCCUUUUCUCAAAAAAUUAAAGAAGAUAGCCAUGGUAGCAACACGGGAUGAUAGCGAUAAGGAGACUAUAGAUGAAGAGUAGUCCCAUGAAGUGUCAAAUUUGGCACUUAUGGUUAUAGGAGAUGAACUUGAUGAGGUAAACCUCUUAGGAUGAGUUGUUUGAAGUAUUCUCUAAAUUGCAUAAAGAUGUAAAGAAGAUUGAAAUGUAAAAUGUUUCUCUUGGAAAGAAAAAAGUAGAACUUUUAAAUGAGAAUGACACUUUGAAUAAAAAGAUUAAGUGCCUAGAAGUAUUUGUGAAGAAAUUGCAUCUUUUAAAGAAAAAACAAAAUGUUUCAUCUAAGAAUAAAGGUUUACUUGUAAAUGAUUUGAAAAAGAAAAAUGAAAUAUAUUGCUUUAGAAUUUGCUUAGUAUUAGUCAAUUGUGUGAUAAAUGUUACAAAGUUAUUUUUAUGUGAUAAAGACUAUAGAGUUAUUUUUUAUAAAACAAAAUGUGUUAUUAAAAAUACAUGUGAUGACAAAGUUUUAUUUGUUACAUAAAGAUGUGUUAAUGUAUACACCAUUGAUAUAGAUAGUGUAUCAACUCAUGAUAAAUGUUUUUUUCACAUUACAUGAUGAUAGUUGAUAUGGCAUGGAAGACUAGGUCAUGCGAGCAUGGAUUUGUUUUCAAAAUUUUUUAAAAAUGAUUUGGUUAUAGGUCUUCUAAAAAUUGGUUCUAAAAAAGAUAAAAUUUGUGAAGUUUGCCAAUUUAGAAAACAAAUAAAACGUCCUUUAAAAAAAAUUCAUAUUUCUACUUCAAAACCACUUUAACUUUUUCACAUGGAUUUGUUUGAAUUUUCUAAAUAUGCUAGUUUAAGUGGUAAAUAUUAUGCAUUUAUAAUUAUAGAUGAUUAUUCUAUAUACACAUGGUAUUACUCUCAACUAAUAAAGAUGACACCUUUAAUGCUUUCAAAGUUUCUAUAAAAAGGUUCAAAAUGAAAAAUGAUAUGUUAUUUCUUGCAUUAGAAGUGAUCAUGGUGGAGAAUUUGAAAAUUAUAUUUUGAAAAUUUUUACAAUAACUUUGGCAUUGAGCAUCAAUUCUUGUUACCAAGAACUCCAUAAUAAAAUGGAGUAGUUGAGAGAAAGAAUAGGUCUAUCCAAGAAAUGGCUAGGACCAUGUUAAAUGAAAAUGUUUUACUAAAAUAUUUUUGGGUUGGAACCGUCAACAUUGUUUGUUAUAUUUUAAAUCGUGCAUUGAUUAGACCUUACCUCAAUAAAACUCCUUAUGAGUUUUGGAAAAAUAGAAAAACAUUGACUAUUUCAAAGUUUUUGGUUGCAAAUGUUUUCUAUUGAAUACAAAAGACAAUCUUGGUAAAUUUAAUCUAAAAUCUGAUGUUGAUAUUUUUCUUGGGUAUUCAAAUACAAGCAAAACUUAUAGAGUGUAUAAUAAAAGAUCCUUGGUCGCUAAAGAAUCUAUACAUGUUAUAUUUGAUGAAUCUAACUUUUCUUCUAUGAAGAAAGUUGUUGUUGAUGAUGAUGCAUAUGAAGAGUUACAAAAACAAAAAGUCUUUAAAAGACAAACAAGAUGAUUUACCGGUAAAAAUCAAGAUGAGCAACAAGAAAAACAAGUUAAACAGAUUCAAAAUGAAGGUAAUUCACAAACACUCUCUAAGGAGCUAAGGUAUGUCUCUUCACACCCUAAAGACUUAAUCUUAGGAGAUCCUUCAUGAGGUGUAACUACUAGAUAAUCACUUAGAAAUACAUGUGAACAUACUGUAUUCAUAUCUCAAGUUGAGCCAAAAUCCUUUUCAGAUGUGGAAAAUGAUGAAUCUUGGAUUAUAGCAAUACAAGAAGAGUUAAAUCAAUUUGAAUGAAACAAUGUAUGGAAACUUAUUCAUAAACCAUAACAUCAAUCUGUAAUAGGCAAUAAAUGGGUAUUUAGGAAUAAAAUCGAUGAAUCUGGUGUAGUUGUAAGGAAUAAAGUUAGAUUAGUAGCUCAAUGAUGCAACCAAGAAGAAGAAAUUGAUUUUGAUGAAACCUUUGCACAUGUAUCGAGAUUAGAAUCCAUUACAUGCUUUUAUCAUUUGCAUAUCAUAAUGAUUUUAUUUUAUAUUAAAUGGAUGCUAAAAGCACCUUUCUAAAUAGUUGUAUUAUGAAGGAAGCUUAAGUGAAACAACCCCCUCAUUUUAAAAAUGAAAAAUGUUUUUGGAUCAUGUUUACAAGUUGUCCAAAGUUUUAUAUAGUUUAAAGUAAGCAUCUAGAGCAUGAUAUGAUAGACUUAGUAAAUUUCUUUUAGAAAAUAGUUUUUCAAUGGGUAAAGCGAAUACUACUCUAUUUGUUAAAUACAAGGAUCAAGGUAUACUUGUUCAAAUUUAUAUUGAUGAUAUUAACUUUAGUUCUAUUAAUGAGUUUCUGUGUAAGGAAUUUUCAUCUUGCAUAAGUAGAGAAUUUGAGAUGAGCAUGAUGGGAGAAUUGAAGUACUUUCUUGGACUUCAAAUUUAAAAGAAAAAAAAGAAUUCAUUAAUCAAGCCAAGUAUUUCAGAGAUCUACUCAAAAGAUUUUGCAUUCAGGACUAAGGACACUCCAAUGAGAACUACAAUCAAUCUCGAUAAGGAUAAAAAAAGUAAAGAUGUUGUAUCAAAAGAUAUCGAGGUAUGAUCAUAUUUUUACUUUACUUUACUACUAGUAGACAUUACUUUAGUGUAUGUUUGUGUGCAUGAUUUCAACCAGAUCUCAAAGAAUCUCAUUUGCUUGCGGUUAAAAGAUUUUUUUCAUUAUUUAUGAGGAACAAUUGAUCUUGGUCUAAGGGAACUCAUAUAAAUUAUUAGCUCAAUAAAUUUUUCAAAGAAUCCCAUUCAACAUUCUAGGACCAAACAUAUUGAAAUUAGGCAUUAUUUCUCACGUGAUCAUGUUCAAAUGAGAGAUAUUGCUUUAGAAUUUGUUUCUAUAGAAAAAUAUCUUGCUGAUAUUUUUACAAAUCCUUUUUGUGAAGAAUAGUUUUCAAAGAUUUGGAUUGAGUUUGGAAUGAUGACAUUUUCACAUCAAUAUUUCAUUGCAUGAUAUUGAGACUACAAAUUUGCUUGAUUUUCUAUCUUGAUUUUAAUGUGUUAUAUGCUUGAAUUUACUUCUUUGAAUGUUUAUCAUCAUAUCUUAUGCAUUAAAAAUGGCUUUUGAAAUACUUCGGGAUCACAAAAUGGUCUCAAAAUUAAUUAAAUUUUGGCCAAAAAGCAAAAUCGUGCAAAAUUUAGGGGAACUAGCUAACCGUUAACAACAAGCGACUAGCCAAUUAUGAGGCAGAAACUAGCUGGUCAGUAGGGUUGGCAAUGGGACGGGAUGGGAUGGGAUUUACCAAUCCCAGUCCCAUCCCGUAUAUGCAAAUGGGAUGAAAAAACGUCCCAAUCCCGUCCCUAUAUUUUUUUUGGGACAAAAAUAUGUCCCAAUCCCGUCCCAAAAGAGAUGGGAUCCUGCGGGAUCCCAUCCCAAUUGGAAAAUUUUUCAUUCUUAAUCGGUAAUGAGACGGGAUGGGACGGAAUUUAUCAAUCCCACUCCCGUCCCGCAUAUGUAAUUGGGAUAAAAAAAAUGUCCCAAUCCCAUCCCAAAUUUUUUUAUGGAACAAAAAUAUGUCCUAAUCCCAUCCCAAAUGGGAUGGGAUCCCGCAGGAUCCCAUCCCAUCGGGAAAAAUUGCCAUCCCUACUGGUCAGCCGGCUUAAAGCAAACGGUUAAUUGCUUGGUUUCUAAAAAUGAAACGGUUAACCGCUUUCUUCAAGAGGCUAGCUGGCUUCACGUUUUAAAUGUUGUUCAUCUUCUUUUUCCCACUUUCAGUUGUUACCCUCUCUCUAUCACUGUCAUCUCUCAUUUCUUUUACUCUCUCUCUAAAAUCUUCCGUUUUUACAUCACUUUUGUGUCAAAUUAAACUUUCCAAAUCAUUUCCCAUCAAUUAAUCUUCACUCAUUUGCUUUUAAAACACAAUCUAAUCACUCUUCUCUCAAAAUCUUAAAACCUAAGUCACCAAUUUCAACAUUCUCAAAUUUGAACCAUUAUUUGACCAUUUUUGACCAAAAUAAACCCAUACAUUCCUUAGAUCUUCUCAAAGAACAUUUUAAUCGGUUCAAAAUCAUCUAUUUCUGUAAAAACUUUGUGAACUCGAAUUUGUGCAAUUUUGGACACAUUUUGAUAAUUUCUUAAUGGCUAGUGGUGAGAAGUCUAAGGGUAAGCAUAUGCCUAAAAUGUAAAAAAAAGAUUCAUAAAGACAUUUUCAAAUUCAUUUCCACCCACUUCCCAAAUCCGCCCCAAUGGAAUGAUUCUCUGAUCGAUUUAUGACAAGGUCAGUCCUCCCAUACUAUAUAUGUUAAUCUUGAUUAAUUAGAAAAUUUGUCAAGUUGUAGCAAAACUCUUAGAACUUUACUUGCUGAAUUGGGUUGGACAAAUGUCUUAGUUCUUAAGGAACAUAUUUGUCCUAAUUUGGUACGAGUAUUUUAUUCGAACAUGCUUAUUUCUACAAAUACUGCCAAUAUGAUUAUUACUAAUGUUAUUGGGAUUCCUAUUAAGUUUACUGUAGAAGAUUUAAACAUGAAUCUCAGAUGAUAGGUUGCAUUUGUAUACAUCUAGGACUAAAAUUGAUUAUCCCUGGUAUUUAGUUGUAGAUGAUGUUUGAAACAUAGAUGUUCGAAACAUAUGUAGGUGAUCUGAUCUAUCCAUGGAGCUUUUUAACUCCUCUCUUAGAUCACAAGUGUUGCCUCUUCAAGUUCGGAUCCUACAUAAUGUUCUUUAGCUUGUGAUCAGUCCUCGCAAGGGACAUGGUGCUGAGGUUACACGCUUAGAUGUUACUUUAUUAGAUAGCAUCCUUGAGGGUAAAAGCUAAAUGUGCGAAUAUUAUCAUUCAGCACAUGCUUAAUACACUGAGUAUAGGAAACCAAUCCUUUUCGGUCGGUAGUGUCAUUACCCACAUCCUUCAAUAUUUUUGGGUCCCUAUAGCUGAACCAUCUCAUAAUGAACCCAAGGAGUUAGGGGAUGAGGUCAUUGCUAGCUUAGGAUUUGGGUGGGUAGAUGACCAAUAGGUUAAAAAUUAGAACUUGUUGAGCAAACCCACAAAGCUGGCUCUUUUUUAUCAUUGCAUCUUUAACGAUGUGCUUCCCCUUACUGGGUUCUUGAUCUUAGUUCUUCCAUGAGGUCACAAGCUCUACAUUGGCCUUCUGAUGCUCCACCAUCAUCAUCUUCAGCCAUUCCCAAUAACCCAAUCCAACAGUUGUUGAAUAAAGUGCGUUCCAUAUCCGAACAAUAAAGCAAAUUUAAGAUAUCGUUCGCAGCAUUCCAGGAUCAUUUUCUUUCUGAGCAACAACGUCUCUUUCUUCAACAAUAACAAAUUCUAGACCAUCACUAGCUUAUUUUCAUUGCUCUCAAAUUUUCGCCACCAUCCUUAUUAUCUUGUUUGCUACCUCAUCAGUGAUUUUCUUUUAUCUCUUUUGCUUCAUUGUUUUAUGCACCGACAUUAUUUAUCAUAUGCAUUUUCGUUUUUAGCAUCAUGGAUACUUGAUGGAUGUUAUUUUACUUAUGCAUUAUAGAUACUUGAGUUGAUAUGGAUUAUCUUUAUGCAUUCUAGUUAUUGAUUGUGGUAUCUUUAUUAAUUAUCUUUAUGGAUUAUCUUUAUUGAUUAUGGAUUAUGUAUAUGGAUACUUGAUUAAUGGUUAUGUGUGGAUUUUCGAUUGAUGAUCUUUGUGGGGGAUAAUUAUUGAUAAUAUUUGUAUAAUAGAGGAGUGAUUUUUCAUGAUGAAGGGGGAGAAGAUAUUGACAUGUAUUUUGAAGUGUUUUGACAUGUUUUUGGCUCAUGGGGGUUGAUUGAGUGUUUGUAGUAUUUUAGUUGCUUUCUGAGUCACUCAAGGAGAGUUUACAAAUGUUGUACAAUUAUUGUUAGCCUAUAUGGUUAUAAAUAUUGAUUUUGAUGAUAACAAACCACAUGUAUUGAUUAAGAAAAGAUUUAUUAAUUGUACUUUUAUAAUAAGAAAAUGAUGUUAUGGAAUUAAAGUAUUUUGGACUAAAAUGAAAGUAUUUUAAAAUCUUUGAUAGUGUUUUAAAUUUCGGAUUUGGACCUGUUUGAAACUAUUUAAAUAUUUUUUGAUUAUUCUAUAAUUUCAUAUAGUUUGGGUGAAAUCAUAAUUUCAGAAAGUUUUGGGAUUGACAAAGCAUUAUUUAAAAUUCUGAAAUUGGACCUAUUUGCAAAGUUUCAUAAAGUUUUGAGCCAUAAUAUAGUUUUAUAAAGUUUUGGGGUCAAACUAUAAAUUUAAAAAAUAUUUCACUGUAGCAGUAACUGUAGCAAGCGGCUUACCGGAUAUGGUUAAACGACAAACUGGAUAUUGGGCAGUAAGCGUCUGGAGCAUAAACGGCUUACCGGAUUUUGUAAGCAGCAAGCCGGAUAUUCUGAAAUUCAAAAUUUUGCCAUAACGGUAACAUAAAAGCGGCUUACCAGAUUCCUAAAUGGCAAGCCGGUUAUAACAGAAAAUGUGCAUAACAGCUAGUUUUUUAGCUCAAACUAUAAGAACUCAAAUCCAAAUCAUUUUCAAGCUCUCCAACAAGCAUAAACAAAAAGCACACGAGAUAUCUUGAGCUUUCAAGUUGCAAAACACAAAACAUUUAAUCAUGUCUUGUUUUUCAUUUUUGAAUAUCUGCUUUUUGAGUGAGUUUUAUUGUAACUUUCAUUUCUUCAUCUCAAUUGUAAGAGUUUGAGUGUGUGAGACACUUGAGUGAAGAGAUUGUUAGAUAAUCUCUUUGUUGUAAAGGUUCAUUGACACCUUGAAGUCAAUUGUAAACAGUUAAAACCUUGGAAAGGCUUGGAUAGUGAAAACCUCAAGCUUGGAUCGCUUGGAGGUGUGGACAUAGGCGGAGAUUGCCGAACCACGUAAAAAUUCGUAUGUUUGUUUCUUUUCUCCCUUACUCAUUAGUUAUUGUGUUUUUAUUGAACUUAUUGCUUUUAAUUUUUAUUAAGACAUUUAGAUUGCUUGUUGUGUGGAUUUGCUAAGAAAUUUUUUAAAAUUCCAAUUCACCCCCCUUUUUGGGUUGCACACUUAUAUUUCAUUUGGUAUUAGAGCGAGGUGCUCUUAUUUGGACCUAACCGUUUAGAACUAAAUAUCAAUGGCAACUCAAAAUGAUUCCACAUUUAGGGAAGGACAGUCCACUACUAGACCACCUUACUUUGAUGGAAACGAUUACCCAUAUUAGAAAACUAGGAUGAGAAUUUACUUGCAAGUCUUAGAUUAUGAAAUUUGGGAAAUCGUUAAUGAUGGUUCUUUCAUGCCUUUGACUAAAAAUGAAGUCGGAGAAGAUAUUCCAAAACCUUCACGGGAAUGGAAUGGAUUCGAAAAGAGAAAAGCUUCUCUAAAUUCCAAGGCCAUGAAUGCCUUAUUUUGUGCACUAGAUAAGAAAGAGUUUCAUAGAGUGUCUAGUUGCGAAAGUGCUAAUGAGAUUUGGCACAAACUUGAAGUUGUCUAUGAAGGCACGAACCAAGUGAAAGAAUGUAAAAUAAGUAGGUGCACUCGACAAUAUGAAUUGUUCCAAAUGGAACAAAAUGAAAAUGUGUACUCUAUGUAUACUAGAUUUACAGACAUAGUGAACACUCUAGGAGCCCUAGGAAAGACCUUUUUAAAUAGCGAGAAAGUCAAGAAAAUCAUUAGGUCGCUACCUAAGGAAUGGAGACAAAAAAGGACUGUCAUUGAGGAAGCCAAAGAUUUAAAUGUAUUACCUAUUAAUGAUUUAAUUGGUUCUCUCAUUUCAUAUGAAGAAGAUUUGGCAGCUGAAAAAGGGCAUGAGGAAAAGAAGAAAAACAUUUCUCUCAAGGCUUCAAAAUGUGAGAGUGAUGGGGAAAGCGAAAUGGAUGAUGAGGAGUUGGCAAUGUUGGCUAGAAGAUUUAGAAAAUUUUACAAAAAGAAUAAUGAGCAGAGAAAGUUCAGAGGCUACAAGAAUAAGAAGGAGAAGAAUGAGUCAAUCACUUGUUAUGAAUGCAAGAAACCCGGAUACAUACGACCGAAAUGUCCUCUUUUCAACAAACUCAAGAAGAAAGCUAUGGUGGCCACAUGGGAUGAUAGCGAUGAGGAAACAAGUGAUGAUGAUGAGCAACAGGAAAUGACAAAUUUAGAUCUCAUGGCCAUUGGGGAAGAAUCAUGUGAUGAACUUGAUGAGGUACGUGUUCUUCCUACAUAUGAUGAAUUACAUAAUGCCUUUAAGGAUUUGCAUGAUGAGCUGAUGAAGAUUGGUAAAAAGAAUAUAUGUCUUAAAAAGAAGAUAAUAGAGCUUAAAAAUGAAAAUGAAUCAUUUAGUGCAAAGAUUACAUGCCUAGAAUUAGAAAAUAAAACAUUGCAUGAUAGCAUUGCAUUAUUUGAGAAUUCUAGCACUCCACAUGAGCACUUAGAGUCACACAUGAAUGACUUGAAAAAUGAAAAUGAAAUGCUUAGAAAGAAGAGCAAUGAACUAAAUGAAAUUCUACUAAAAUUCACAAAUGGGAGAAAGAUGUUGGACAAUUUGCUAAACUCACAAAAAUGUGUAUUUGACAAAAGUGGCAUUGGUUAUAAACCAAAUUUGAAACAAAAAUUUUACAAGAGUUGUUUUGUGAAGAAUACAUCUAUUAACAAUCAAAUUGUAUGUCAUUAUUGUAAUCAAAAUGGUUAUAUGAAAAAUAGAUGUGCAGUGAAGAGAAAUGCAUAUUAUGGUGUGAAAUGUGUUUGGGUUCCGAAAGGAACCAUUGUUAACUCUUAAGGACCCAAAAAGGUUUGAGUACCUAAAACUUGAGAUUUUCUCUACAGGGCUUGAAGAAGAAGAAUAAUAAGUGUUACUUGGACAGCGGUUGUUCAAGACACAUGACAGGGAAUUAUUCUUGGUUUUCAAGUUUUACUAAGAUCGAAAAUGGUGGAGAUGUAUCAUUUGGAGAUAAUUCAAAAGGAAAAAUCAUUGGGAUUGGAAAUGUCGGUAAUGCAUCCUCUACUCUCAUUGAAAAUGUGUGUUUGGUUGAAAACUUGAAAACACAACUUGCUUAGUAUUAAUCAAUUAUGUGAUAAAGGAUAUAGAGUUAUCUUUGAUAAAUCAAAAUGUGUUAUUGAGAAUGCAUGUGAUGGGAAAGUUUUGUUUGUAGGAAAUAAAUGUGUUAAUGUCUAUACUAUUAAUAUAGAUUGUGUAUCAACAAAUGAUAAAUGUCUCUCUGCAUUACAUGAUGAUGGUUGACUGUGGCAUAGAAGAUUAGGUCAUGCAAGCAUGGAUUUGAUUUCAAAAAUCGUGAAAAAUGAUUUAGUUAAAGGUCUUACAAAAAUUAGUUUUCAAAAAGAUAGAAUUUGUGAAGCAUGCCUAUUUGGAAAAAAAAUCAAAACUUCCUUCAAAAGCAAGAAUCAUGUCUCUACUUCAAAACCACUUCAAUUACUUCACAUAGAUUUGUUUGGACCUUCUAGAUAUGCUAGUUUAAGUGGCAAAUUUUAUGCAUUUGUAAUUGUGGAUGAUUAUUCUAGAUACACAUAGGCAUUGUUCUUAGCUAAUAAGGAUGAUGCCAUUGAUGCAUUUCAAAUUUUCUCUAAAAAGGUUCAAAAUGAAAAAAGGUUAUUCUAUUACUUGUAUUAGAAGUGAUCAUGGUGAAAAAUUUGAAAAUCAUGCAUUUGAAAAUUUUUGUAAUGACUUUGGCAUUGAACAUCAAUUUUCAUCACCUAAGACUCCACAAUAAAAUGGAGUAGUAGAGAGAAAGAAUAGGUCUAUUCAAGAAAUGACUAGGAGCAUGUUGAAUGAAAACUCUAUGCUUGAGUAUUUUUAGACCGAAACCGUCAACACCGCUUGUUAUGUUUUAAAUCGUGUGUUGAUUAGACCUAAUCUUAAUAAAACUCCAUAUGAGCUUUGGAAAGAUAGAAAACCCAACAUUGGCUAUUUUAAAGUUUUUGGAUGCAAAUGUUUUGUUUUGAUCACAAAAGAUAAUCUUGGUAAAUUUGAUCCAAAAUCUGAUGUUGGUAUUUUUCUUGGUUAUUCAAAUUCAAUCAAAACUUAUAGAGUUUAUAAUAAAAGAACUUUAGUUGUGGAAAAAUCUAUGCAUGUUACAUUGAUGAGUCUAACCCCUCCUCUACGGAGAAAGUCGUUGUUGAUGAUAAUGCAGAAGAAGAACUACAAGAAGAAGCAUCAAAUGACAACCAGAAGAUGCACCACAUGAAAUUCAAGAGGAACAUCAUGAAGAAAACAAAUGUAGAGCAAAAUGAAGUACUUCUCAAACACUCCCAAGGAGUGGAGGUGUGUUUCCUCUCACCCUUAGGAUGUAAUUUUAGGAGAUCCCUCACGAGGUGUUACCACUAGAUCAUCUCUUAGGAACACAUGUGAGCAUGCUGCAUUUAUUUCUCAAAUUGAACCAAAAUCCUUUGCGGAUGCAGAAAAUGAUGAAUCUUGGAUUAUGGAAAUGCAAGAAGAGUUGAAUCAAUUUGAGAGAAACAAUGUGUGGGAGUUAGUUCUAAAUCCAGAACAUCAAUCCAUUAUAGGCACUAAAUAGGUAUUUAAAAACAAAAUGGAUGAAUUUGGUGUGGUUGUAAGAAAUAAAGCUAGAUUAGUGGCUCAAGGUUACAACCAAGAAGAAGGAAUUGAUUUUAAUGAAACUUUUGCACCUGUAGCAAGGUUAGAAUCCAUUAGGAUGUUGUUAGCAUAUGCAUGUCAUAAGGAUUUUAUUUUAUAUCAAAUGGAUGUCAAGAGUGCUUUCUUAAAUGGUUAUAUUAUGGAGGAAGUUUAUGUGAAACAACCUCCUGGUUUUGAAAAUGAAAAUUUUCCAGAUCAUGUGUAUAAGUUAUCUAAGGUUUUGUAUGGUCUAAAACAAGCACCUAGAGUUUGGUAUGAUAGGCUUAAAAACUUCUUGUUGGAUAACGAUUUUUCGAUGGCUUAAAAAUCAGAAUGCCAAAAUAUAAAACAACAGUUAAAUUCCAUUUAAACUCCAAGAAAAGUAAUUCAAAUUCCGGCCACCGAGCCAAGUUCUCCAACAAAAUUUCCAAAGAUUAAUGGAAAUAUUCCAAUAGCAAGACUUCCAGAAGCAAUACCCUCUUCCAGCGGCAAUACAUUGUUUAGAACUACAACACUAAAACAUAAAAGCCAAAUACUAUAUUAAACUCAUAAAAAGCUUAUAAUUUACAGGAGAAACUGAAAGUAUCAAUCAAUUUUGAGGCAACCAAUUUGACAAUUUAAUAUUAAACUCAUAAAAAGCAUUGCCAGUAGUGAGUUUAAAUAUACCUGCAUCUGUGUCCUUGCCAAUUCAAUGGGGUAGCAACUAAUACAUGCUAAUGAACGUGCAACAGACCCAGCAACUAGGGGAACAUAUUGUGCCAACAUUGGAGCAUUGUCAAUAGGGAAUUUUCCAUCAAAUUGCGAAAACUGUCAUAACAAGGAAGGUAAAUUCCCACCUGAAAAGAGUAAUUAACAGAAAAAAAAGAAAAUAAUCAUCAUAAUGCAAAAAAAUUUCAAUGCCACACUGAUGUAUGGGAUGAAAUAUUUGAAGAAACACAAGCAAUUUAUGUACAAGAGAGACUUAUUGUUGGCAUAGACAACGCUAAACUUGCAUAAGUGCCUCUCCAUAGUCGGGCAAAUCCCUCCUGCACAUGUUUAGCUCUUAUGAAACCUUUGAUAUUAAAGAUCAAAAUUUAAGAUUCACUAACAGUAGCACCAAGAAAUCUAUUUAUUGAAGGCACAUUAACUACACAAUACAAAAUCUCUUUCCAUAAUAUAUGUAAUCACACUGCAAGUAUAAUGCAGUACACUAAAAUGCCAUCAGUUGACUUGUUCUAAAAAAUGUCUAUAAGACAUUCUGUACAAAUCCCAGUUCUUACGGAGUUAUUUUGCCCAUGGAUCAAAUCACUUUAGGACUGGAAAAAUGACGUCAUCUAAAUAGGAAAUUAGGAGUAAUAACAUGUAAUUCCAAUUGAAUUUAGUUUUUCUUCUUCAUAAUUUUCCUGUGAACUAUAACAACUGCUUUCUAGGAUCUCUUUCUUCUUUAGAGAUACAAUAGUUUUACAAAGAUCCAAUAUAAAACUCUUUAGGAUAAAAAUAGUCCAAGGAAAGCUUUUCUCAACAGCAUAAACUAUACACUUUUGGAAAACUUCAGUUCUUUUUAUUAGAUAUAUGUGUAAUUUAUUCAUAAAGUCCUUGUAUCCACCAACCUGGCAUACGAAUUUGUAGAAAACAUCCAGUGUUCCUUUAUAUUUAUUACAUUCUGGAGCUGGUUUAGAGCCUGGAACUGCACACGUGCAUGAUGGGGAAUUUCUCAUAUCUGGAAGCAUCUACAGAAACAAUUUGAAAGACAACACUUGUCACAAGAUCAUAUAACAAAGAGCAAUAAGAAUAGUAAUUGUUGAGUGUUAGAAAAUGUAUAUUUAUAAAGGAGAAAAUCGUCAUUUUACAUUUCAAGUCUUACUAACAACCCUUACUUUUAUGUAUUUAAGCCUCUUGUAAUUUAAUUAUGUGUGUUUUAUUUUAAUUAAGUAUUUUAUGUAUUUUAGGGACAUCAUAGUCAUUUCACAAUAAACGAGAGAUCAAAUGGCAAAACGACAUCACUUUUGAACUCAAGACGGUCGAAAACCUUAGGAGGAGCAUAAAAGGAAAAAUGGUAUUGUUCACAUGUACGAUACUAUUCACGUGUACGGUACUGUAUACGUUACUGUUCACGACAUGUUCACAUAGACGGAAGAUGACGUGGCAUUGACCGAUGAUGUGCAUUGACUGAUGAGGUGUCACGAUCCUGUUGGACUAAAAUUCUUAUGUACUGGAGGUAACGUGGCAGCAUAUAGUGGACUAAAAAUCUCGCGUACGGUACAUGCAUACACAUGAUUAUUUUCAACCAAACCGCGUUACUGUUCAAACCCGGUCAAAUCGUGUUACUGUUCAUCCGCGUGGUCAAACCGCGUACUGUUGACUGAUGACGUGGCGCAAUCCUGAGUAUCCAAACUGUUUUUAAUCCGAUGACCAUGAUUUACUCCAUGUAUCUAUAAAAGGGGCCUUCCCCCCUAAUUUGCAUCUUGAAUCUAUUUUUGGGAUCCAUUUUCUGUAAUUCCUUCUCCAUUUUGUAUUUUCUACGUAUUUUAAUAAAUUACCAUUUUGCCCCUAGUUCAAUUAUGAGUAGCUAAUUUUCUUUCAAACUUGGGUUGAAGGUGAAAUCUCAACAUGUGUCAUGGGCUUUAUUUGGGAAAUUUAUUUUCUUUUCCCCUCUAAUUUUUGUGGAUGAUUUGACUUUUUCGUCGACAAAUAAUAAUAAUCUUGUCUAAAUACCGCAUUGGUUACACCGGCUCUCUAGUACAAUGUUAUUAUUAUUUGGCACGAUAAGCCCUUAGCACCAUAUUGAUUAGAGCGUGGUUCAUGAGGUGUGGAUUCCCCCCUCAUGAUUUAAUUGCAUUAAUAUGGAUUAUUUAGCCCAUGUUGCAUGUUGAUACGGAUCCAGAUACCCAAGUACAUCAUUUCAAUAGAUUUCACUUCAAUUUAUUCUCACCAUUUCAAUUCCAAUUUUAGAAUAAUCUAAAGUUACUUUCACCACAAAUCCAACCACCCAUUUACAAAAUUAAUUCUACACACAAUUAAAAUCUACCUCCUCGUGGGAUCGACACUCGUCACCAUUGAUCUAUACUACAAUAGAUUCGUGCGCUUGCGAGUACAUUAAAAUUUGCACAACACUAGCCUCCACUUAUAAAUGACUUAUUCACCUAAUUAGGGCAUGUCGUCAUCUCUUUGCUUCCUUUUCUUCAAUUUUCUCUCUAUCUUUUAAAUCAUCAGUCAUUUCUCCACUUUAGGAGGCCAUUUUUAUUCUCCACCUUUAUCAUAUUCUCUAAGAUAUUAUCAUUCUCAAUAUCUUAUUAACAAUCUUCAUUUUUAUCAAUACCAAACAUCUCUGUAUUGCUAUCUAGCUUGUGUUAUUCAUUUUGAAUAAUGUAAAAUCUUAUAUAACCUCUCAUUUAUAUAAUGGAUUGGUGAUGAUCUGCUCUCAUGGAUGUAGGCCAAAAGGUGAAACAUGUAAAUACUGUGUGUUCUUUAUAUUUAUGUUUUAUUUUGCUAUUUUCAAUUUGAGGUCGAGAUUGUUUUUCAUGUAUGAGCUUAUCAAUAGAUACCCAGUUACACCAAGUAUUCUGUGAGACUAUCUAUACUAUUCCUUGAGUAUAUCUGAGCCAUACCUAAACAUAUAUUAGCCCUCUAUCAAAUCCUACAAGACUCCAUUGAGCUCUCCCUAUUUUUCCUCCCACCUGAACUCACUAUAUCUACUACUUUUGCUCACUAUCUAGGAUAAUUCAGCUAAACUACCUGGCCCAAAUACUAUAAAAAUACACGUAAACCCAAACUUAUCACAAGCUCCCUUCAAAUAUAAGUUUAUUUGUUUGAAUCAAAUUUAAACUGGGUCCAAUGAGAAUCAGCCAAUUGGUACGAAUAAGAUCUUAAUGAAAAUUUGGUGAACACAUAUAUUAAAUUAUAGAGUAUGAUUGCUACAACUAUUUUAUUAUACUUAGAAUAAGAAAAGAUAAAAUAUUGUGUGCAUUAUUUUAAUCCAUAUUCCAAGAUACUCAUUGCCCAAAAGAUACCAAAAUCAGUUUCAAGAUUCCAAUAUGUGAAUAUAUAUAUAUACAUAUUUUUAAAUUUCAUCCGUUAAUGCAUACAUACGCAAGAUUCAAAAUCCCAACUACAUCCAUAUAAUUUUUAUUAAUUUAUGAAAUUAAUAGUACCUAUCGAAAUGAUGAAUGAUACAUGACCCACCAUAUUGUCACUUUUUAUAUUUUCUUUAUACAAACAUUUAUUCAUAUCUCUAAAUACCCACUUUGUCAUAGAGUUCGGUUAUACGGUUCACAGCUUAUACAAAUAUAGUGGUUGAUUUUUUAAUCAAAUUUUAAAUUCAAUUUCCCAAAUUGGUUUAAAUUGAACUUUAAAGAUAAAACAGUUAUUUUAUUUUAUUUUAUUAUCACUGCUACACAAAAAGAUAAAAAAUUGAUACAGUUUAUAAAUUUGGAGUUAAAUCGUUAUUCGUUAAACAAUGUAUAUUUUUUGAUUUUUUAAAACUAGAGAAAGUAAUAACUGGACAAUUAAAAUUAAAAAAAUCCAAACUUACAUAAUGCUUGCACAUUAUACAUUGUUGCAACGGUUGUUCCAUGGUCAAAUUUACAUCUGCAUAAAAAGUAUCAUACUUUAACACAUGUAUAUUAUAUCAUUCAUAUACUGAUCUAAUAAAAUUUUACUGUAUACAUAUUCAAUUUUGAGAUAAAUCAUGAUGUGUGAUAGGGAUUUUAUUAAGAAUAUCUGAGGAUAUGAAAAACAAGGAUUUUUCUAGUUUAGCAAGUCGUGAGAGCAUAUCAGGAAUAAGGUUGUGGUCUCUUUUAUAUGUUUCACUGAGAAAUCAUAUUUUGAAAACCAGUCUUUGAGCCUAAGCAACUUUUACUUUUCUAAAAGCUUGUGGCUUGUAAUUAUGACUUUGCUUUUCAAAAAGUGAUAGGGGUCCUGUCCUAUCCUUUUUCUUGGUUUGCCUCCUAUUUAAGCUCGGCUUCUCUUGGUUCCCAUAUGCCUAAUAAGGAUAUCUUGUUAGGAUUUGAUAUCAUUCACCAGAAUAAAACACCUUCAAAUCAUUCCUAUUGAAAUUCGAGUCAAGUCCAUGUUUAAACCAUACAUAGUAGCUAUGCUUAAAAAUCAUUAAACGUGUAAGGUGUAUUUGACACAUUAUAUUACAAUAUAGUGUAUUGCAUUAACAUGCAUUGCAUUAAGUUGUAAUGCAAUACUAUGUUUGGGUAAUAUGGACUCUAUAUAUAAAAUAAUAUUAUAUUAUAUAAAUGUUAAAAUUAAAUAAUAUUUAUUAAUAUUUAAGAUUUUAUUAUUAAUUUUUUAAAUUAAGUACUUACUAAUUACUUUUAUAUAUUAUUAUUAUAAUACAAAAAUGACCUAAUAAUAACUAUUAUUAAAUAAUAAAUAUUAAAUUGGUAAAGGAAAUUAUGCAAGAAAACGACGAGCUCGAAGAAUUUCUGUUGCUUGUCAUAAGUGUGCCAGAAUGGAGUUGCGAUAGAAACCCAUGUUCUUUAGGAAUGGUGUCUGAUAACAGGGAAGAUAAGAUUCAAUUCAUUAGGGAUGGCUUGAAUAAGGAGUCAUUGGAUGAUAUCCUUUUGUCUCUUGAAACGCAUCCCAGUGGAUAUGUGCAAGGAGCGAUUCUCCGGUUAUGGCCAUUAUUCCAGAAAGAGCAUGCACGAUAUAGUCUCGGGAAUCUGACUAUAAACGACCCUGUUUGCCAGUUUAUAAGAAAACUGGAUGGGAAGCCCAUCCUCGACCUAUAGAGGGCGUUCAAGCCGUUUCUGGACGUAAAACCAGAGGAAGAUGUGAGCCACAGUCGCAACUACGUGUAAAUAUCCUUUUACUUUACUGUUAUUUUAUUUCAUUUCACUGUUGUUUUAUUGUUUGCAUUAUUGUCUUUAAUAAUUUUAUUACUGUUUGUUUUUUCCUUUUUACUAUUUCCUUUUUGACUCGCGAGCCACGUGCUUUACGCGUUAUUUGACACUGACAUGUUACCUCAUUCACAGCUGUGAUCCAUUGUCACCAAGAUUCUUAAAUGUGAUUUAUCUUUUGUCAAGCACUCACAAAUUAUUUUUGAGAAAGUAUCACAAUGGCAGCUACUCCCAAUAGACAAUUCAAGAACAUUUGUGUGCUUUCUGGAUUUACCUAUGGCAAACAUAAAGAGUUCGUGGAGGCAGCCAUAGAUCUUGGUCGAAGCAUAGCAGCGAGAAAAUUACAUUUGGUGUAUGGAGGAGGUAACCGAGGGUUUAUCAAAAAUGGUCUCAGAAGCAGCUUUUAUCAGAGGAAGUCAAGUGUUAGGCAUCAUCCCAAGAGUCCUAAAACCAUUGGGCAGUUCGUCUGACUCAUCAACUGGAGAAGAGUUAGUCGUCUCAGGUAUGCAAGAAAGAAUAACUGAAAUGCUUAAUCAUGCUGAUGCUUUUAUUUUCCUUCCAGGAGAUCUUGCAACACUAGAGGCACUUUAUGACACUAGCAUCUUGGGCCCAUCUGCACAUCCACCAGAAACCCAUCGGUUUGUUAAAUGUCAAUAACUUUUAUGAUGGCUUUAUCGCAUUUCUUAACCAUGCAAUAAAAAACUAUUUCAUUCCUUCUAAUGUGAAAAAACUCUUUAUUUGUGCUCACACUGCUAAUGAGCUACUUGAUAUGUUACAAGCUUAUAAACCGGAGCCAGACCCCUGGACCUUUGUGUUGGAGCGACCAAAUAAUGAUGGUAACAGUAGCCGCAGUAAGAAGUACAAAUUAGAUUUAACUCUCCGCCUGUAAAUAUUUUCUUCUGUGUUGCACCACCCAGGUGAUGUCUUCUAAACUCUACUUCUUUCCUUUAAAACAUUGAGGACAAUGUUUCAUUCUGGUUGGGGGGAGGGAAUAGUCGACAAUUGUGGAAUCUUGGUUAAGUUUUUACUGAUUUUUUGUUGUAGAAACUAACUGUUGCUAACGUUUUGUGUUGAAGAUGGCUGAAUAUGGAGUGUAGUUACUCUAGAAACGCAUUUUUUGUUGUAGAAACUAACUGUUGCUAACGUUUUGUGUUGAAGAUGGCUGAAUAUGGAGUGUAGUUACUCUAGAAACGCAUCUUCAUUGUUUAAAAAAAAAAAAAAAAAACCGUUUUCUUCCUCUUUCUCCUUUAUAAAUAUGCAGUUUCAAAUUUUUUAGUCGAAGAUGGCUGAAUAUGGAGUGUAGUGCCUCUAGAAACGCAUCUUCUUAGUUAAAAAAAAAAAAAAAAAAAAAUUCUUUUUCUAAUUAAUUUUUUCUACAUCAUUUUCACAUUUCUGCAUGCAUAUUUUCCUUUCAUGUUUAGAAUAGGUUGGGGGGUAGAAUGUUGUUUAAAAAAAAAAAAAAAAAAUUUUGUGUUAUUUGUUUUAACAUUGGAUGACAUGAUUAAUUUCAAAUUUUAGUAUUUGUAUUAUCUUUGGUCUUAAGUGAUGUUACGCUAUGUUUGCUACUUUACAUGUUGAUGUCAGAGACAAAUAUGAGUUGCUUGAAGGAAUGAACAUGUCAUAAAUAAGUGCCAAGUGAGUAGUUGAGCCUAUCAUUUUUCUUGGAGAGUAACCAUUUUGCGCAUUCUCUAUACAGCUUAGCAGUUUAUUAUUUUAUACACGAUCUCUAGAUUUCUUUUAAGUUAACCCUUUAAAAAAAAUAUGGUAAAAUUAAAAAAAAAAAGAAAAAAAAAAGAAAAAAGAAAAAAAUGUGUGUUGCUACAUUGGGAGGCCCAUCUAACUAGUAGAUAUGGAUAAUUAUUUAGAGCCCUAAAAGACGAUGGAAAGGCCAUCUUUGAUCCGUUUGAGCCUUUCUAGCCAUCCCUUUUAUUAAAUAUCCAUAGUUACCCCUUUUGAGCCUUUAAAAAAAAAAAAAAAAAGAACAAAAACCUUUUCUUUGUCAACUUAUCAUCUUGACCCACUCCGAUUUGGAGUAUUACCCAAUGUCUUUUAAGUUCCAUCACCUAUUUAUGUUUGAGAAAAUGUAAAUAAUUAUGUUGUUCAGUGAAGUUAUGCCAAAUAAAAGCAAAAAGAAAAAAAAAAACAAAAACAAAAGUUGUUGUUUCAAAAGAAUAAAAAUAACAAUAAUAGGUGAAAUCCACCUUGCAAGUUCCAAAAAAAAAAAAAAAAAUUCUGCAUUUUUCUCAAACAUACACUUUGUUUUCCUUAUUUCCUUUCUUUGUUAGCCAUAUCCCUAGCCUACGUUACGUCCUAAUAAAAGUCCUUCUUGAUUUUAGGGAACUAUAGUUUGAAGUAGAAGCUAGUUAUAUGGGCUAAAAAGAUGUAGUGAUGCAUAAUAAAAAAAAAAAAAAAAGAUAAAUAAAGUGGGUUGACUAACAUUUUAUUUGACUUGAGAUCGUAUUAUUUCUAAGCUGAGGGCAUAUUUAUUUCAUCUUGGUGAGAGCAUGUGAUAUCAUUUCUUUAUUAUUUUCUCUCUCAAUUACCAUUCAUUGGAGUGACUAUGUUUAUUGGGUUUUAAUUUCUUUGUGAGAGUGUCAUUACUUCCAGUGAGAUUUUGGGGUUUGACAUGUCAUUCUUGAAAGUAGCUAUAACAAAGUCUACUGGGCUAAUUCAUGUGGAUGGUUGAUGUGGGUGUGAUGUUGCUUUAGACUGAAGAUAAUGCUUAUACUUUUAUUUGAUUGCUAUCAUUAAUCUGAUUGAAUAAACACGAGUGUUUCCCAUAAAAAAAAAAAAAAAUCAUUUUGAAUUUGAAUUUUGUUUUCGCUUUAUUUGCUAGGGACUAGCAAUAAGCUGGUUGGGGGGUGUAUUGAGUGUUAGAAAAUGCAUAUUUAUAAAGGAGAAAACCGUCAUUUUACAUUUCAAGUCUUAUUAACAACCCUUACUUUUAUGUAUUUAACCUUCUUGUGAUUUAAUUACAUGUCUUUUAUUUUAAUUAAGUAUUUUAUGUAUUUUAGGGGCAUUAUAGUCAUUUCACAAUAAAGGAGAGGUCAGAUGGCAAAACGGACAUCACUUUUGAACUCAGGACGGUCGAAAACCUUAGGAGGAGCAUAAAAGGAAAAAUGGCACUAUUCACAUGUACGGUACUAUUCACGUAUACGGUACUGUCUACGUUACUGUUCACGACACUGUUCACAUAGACGGAUCGAUGACGUGGCAUUGACCGAUGAUGUGGCAUUGACUGAUGAGGUGUCACGAUCCUGUUGGACUAAACUUCUUAUGUACUGUUGAUGGUGACGUGGCAGCAUAUCAGUGGACGAAAAAUCUCGCGUACGGUGCAUGCAUCACACAGGAUUAUUUUCAACCAAACCGCGUUACUGUUCAUCCGGGUCAAACCGUGUUACUGUUCAUCCGCGUGGUCAAACCGUGGACUGUUGACUGAUGACGUGGCGCAAUCCUGAGCGUCCAAACUGUUUUUAAUCCGAUGGCCAUGAUUUACUCCAUGUAUCUAUAAAAAGGGGGCCUCCCCCCCCUAAUUUGAUAUCUCUGAAUCCAUUUUUGGGAUCCAUUUUCUGUAAUUCCCUCUCCAUCUUGUAUUUUCUUUGUAUUUUAAUAAAUUCCCAUUUUGCCCCUAGUUCAAUUAUGAGUAGCUAAUUUCUUUUCAAGCUUGGGUUGAAGGUGAAGUCUCAACAUGUGUCAUGGGCUUUAUUUGGUAAAUUUAUUUUCUUUUCCCCUCUAGUUUUUGUGGAUGAUUUGACUUAUCGUCGACAAAUAAUACUGAUCUUGUCUAGAUACCGCCUUGGUUACACCGGCUCUCUAGUAUAAGGUUAUUAUUAUUUGGCACGAUAAGCCCUUAGCACCAUAUUGAUUAGAGCGUGGUUCAUGAUGUGUGGAUUCCCCCAUCAUGAUUUAAUUGGCAUUAAUACGGAUUAUUUAGCCCAUGAUGCAUGUUGAUACGGAUCCAGAUACCCAAGUACGUCAUUUCAAUAGAUUUCGCUUCAACUUAUUCUCGCCAUUGCAAUUCCAAUUUUAGAAUUUAUUAUCGCAAUUUCAAUUCCAAUUUUAGGAUAAUUUAAAUCACUUCCACCACAAUUCCAACCACCCAUUUUGCAAAAUUAAUUCUAUACACAAUUAAAAUCCACCUCCUCGUGGGAUCGACACUCGUCACCAUUGAUCUACACUACAAUAGAUUCGUGCGCUUGCGAGUUCAUUAAAAUUUGCACAACAGACAAAUAAUAAUAAUUUUGUCUAGAUACCGCUUUGGUUUCACCGGCUCCCUAAUACAAGGUUAUUAUUAUUUGGCACGAUAAGCCCUUAGCACCAUAUUGAUUAGAGUGUGGUUCAUGAGGUGUGGAUUCCCCCCUCAUGAUUUAAUUGACAUUAAUAAGGAAUAUUUAGCCCAUGGUGCAUGUUGAUAUGGAUCCAGAUACCCAAGUGUUUCAUUUCAAUAGAUUUAUCUUCAAUUUAUUCUCGCCAUUUUAAUUUAAGUUUUAGAAUAUUCCAAAUCAAUUUCACCAGAAAUCCAACCACCCAUUUACAAAAUUAAUUCUACACACAAUUAAAAUCCACCUCUUAGUGAGAUCGACACUUGUCACCAUUAGUCUAUUGUACAAUAGAUUCGUGCGCUUGCGAGUUCAAUAAAAUUUGCACAACAGUAAUGUCUAUGCAUAAUGAUCAUAACAGAAAAGAGAAUUCAUCUAUCACAUUUAUCAUUCCAACCCUCUCAAAAUACUAACUGAAGGAAAGGAGGAGACAAAUUUAACAAAAGCAAACCAAGGGGGAAAACUAGAGGAAAGCAAAACAGAUGACAUGCAUUUUUAAAACAUUUGGAUUCAUUCUCUUAACAAGUUAUCUAACACUUAAUACAUUUAGUACCUAUAGAAGUUAGACGAUGGCAAGAGCUUAGACCAUAAUAGCAAUUGAUGAAAUUUCAUUACGUAAAAUACCACUCAGUUUUGGUAAGACUGUUAUGUGUGCUCAAUAUAAGUCAUUUUGAUAUCAGUACACUAAGAUUUUUUUUCUUGAUAUGGCUGUUCAUGUAUAGAGAAGAUACCCCACUUUCUCUAAUAUCAAUGUUUCAAGCAUUUUCUUUCCUCAUAAGAUACCAUUUCGGAUAGUGUACAAUGCAAAGUAAAGAAUCCCAAAAAGGGCAGUUCACAUACCAUGUUACUUUCAAAAGAUGCUGUACAACAUAGACCCUCAUAAGGGACGCCAGCAGCCUGGGCUUGCAACCUUGUCUGAAGAUGAAGGCAGGAAAUCUAUUAGCUUUGUAGCUUCAUCAUGAAAUCUCAAAAGAUGAAGCAAUGUGAAGACUAGGAUUUCUGAAAAAAACUGGAGAAGAGAUAGAGGAUCCAUGCAACAAGCAUCACUCAAAUUUAGAAAAUAAUUGGGUGACUUUAGCCCACGUUUAAAAUAUUUAUAAUAAUUAGUAAAAGAAUAGUGAAAAGUAGCUGAAUAAAGAAAAUUUAAUUUUUCCAUCUUUUUGCUUCCUUUUCUUUCAUUCUCCGAAAGAAUCAUAGCUUCUCAAGGACUGAGAAUAAUGACACAACAUUUGGAUUUUAUUCUUGAGAUAAAGAGAAACAAUAAUUAACAUCUAUCCACAAUACCAUUCUCAAAAGUAGAAAAAAUAAUAAUAAUACUAACAAUAAUAAAAAAUAAUGAAAAUGACAAUUAAAGGGAAGAAAAUUUUUGAUAUAACAGACAAAAUUAGCAAUGAAUAAGUUAAAUAAAGAAAAAAUGAAAUGAAAAUUUAGGUGGAGUAGAGUCAUUAUAAAACCUUAGUGACAUCGAGAGGAUUAAUAAUAACGGCAGAAACAAUAGCAGCGCCGUUAGCAGAGAAAGCCCUUUCUGCAAACCCCAAACUGAAAUCUUUUAUGGCUUCUGAAUGUCGUAAAGCUUCCUCUUUAGACGAAGUCUCUGAUGAUACUGAGAUAGACAAAACGCUUCCCUCCAAAUCAACCCUAGUCGCCGCCAACCUGAAACGGAAUUAAGAAGCGGCAGCGAGCUGACUGAGGAGAUCGAAAAUACGCUUCUGAAAAGUAAAAUAAAUUGAACAAAUCUUGAAAAUUUGAACAAACACCCAUAAAUUUGAACAAUUUUUACAAAACAAGAAUCAUCAAAACCUAACUCUAGCAAAAAUUGAAAAUUAAAAAACAAAACAAACAAGAACAUCGAAAUCACACAAGCUAACCCUGAAUAGCGCGAACAAAUCAAAGCUUGAAAUUAUGAAAACACAAUUGAAAUCAUGGCAUAAUGGAUUCACAUAAGCGACGAGAAACAACAUGCAAAUGAGAAAUUGGACAUGAGGAGUGGCUAAGAGGCCGUUGUUGAAGAAGUGCUUGCUGUACCAGUGCUUCUUGCUGCUGCUGAUGCUGCUUCAACCUCUAGUACUGCAUUUUCCUUCAGAAUCGAAGGAUUUGUAAACUGUUUGUCGAAGGAUUUGUAAACUGUUUGGUUCCCAAGAAAAUUUCGUUAUGGUUUCUCGAGAAAAUGAAAUAAAAGAAAUAAACAAAGAAAACGAGAGACGAGAGAAGCAACGUUUUAUUUUCUAAGUGUGUAUUCGUUUAAUACUUAGGGAAAAAAAAAAGGAAGAAAUAAAGUUUAAAGUACCCAAAACGGUACAGUUUUGCUAGCAUUUUUUCUUAAUUAUUAAAAACCACCUUUUGUUUUUUAAAUAAAAUAAUAUAUAAAAUUUGAGUCAAAUAUAGUCAAAGUAAUUUUUCUAUCAUAAUUUCUUGAUAGAUUAAAUUUCUAUCACGAUUCUAUCAUAAGUUCGUGAUAAAUGAUAAUCAUAUCAUAAAGUCAUCAUAUAUUCAUGAUAGAAAAUAUUUCUAUCACAAGACCAUCAUUAAUUAAUGAUAGAUUGAAAAUUAUGUCAUAAGUUUAUCAUAAUUUUAUGAUAUACCUAGAAUCUGUCAUAAGUUGUUUGUCAUCUAUUAGCAAUUUUCUUGUAGUAUUCAAAAUGAAUAACUUUAUUCUACCAUCUCUCAAAUAAUAAAAACAUCAACAGCACAUCAUCGUCAUCAAUAAUAAUAAUAAUAAUAAUAAUAAUAAUAAUAACAACAACAACAACAACAACAAUAAUAAUAAUUUAACUUUGUAGGAUGGAGCUCUCGCAAAUCUUCAAGACACAAAAUGUGCUUGGCCCCGUUGUUGUUAUUAUAAUUUCAAAAUGACUUGAAUUAUAUAAAAUUUGGGAAUAAGACAUAGCAAAAUUGAUGGUACAUAUGUUGCAAUAUACUUGUUCAUGUAGCGACACAUUAAAGUAAAGCAAAACAAUAUACUUGUUCACUCAUUAUGUAGAUUUUCAAUAGAAGUAAUGCAAAUUUCACAAGGGCAAUGGCCUUAUUUCGAAUGUUGCACUUGUGGAAUGACAUGAACCUUCGAUACGUCACAAAUGUAUCAUGAAAGUGUGAUAAAUUUGUGACAUAUAUAUAUAUGUUCAGAGUUUAUAGCAUAUUCAUGACUUAUAAUUUAACUAACAUAAAUAAAUGAUAGAUAUAAGUGAUGCUCAAGUUUUGUGGAUUUAUAAUAUCUUAAAAUGAUGACUAUUUAAACGACAAGUGUUGAAUAAACCCCUCUCUCGCCGCAACCUAAAAUCAAUGAACUUUGAGCCAUUCUCAACAACAUUGUGUAGAACCCUAGCCCUAACCCUCACUUCCACCACCGAUAAAGCUAAGAAAGUUUUCCGUAUAUCAGAACCAUGGCGAAUUGCCUUCAGCUCGUAGGACCCAUAAUAAAUCUUGUAGUCCCUCGCUUUCACUUUGCUAAUUUUUUGUAUUAUUCCAUCUCUUUCACUUUAAUAACCCAAAAUCUUUCUCUGUUUCAAUUGAAAGAAGACCCUAGCUUAAAUUAAGUUGAAAUUUACGUAUCAAAGCUCUCGCUCAGCUUCCCUCCUUCAAUUGAAACAAAACGAAGCCAUAAGACCCCAAUAUGCCACGCCCUUUUGUCUCAGGCCAACAUUCAUUUAAACCCUACCUUUUGGUUCAAUGCCAUUUAAUGCGAUUGCAGAUGCCGUUUCAACUCAUUAUUUAGUUAACGCCAUUCAGUUCUUUGCGGUAAGCCUUAACCCUAAUAACUAAUCAACUGUGGUAGCACGUUGCUGACUGGGGUGGGAAUACAUUAAUUGAAUAUAUGAAUUGGGUGAUGUCAGUGAUUCAUCCCCCUAUUUGCCGUGAAUUGAGAUUUGUGUAUAAUGUUUGUAAGAUUGUUAAAAAUUUCAUGUUCCAGUCGAAUUUCUUGCUUGUGGAAGAUAAAACAAAAGUUUAAUCUAUAUAUAUAUAUAUAUAUAUAUAUAUAUAUAUUAUCUUCUUUAUAGUCAGGCUCUGGCUUUGCUGCUAUGCUUAGAGCAGUUCAUGGUUUCAAGAUUAAAUUAGGUUUAUUUGACGACAUCGAUAUCUUAUCUAGCUCUGCUUGAAAAUGAAAAUGUUUUACUAGCAAUCAUAGACUUUGUUUAUUCAGUUGAUAUUUUAAUUAUACGUAUAAGAAUGAAGGUUUAUUUGGGAAAAAAAGAAAUAAAGAAAUAGGCUCUGUUGAAGCUAAUUAAUACUUCAUUCUUUCUAUACGUGCGACCUGUGGUGGAAACAUGAUAUGAGAAUGUGUUACUGGUGAGGUUGCUGCUUGAGAUGAGAAUGAUGAGAAUGCCUUCUAUUCGGAAAUCCUUGGUAGGUAUUAUAUAAUUAUAUUUGAUGGAAUAUUAAAUAGCUAAAGAACCUGUGAUAAUGUCUUUGUUCAAUGGUUACUGUAGUAGUGUUUGUUGGUCUUUUUCUGGUUGGCGUUUGGAUGUUAAUGUCAUCAUCAGUUGUACUGGUGUGGGAUCCAGGAUGUUGUCCUCUUAAGAGCCUAUAAGCAAAGUGAAACAGAGAGGAUCUGAGAUUUUUCUGGGCCUUUCGUAGAAAAUCAAGGUGAUGAAUGACAGGAUUCAACAAAUGGGGAUGGGGAUGAUGUUCCUGUUGAAAAGUUAGAGAAUAGAGUGGAGGAUAAUCACGAAGAGAUGAAUAUGUAUGAGGGUGAUGGUGAGACGAGUGAAUCUAAGAAUAUGGUUAAUCAAAACCAGGAAGAGAAUUUAGUGAAGGAGAGUUUUGAUGAGAAUACUGAGUCUGAAGAGGAAUCUAAGGCGGUGUCUAAAAAUUACAAUGUUAGAAAAAGGGAAGAUAAGGAAUCUAAAAGUGAAGGUGGAGAUUCAAAUUCAGAAGCUGGAGAAACAGAAGGCGGCGAAUUGAAUAAAAUUGAGCAAAUUGAAUCAGAGAAUAGCUUGGAUGAAAAUAAAUGGAUGAGGCUAAUCAGAUUGAAAAGGAGAAGGAUUCUCAAGAUCAAGAUAAUGACACUGAGAGCCGUUGAAAGGAUCAGGCUUCAACUGAGAUUUUUCCUUUUGGUGACUAGUCAGAAAUUCUGAAGGAAACUAAUGCUCAGAAUGGGGCUUGCUCAACUCAACCUAUUGAGUCAUAGAAUCAGAAAAUAUCACAACAAUCUUCUAUAUCUAAGGACCAGUAUGGUCAUCGUUGGAAAGUGUGUAAUGCCACUGCUAGGCCAGAUUGCAUCCCUUACCUGGACAAUUUGCAAGCAAUUAGAAUGCUUUCCAGCACAAAAGCAUUAUGAACAUCGAGAGAGGUAUUGCCCUGAAGAAACUUGUACCUGUAUUGCUCCUUUACCGGAAGGAUACAAACACUCAAUUAAGUGGCCCCAAAGCAGGGAUAGGGUAUGAUCUUAUAUUAUGCAUUAUAAAAUAUAUACUUGACUACUUUUAAUUCACUUGGGCUAAGAUUUGUUCUCAUGCUGUGUGGGAUAGAUUUGGUAUUAUAAUUUUCCCCACACAAAGCUUGCAGAAGUUAAGGGUUAGCAAAAUGGGGUUAAAGUUACUGGUGAAUACCACAUUUUUCCAGGUGGCAGAAUUGAAUUUGAGAAUGGUGCUCUUCAUUACAUUGACUUCAUUCUGAAGGUGAGCAUUUUUCAUUUAUCAUUUUAUGUCUGUUGUUAGCUUCAAUUAAUAUGUGGCUUAUUCUUUUCUUUGUAUGAACCAUGGGCGGUCCAUUUCAUUUUAUAAGCUAUUUCUUGGGUUUUAGCAAGACAAAUAAUAAGAUUUGUGCUGUUUUUGUUUUAUGCGUCUAUAUAAAUUGUGUGCGCGCAUAUCAUACUAGGGGAGUAUUGCUUUAAUGCUAUAUACAGUCAAGGACACACGGUGGGUCACAUUCUGACUCGUUUCAAUGCUUCUUUUAUAAAUAUUUACUUGUAUAUAUUUUGUAGUACUUUUAGAGAUGUACUCUGCACUGGAUUUUUUAAGUGCUUUUAAUGUAGCCUACUGUCUUUGUCUUUAUCUCUCUUUUUGUGAAACUGAAAGGUUCAUAUAAUUUUUUAGAAACCAGUAAUCUUACAAAAAAUUUUAACCUGUUAAUUAAUGCGGUUUCAUUAUCUUGAAAAAUUUUCAAGCGUGCUUGCUUUUUUCUUUUCUUUCUUUUGAAAUAAUUGUUGAUAUUCCCCUUCUCUUCUAUCAAGUUUCUGAUUCUCUAAAGCCCACAUUAUUUUUGUCUUUCUUUAUACAGGCCUUUAUCAUUUAUUGGCCAGCACCCUUUCCUCGGUUUUAUAUAAGAAUGUAAUUUCGCCGGAAUCUGCCAAAAACCGUGUACUAUUGUCAACAACAAAUCAGAAUUCCAUCUCCACCUCCUGACAAACCAUGCGUCACCACCUGCUUAGGAAUCCGAAGCCUUUGCUGGUGUUGAUAGUAUGUUCUCUCUCUAUCUCUGUUUUUUCCUCAGUUGAGCAUUUAAAACAACAUCAUACUCAUCAUAUACCCUGUUUGGAUUCCUUGAAAUAAUAUUUUUUUUAAUUUUUAUUGUUAUUUUGAAUUGUUUUCUACAUAUUUUGAAUCAGAGUUGUUUGAGUAAAAUUUAAAUAUCAAUAUUACCGAUACGUGCCUAAUCUCAACUUCUUACCUUAAUAGCUUACUCACCUGUGCUUUUUUUUUCUCCCCCCUUUUAAGAAUUCAAAAGCUAUAUUAUGGAUUUUUGUUUUUGUUGUUUAUUGUCAUGAAGUAGGAGUGGGCAGAAAAUUGAAGAACUGUAUCAGAUUCCGUUUGAUAUUUGAUUCGGUUGUGCAAUAACCUAAAUUGGACAGUUUCAUUUCGGUUGGGAUGAAUGAAAACCGAAACCGAACCAAUAAUAAAAUUAACAAGCAAACCAAAUGAAAGUCCCAAAACAGUAACAAAACAAACACGUUGUGGUUUCUUAUCAAAUUUCACAGCACGACAUGGUCAUUCUCUUUGGUAAAAAAAUAGAAAAAAGAAUAAUGGGUCUCGAAAAUUUUUUAGAGCAUUUCUGUCGCUUACAUUUUUUUUCCAUCGAUUAAUGUUAGUUGUAGGUGAAUGAUUGUUGCAAAUGCAUGUUAGCUUGUGAUUGAUUGAAAAUGGCUUGUGAUUUGUUAUGCUGCCGUGUGACAGAUUGAAAAUGGCUCUGAAAUUUUUUUAUUUGUUUAAGGUAUUACUGCUGAUUAUUGAACAGAGAUUCAUGCUAGAUUUUGUUAAAUUGAAGAUGAGAUUUUUUUUAGGAGAUCUGCAAAACCUUCUCUACUAUAGAUUUGGCUUCUAGCAUACCUGGUUGGCUGGAAAUAAUUGUUUAUACAGUCAUUGCUGCCUAUAUUAAUCAGGAAUAUUGAUUAGCAAUGUACUGGGUUAGAGAUUGGUAUAAUUUUGGAAAAUUAGUUGUAGAUGCAACUAGGGGUGGCAAUAUGGGUCAGGAUUUGUUUAUUCGAUUCGAUUUGAUGCGAAUUAAAUGGGUUUGGGUUUGAAAAAAUUGAUUCGUUUAAUAAAUGGGUGAAUUCGAUUUGAUUCGCUAAUUAAACGAAUCGAAUGCGGGUUUGAAGAUUUUGAUUCGUUUAUUCGUUUAGGAUUCGUUUAAUAAACGGGUCAUAAACGAAUCGAAUAUAGGUCGAUUCGUUUAAAAUUUAUUUAUUAUUUGUUUAAUUAAAUUACUUUUUAUCCUUAAAUUUAUUUAAAAACUUUUUAAAAUAUCAAGGUUAAUAUUGUAAUUUUAAGCAUAACUCAUAAAGCCAAAAGAUCAACCCUAAUUUUACACUUCAUUUCCAUCUCCAAAUCCUUUUCUUUUUCUUUUUAAUUUUUGCAUCCAGCAAGUGCUACGUUUUGCCACUGCUCCAAAUCCUUGGAUUUGUGUGAGUGUGAUAAGUAAAAUUUUAUCUUGUUUAAUUAUUAUUUCCUUUAAAAUAUUACAAAUUUACUAUAUAUUUGAUAUUUUUGAAAUUUUACAAUGAUUAUUAUCAAUAUUGCAGUAUGUUAGAUUGUUAAUAACAUUUUAUUUACUUUUUGGUGUAGGAUUUUGUUUUCAAGGUGAAAAAGACAAAUGAAGAGAAUUAAAGAAAUUACCUUACUUUAUAAUUUGAAUUUGAAUUAUUAUUAUUUGUAUUAUUAGGGAUUUAUAAUUUGGUAUUUAGAUGACUGCAUAAUAUGGUUUGAGUUAUUUGUAUUUUGUUGUGGGAUGUUAAACUUGUGAUUUUUUUAUAUUUUAUUUUGCUUAAUUUUAUUUAUUAAUUAUAUUUUUCUAAACGAAUUGUAAACGAAUCCUGAUUCGGUUCGAUUCGUUAAGGAUAAACGAAUAAUAAACAAAUCCAGACUCGAUUCGAUUCGAUUCGUUUAUCAAUUAUUUUAAACGAAUUAAACGAAUCGAACCGAAUAUUCGUUUAAUAAACGAAUCGAAUCCGAAUCCUGAAAUUUCAAUUCGUUUAAUAAACGAAUCGAAUCCAAAUCCUCAUAAUUUUGACCCAAUUAGUUUACGAUUCGAUUCGUUUAUUCGUUUUGCCACCCCUAGAUGCAACCUGAUUAUGGUCUCAAAUAGUGUGAUCUGUCAAUUUUGUUUGCUCUGGCCUAAUAACCUUGAAUAUGAGCUAUGCCACUAUACAAAGUCUGACCUAAUCACACUUGUUAGCCAAUGUCCAAAAUUGCAGUGUCUUUAGAUAAGUCCUGUCUUUUUUGUUUGAGUUAUAAAUGAAAAUUGCAGUGUCUUUGGAAAAAUCACGCUGAAUGUUCAAGUUAUUGACGAGAGGAGACCCCCAGAUUCAAGGGCGGAGCUCCCUGUUAAGAAGCUUUACAUAUAUAGGAUUGUCGCCUGGCAGAGGAUUGAUAUGCCUGGUUUUGUUGUUUGGAAAUAUGGAUGAAGAUUUUGCAUUGAGGCUUUUUUGAUAGAUCAUUUGGCAAAUCAAGCUCCAUGUAUCUAUCUUCAGACUCUUGGAUAUUUAUAAAGCAGGUGCAUGCUCCAUAUGUUACUUAAUGUAUCACGAUUAUUUUUCUAUUGCUUAAUAUAUUUGCAGUCCUUGAUGAAGUUGAGGACAACUUAUGGAGGGUAUACAGAGGCUCAAGAGCUCGAUCGCCAUUCAUUUUACACUGGGCUGGGCUAUAGCAUACCAACUAGUGAUUAAUAAAGAGAAGGUAUGAAGGUCAUGUUGCUGGUGGUAGUAUCAAUCAGAAUUGUUAUUUUACUUAGUCAUACUUACCAUGUAUACUAAUCGUAGGCUUUUUUCAUUUUCAUGCAUUCGCAUCAUCUUCUGGUUAAGCUACAGAUGGUUGAUUUGUGUACUCAUUUGUAUCACUUGUAGCUCUUGAGGAAUAAAAUUUAAAAAUUAUGUUGCAUCUCUUGUACUAAAUAGUAAUUUUUGUUGGCUUUAUGUAUGGGAAAUGGUUUGUUGUCUUAUUUCUUUGAUGUGUAUGGUGUUACAUUGUCUAAAGUUAAGAAGUAUUUCUAUCACUUGUGUAAAAAACAACCUACUUUUUUCAUUCUUCUUAUAUUGAAUAAAAGAGGGACACCAAGAUUGAACGAAAUUUGAUUCAGAAAGCAUAGCAAUUAGGCCAGUGCAAAACAGCUUCCUUCUGAUUCUUUGAUAUUUGACUUAAAUCUUUUGUUUAUUUCAUUUAUCAAAGUCAUUUUGGAAAGUAACGGGGGUGAUUUGAUAUUUUAAUUGCAUUCACAUCCCUUGGCACCAAAACAAACAUGCUGGUACUAACCAAUAAUUUUUUAUUUUCAGUAUACAAAUUAUUUUUUUCUAAAUUAGGGGUAUUAAGAAAAGGUAUAUUAGCACCAGGGGAGGUAUUUGAGAAUACACAAAUAUAAUCUAUUAAACUAAGGUGGCAUUUGUUUUUUAAUUUAAUGACUUAAAGUGACUUAAUUAAUUAAGUUAAUUAGAGGUGUUUGUUUUAUAACUUAAUGAGAUUUUUUAGAUAAUUUAGACUUAAUAAAAUAAGUUAAUUUUUUUUGGCUUUUUUACUUAAUAGAGACAUUUGAAUUAAGUCAAUAACUUUCUAAUGUCAAAAAUAUCCUUGUUUUUAAUUUAUUCUUCAUGCCUAUUCCAAAAUUCACCCAUAGACAUUUAACUCCACAUAAUAAUCUCAUCAUUAUUUUUUUUAGCCGUCAUGAAAUCCCUCCUCACUUGAUAUCAACUCCUCGAGUAUUGAAGAUCAAAAUUACAUGCGAGAAUUUUGAGAUGAAAUGGCAAAUCAACUGUUUCAAGCAUUUUAUUAGUUUUUUUUUCUUAUAUUAUAUACGAUAAAAUUUGAAAUUUAUGAUAUUUUAUAUAUUAAAAUUUCAAAAUCAAUUAUGUAUUCACUUGAAUAUAAUUUUACUUAUAAACGUUAAAAUAUUGUGGUAUUUAAUAUAUUAUUUAUUUUGACAUUCAAAUUUAGUAAGGAUACAAAUGUAAAAGUACAUAUUUCAGUUUUUUAAGUUGAAAAAAACAUAAUUAUAUAAUUAUUUUUCAAGAUUCAAACGAAAAAACAAACAUAUUAUUCUGAUUCAGACAUUCAGAUCUAUUCAGAAUUCAGACUAAUUCAGGUCUAUUCAGAUUUUAAACAAAAAAUCAAACACCACCUAAGAAUAUGCCAAACUUCAGGGGAGGUUUCUGAUAAAUCUCUUUUUCUUUUUCCUCCAUUCACCAUAGGUUCAAUUUAGAAACUGUUGACCAAACGGAAGGUUUAGGUUGGUAAACGCACUAAGUGCCUGUUUGGUAUGGCUUAUUCAAGAGCCAUAAAUGCUUAUUUAAUCGCAUAAGCACUUUUUUAAAUUUUUAUGGUGUUUGGUUAUUUUUUUUAGUAGAGUUUUUUAGCUUAAAUAAGCUAAUUUACCUCUACUAGUAAAAGCCCAAAAUUUAAGCUUUUGGGAGUAGAGGUUAGAGAGCUUUUAAAAAAAUAUAUAUAAUAUAAAAAAAUAUCACACAUUUUAAUGGUUCAAAAGUGUUUUUUUUAUUGACAACCAAACACCUAAUGACUUUUUAUCCAAAAGCUCUAUGGUAUAAGCUCUACUGCUAUAAACUCUACUGUUAUAAGCUCUAUUUAAUAAGCUGUACAAACGGAGCCUAAGUGUUAAUGUCAACAACCCAAGGGGCUUCAUGGUCCUCUGGGCCGAAAUAAUUAUUAAUUCUCCUCUAGUGAAAAUCUUCAUCUUGGGACAAAUAAUUACAAAUUGACAUUAUAGCUGUGGAAAUUUGGAGGUGUAAUUACCGGAAAUUACAUCUAUUUCAAUUUGCUAAAAGUAAUGGUAUCAUUUCUUGUAUGGAAAAUGGAUGAUUAGAUUUUCUUUUUUGUUAUCCGACGAAGGAUAUUCAGUUGUUCUUUUUUGUUCAUAGGCAAGAGCAUGAGCAUAUGCAUAUUUAAUAUAUGCUUCUUGCAUUUUCUAAUUAAGUGCUCUCUUUCCUUGCCUUCUUAGUUUUGAAAGAAAGUUGUGAAGCAAAGCAAACCCAGUGAAAUACACAGAGCAACAGAACCAUCAGAGGAAAAACUAAAUAACAGAACUACAAUUGAACCAAACAAAAUCAAUAAACCGAGGCAACAGAUGCCCUGAAUCAGGCAUCCCUUUUUCUCCAAAGAAAAUAUUUUGCAUGGGUGGGAACCUAGUAAUUGUUGGGGAAAAAUUAGGUUUUUAAAUUUUUAUAAAACCUUUUGAAGAUCGCUCUCAUAUAAUAUAUAAGAAUUUGUAUUCUAGAAAUCGUACCUUGAAAAUUUGAGUUUGCUUUUUCCGCUGAAGUGAUUUAGGCUCCUAGAUCACGAUCCGCCACCACCACUCCUGUUAGAUCACGAUCCGUCACCACCACGCUUGUUAGAUCACGAACUGUCUCCAAUGAUUUUCCAGAUUAUGACUCAGGUUCGAUCUGCACUUGACGUGUGGGCGCCUUUAUCACUACCAAAGCAACUAGCACGAUAAAAUUUUCUCUCAACAAUAGAGAGAAAAAUCUUAUUCUCCGAUUUGUAUAAAGUGGCUUCUCUUAUUCUUUAGAGAAAAUAGCCUUUUAUAUCACCCUUUAGUGAAAACCUUAGGCUCCAAAUAAUGCCCUAAAUAAAUCACGUUACUUUCUUUUUCAAUAGGGGACCCACCUUGUAAAAUACAUAAGGCCCCUUAUACAAAAGCUAAUUAAAUGGAGCCUCCCACUAAAUGAUAUAUUUAGGCUUUUGACCCAAAUAGCUAGUUAUCUUACUUAUUAGUCCAGUAGUGGUGCAGUCAAUUAAAUGAGCUAACCCGGGGAUCAUUUGGGAACAUACAAUAGUGGCUACAAUAAUUAGGCCUGUAAUUAAACUAGCCCAAAUAUUUAAUUCCAAAUCUACUCCACUAAAAGAUUGGAACUGACUUCCAUAAUUGUAUGCUCGAAUAAUAAUUCGUCCCAAGCCACAUUGAUUUCUUUACUGCACAAUCCUUUGUACCACAUCGUUAAUUAAAUUGAUAUCUCAACUGUCCAAUCAAUUUAAUAACAUCUUAUUCCUUGAUCCUUACUGGUUUUCUAAUGAUCAUUUCAACAUACUAAAUAUGUUGACACACUCUGGCCAGAGAAUUCUAUGAUCAAGUGCCGAAAACCCAUCAAGAGAUGUAGAAACUGUUGACCAAACGGAAGGUUUAGGUUGGUAAACGCACUAAGUGCCUGUUUGGUAUGGCUUAUUCAAGAGCCAUAAAUGCUUAUUUAAUCGCAUAAGCACUUUUUUUAAAUUUUUAUGGUGUUUGGUUAUUUUUUUAGUAGAGUUUUUUAGCUUAAAUAAGCUAAUUUACCUCUACUAGUAAAAGCCCAAAAUUUAAGCUUUUGGGAGUAGAGGUUAGAGCUUUUAAAAAAUAUAUAUAAUAUAAAAAUAUCACACAUUUUUAAUGGUUCAAAAGUGUUUUUUUUAUUGACAACCAAACACCUAAUGACUUUAUCCAAAAGCUCUAUUGGUAUAAGCUCUACUGCUAUAAACUCUACUGUUAUAAGCUCUAUUUAAUAAGCUGUACCAAACGGAGCCUAAGUGUUAAUGUCAACAACCCAAGGGGCUUCAUGGUCCUCUGGGCCGAAAUAAUUAUUAAUCUCCUCUAGUGAAAAUCUUCAUCUUGGGACAAAUAAUUACAAAUUGACAUUAUAGCUGUGGAAAUUUGGAGGUGUAAUUACCGGAAAUUACAUCUAUUUCAAUUUGCUAAAAGUAAUGGUAUCAUUUCUUGUAUGGAAAAUGGAUGAUUAGAUUUUCUUUUUUGUUAUCCGACGAAGGAUAUUCAGUUGUUCUUUAUUUGUUCAUAGGCAAGAGCAUGAGCAUAUGCAUAUUUAAUAUAUGCUUCUUGCAUUUUCUAAUUAAGUGCUCUCUUUCCUUGCCUUCUUAGUUUUGAAAGAAAGUUGUGAAGCAAAGCAAACCCAGUGAAAUACACAGAGCAACAGAACCAUCAGAGGAAAAACUAAAUAACAGAACUACAAUUGAACCAAACAAAAUCAAAUAAACCGAGGCAACAGAUGCCCUGAAUCAGGCAUCCCUUUUUCUCCCAAAGAAAAUAUGUUUGCAUGGGUGGGAACCUAGUAAUUGUUGGGAAAAAUUAGGUUUUUAAAUUUUUAUAAAACCUUUUGAAGAUCGCUCUCAUAUAAUAUAUAAGAAUUUGUAUUCUAGAAAAUCGUACCUUGAAAAUUUGAGUUUGCUUUUCCGCUGAAGUGAUUUAGGCUCCUAGAUCACGAUCCGCCCACCACUCCUGUUAGAUCACGAUCCGUCACCACCACGCUUGUUAGAUCACGAACUGUCUCCAAUGAUUUUCCAGAUUAUGACUCAGGUUCGAUCUGCACUUGACGUGUGGGCGCCUUUAUCACUACCAAAGCAACUAGCACGAUAAAAUUUUUCUCUCAACAAUAGAGAGAAAAAUCUUAUUCUCCGAUUUGUAUAAAGUGGCUUCUCUUAUUCUUUAGAGAAAAUAAGCCUUUUAUAUCACCCUUUAGUGAAAACCUUAGGCUCCAAAUAAUGCCCUAAAUAAAACUCACGUUACUUUCUUUUUCAAUAGGGGACCCACCUUGUAAAAUAACAUAAGGCCCCUUAUACAAAAGCUAAUUAAAUGGAGCCUCCCACUAAAUGAUAUAUUUAGGCUUUUGACCCAAAUAGCUAGUUAUCUUACUUAUUAGUCCAGUAGUGGUGCAGUCAAUUAAAUGAGCUAACCCGGGGAUCAUUUGGGAACAUACAAUAGUGGCUACAAUAAUUAGGCCUGUAAUUAAACUAGCCCAAAUAUUUAAUUCCAAAUCUACUCCACUAAAAGAUUGGAACUGACUUCCAUAAUUGUAUGCUCGAAUAAUAAUUCGUCCCAAGCCACAUUGAUUUCUUUACUGCACAAUCCUUUGUACCACACGUUAAUUAAAUUGAUAUCUCAACUGUCCAAUCAAUUUAAUAACAUCUUAUUCCUUGAUCCUUACUGGUUUUCUCUAAUGAUCAUUUUCAACAUACUAAAUAUGUUGACACACUCUGGCCAGAGAAUUCUAUGAUCAAGUGCCGAAAACCCAUCAAGAGAUGUGUUGUACAAAUUCUAUAUUGUUAAUCCAUAACUCCAAUACUCAUAAUUGCUCCCACCAAGAUACCGGGUACUCUGACCACAAUGAUGUGUCGUGCCCAUUGGUAACUCAAAUGGAAUACAAUUACAAUCAUGAAAUCAUAAUUAACUCAAGAUUAAGAUUACAGUAAAAUCAACGCCUAUGAGAUUUAAUAAGUCUGACAGUUAUUACAAAGUUAAUUAAAUCUCAUAUGUGAUCCUGUUCAAUGUAGUCGUACUACAUCAAUAAAUUCAUACAUGAUUAAGACAAAUCAUUCAAUGAAUUUAUUACAGUCUAUACCUAAAUAAAGUGCCCAACUUUAUUUAUCAACUGCGAACUAAAUUUAUUUAAUCAUAAGAUAACUUGUAUUUAUGUCUUCUGUGAAUCCACAUGGUGAUCACAUAAAUACAUAUAAUAUGAUUAAAUGAACUUUUAAUACAAGUAUUAAUGCAAUUAAGAUAUUUGAAUAAAAUACCUCAUUUAUUUAUUAAUCAGAAAAAUUGUUUAUUACAAUUAAAUAAACACAUAUGCUUUAAAAGAGCAUAUUUUCCAACAAUCUCCCACUAGCUCUCAAAGCAUAUCUAGCAUAUUGCUCAUGCUCUAGGGCUCUAAGUGCAGGUUAUAAAGGUUUCCCACUAAUGGCCAUUGUAAUAAGAUCUGCCAUUUAGCAUCUAAUGCCAUUUGGGGUACUGUCAAGUGACCCUUCUGUCCACAUUUGUAACACUUGCCUUUUGGCUUGCCACUUCUUUUAAUGGACAGUUUGCCGAUCCCAACUCUUGCUUGCUCAUUCUUGUCUUUCGACUUAAGCCUUGAAGAGAAUCCUUUUUCAGGAAGUUUUCUGCUAUUAUAAAAUUCUUCUAUAGCAUGUAGUUCGUGCAUUAAUUCAAUUAAGGUCAUAUCUUUAUUGUUAAGAUAUAGCUGACCUUAAACUCUUUGAAUGUAUCAGGUAAAGAUUCAAUCACCAUGUUAAUCUUUGAUUUAUCAUUGAUUUGAACACCAUGAAUCUCUACCUCAUUCAAAUAGUCCAUCAUUUUGAGGACAUGAUCACGAACUUUUGUGCCCUCUUCCAUCUUAGUAUCCAUAAUACGUUUUAAUGCUGCUUCUCUGGCAAAAUGGGUAUUUUGCCCAAACAUCUGAUGAAGACUAGCCAUUAUUUCAGUGGCUGUUUCCAUGCUCCGAUGUUUCUUAUGCAGUUCCAUAGAAAUCGAAGCCAAUAUAUAGCGCUUAGCCAUUUUGUUAGCUUCGCACCAUUUCUCAUAAGGCUCCCUCUGAUUUCUAUAAUCGUAUAACGAUGGUUCAGGAGGGCAAGGCUGGGUCAACACAUAUUUGCUUCCUUUAGCAGUGAGAUAUUAAAUAGAUUGCGUUUCCAAUCUAAAUAAUUUUCGCCAGUGAGUUCAUUUUUAACAAGGAUAAAUAAUAAUGGGUUGAUGGAAGACAUUUUCUGAAAAAAAUAAAAUACACAUGCAUAAAUACUUUGAAACAAUAUUCACAAUAAAUGACAAAAAUGCAAAAAACCAUAAAUGCAUUUUAAUUUAUUGUAACGAUAAUCUAGUACCGCUUCGACAAGCUAUUCGUUGGGGAAGUCAUGUCUACACUUACUAGACCCAAUUAUCCAUUGGAUUAUUUCAUUUCACAUGAUAAAUAAUUAUCGUUAUCCCUUUGGACCUAAAUUUGUUAACAGAGCUUCGUUGGGAAGGUUAAUAACAAACUUUUAGUUGAGUGUAUAACCAUUGUUUCAAUCUACGUAUUUUUCAUAUCAAUAGUCACCGUUGGGGUGAACAAUCGAUUGAAAAAUAUUUCAAUUUUAUCUUUGAAGAAGUUCAUCAAAUAAAAUAUCUAAUAUAUAUACCCUCGAAGGAGCAUCACCGUAUCAUGAAGUCGAGGUAUAUAUAUAAUUUUAUUAUUGAACUAACAAUGGAGCCCGUGGGAAAAUUAUCUUGAAUUUUCCCUCUCCCACUCAAUAUUUUAAAAUUGGUUUUUCCUUUUUAAAACAUACAUAUUGUUAAUUGCAUGCUUCCUAUAAUAUUAUCUAGAUGAUAUCAAAUUAUUAAGCAUACGCAAAUUUCAAACAAUAUAAUGAAAUUCAUUAUUAAUGAAUGACAUGUAUCAUUAUGCAUAGAGUGGCACUACCUAUUCUAUAUGACAUGUUAUCAUGGCAUGUAAUCAUCCAAAACAUAACAUAUAGAAAAAAUAAUUAAAUAAUCUUAAUUCAUGGCUUUCCUAAUAAUGAAAAAUACAUUAACCCUAAGCCUAAUCUUCAUUGGGCUUCUUGUCAAUAUCCAUCUUCCAUAGCUUGUCUUUGUUGAUGGACUAGGGGAAAUUGAGCUUUUAAAUUUAUAAUUGGUCCAAUUUUAAUUUGGAAAGAAAAUAAAUAAUUAAAAUUAAAAUUUAUUAAAAUAAAACUUUUGGACCAAAAAUAAAUUUAAUAUAUUCAAUUUUAUCUAUGCAUUUUAAUCCAUUAAGCCCAAUUGAAAUUGGGCCUAAAACUAGGAUUCAUUAAGCCCAAAACUAUUUUUGGAUUUAAACGCAAAAAAUUAAAAAUGUUUCUGCCCAACUGAAAAAAUAUGAAACUAUAGGGACCUCCACGAUAAAAACCAUGAAACCCUAAAAUCACAUUUUCUUUUCCUCCUCUUCCCUAGCCGCCACCAGCACAAAAACCCAGCCGUUGUUUACUGUUUCCACACCGGACAGCCGUCAUCAACGCCGGAAAGACGCCAACCAAAACGCUCCGCGCCUUCAGCCCACGUUCACGCUGUUGCUUGGGUGCUGCAGCUGCUGCUCGCGCGCUGCGGUUGCUGCUGUGCAGCGCGCGCUGCAGCUGCUGCGUGUGUAGCUCGCGCUGCUAGCAGCGUGGCUGCUGGCCGCUGCGCGUGCAGCGCGCGCUGCUGGCAGCAUGUGCUACUGGCCGCGCGCUGCUCGCACAGCAGCUUGUGCUGCUGGCCGCUCGCUGCUGCGUGUGCUGGUUCGUUGCUGCAGUUUCCGGCCUCGAUUGUUUGCGCUCGUUUUCCAGUGAUGAUGCUUCGGUGAUUUACAAAUUUUCAACGCAAAUUUUUGCUUACAAAAUUUCAAUUACAGUAAAAUAAAUCAAGAGAGAAUUAUGGUGAUAAAAAACCACCCCUCUUGUUACAGAUCCAAACGAAAAAUACAAUAGAAAAUCUAACAAUGAAUUAACUGCGUUUACUUUUUGGAUUGGAGUGGGAAUCCUGAGGAAUGGGAAUCCUUGGAUUAGGAGUGUGGAGUGGGAGUGGGAGUAGGGUGUUUACUUAGACUAAAUGAAAGUAUGGAUUGUCAAUUAGAAUUCCAAUUAUUUGUUUACUUUGUCUUGGAUUGGGAGUAAAUUGUUUUAAAUUACAAUUUUAUCCUUAUGUACAGAAUUAUAAUUUGUAAUUAAAAAUUAAUAAAAAAUAUAUUUGGAAAAUAAAUAAAUAUUUUAUUAUAUUUAUAAAUUAUUAAUAAUUACUAAUAUUCUUAAUUAUGUAAAUCAUAAUUUUUUAUUAAUUUUAAUUUAAAUUAUGUGAAUAAAAAUUAUUAAUAAUAGCAACACAAAUGGAAUAUUAUUAUUGAUAAUAUAGUACAAAAUUAAUAUUUUUAGAAUAAAAUAUUUAUUAUUAUUAAUAAAUAAAUAAUUAAUUAAUAUUUAUUAAAAUUAAUGUUUUUAUUAUUAAUUUAAAUAUAAUAUUAUUUAUUUUUAUUUAUUAAUUUUAUAAAAAAAAAUAUGAAUAUAUAUUUUUUAAUAAAUAUGAUAUUAUUUAUUUUAUGAAAUUUAUUUAUUUAUUAAAUAUUAUUUAUUUAUUAAAAUAUUAUUUAUUUAUUUUAAUUUUAUAAGGAUAAAAUGGGAAGAGGGGGAGUGGAUUCCCACUCCCUCCCCCAAUGGGAGUGGGAAUCCCACUCCCCACUCCAAAUUUAGGUGGGACCCGGAUUCCCACUCCCACUCUCCCUAUUUUUAAAGUAAGUAAACACUGGAGUGGGAGGAAUCCACACUCCACACUCCCACUCCAGAAAGUAAACACUACCUUAAGACAAACCAUAAACAUGCUUUAUUCAUAUAUUAAACAAAUAAUAUAUAUCUGAAUAAAUUGUGCCACUCUAAUACAUAAAUUUCAAGAUUAAUUUCAUACGAAAUUCUUAUUUAUUAAUAUGAGAUGGCUCUGAUACCAAUUGUUAGGGAAAAAUUAGGUUUUUAAAUUUUUAUAAAACCUUUUGAAGAUCGCUCUCAUAUAAUAUAUAAGAAUUUGUAUUCUAGAAAUCGUACCUUGAAAAUCUGAGUUUGCUUUUUCCGCUGAAGUGAUUUAGGCUCCUAGAUCACGAUCUGCCACCACCACUCCUGUUAGAUCACGAUCCGUCACCACCACGCUUGUUAGAUCACGAACUGUCUCCAAUGAUUCCAGGUUAUGACUCAGGUUCGAUCUGCACUUGACGUGUGGGCGCCUUUAUCACUACCAAAGCAACUAGCACGAGAAAAUUUUUCUCUCAACAAUAGAGAAAAAAAUCUUAUUCUCCGAUUUGUAUAAAAUGGUUUCUCUUAUUCUUUAGAGAAAAUAAGCCUUUUAUAUCACCCUUUAGUGAAAACCUUAGGCUCCAAAUAAUGCCCUAAAUAAACUCACGUUACUUUCUUUUUCAAUAGGGGACCCACCUUGUAAAAUAACAUAAGGCCCCUUAUACAAAAGCUAAUUAAAUGGAGCCUCCCACUAAAUGAUAUAUUUAGGCUUUUGACCCAAAUAGCUAGUUAUCUUACUUAGUCCAGUAGUGGUGCAGUCAAUUAAAUGAGCUAACCCGGGGAUCAUUUGGGAACAUACAAUAGUGGCUACAAUAAUUAGGCCUGUAAUUAAACUAGCCCAAAUAUUUAAUUCCAAAUCUACUCCACUAAAAGAUUGGAACUGACUUCCAUAAUUGUAUGCUCGAAUAAUAAUUCGUCCCAAGCCACAUUGAUUUCUUUACUGCACAAUCCUUUGUACCACAUCGUUAAUUAAAUUGACAUCUCAACUGUCCAAUCAAUUUAAUAACAUCUUAUUCCUUGAUCCUUACUGGUUUUCUCUAAUGAUCAUUUUCAACAUACUAAAUAUGUUGACACACUCUGGCCAGAGAAUUCUAUGAUCAAGUGCCGAAAACCCAUCAAGAGAUGUGUUGUACAAAUUCUAUAUUGUUAAUCCAUAACUCCAAUAUAUAAAGUACUAGAUGUUUUACUGAGAAAAUGACUAGAUCAUUUACCAAAUUUCUUGCGCAUAUAUACGUAUGUAUACAGAAAUGGGAAUCAAUGAUUAUAAGACCUUGCAAUGAGACAAUAAUACAUCAUCAAAUCUAAAAAUACACAAGAAAUUCGGGACAUAUAUAUAACAAAGACCUCUCAUUGAGUCAUACAUAUUGAGAAUAAAAUGUCAAAAUGCAUACAAAGAGCUUAUACAGAAAAUGAAUUUACACAUAUUUAGAAUAAAUUGUCUUUGAACUUUUGAUGGUCAAAUAAAGGAAACAGACAGGAUAUAACACACACUAUCAUAGAUGUAGCGACACGGUGAAGUAAAUCAUGAAGAUGGAAACGGAAACCCUUCACAAUAUAAAAUUUGAAUAGAGGGGGGAAAAAAGGCUUCAUUUGGAAUGUUGCACAGAAGAAGAGUGACUUGAAUCUCCAUCAGUAUCCAGACAUUCUACAACACAGUGCUGAGAAUUUUAACAAGAAUAACAGACAAAAUAUUGUGCUUCUAUACUUGUCACAAAACUAGACCAAAUUAGUUCCCUUUUGGUUUGUGAAAACUUGAUAUUUUUGAAAAUUCUAUCCAAUGCUUUUAAACAAUAUUUCCAUAAUAUAGUUGUUCAUAGCUAACCUUUGAUGGUUUAAGCAUUUGUUGUAGGCAUGACGGGCUGAUUAGAUUAUUAUUUUUUUUAUCCGAUGAAUGAUAUUCAGCUGUUCUUAAUUAUGUGUUAAUAGGCAAGAGCAUUUUCUUAAGUACUUUCGUUGCCUUCCAAGUUUCCAAUGAACAAACAGAGCACAAACAAAUUUAACGAAACAAACAGAGCAUUUUCUUCAGUGUGCUUUCUUGAGACAUUUUGAUUUAGUCUCAUUAUGAUUAAAAAAGGAAGCUCGCUUCUCGAGACAUUUUGCUAUAGUCUCAUUAUGGUUAUAAAGAAGCGAUGGUCUAGGAGACAUAUUGUUUUCGUCUCAUUUUGCUAGACAUCUGGACUUUAUGGAAAUGAGCAUGUUGAUCACAUUGUCAUGUUAUUUCCAUAAUUAUACUUGUAUACUACUACAUGGUCACGUGUUUAUAAGUGUCUUGUUAUAUGGAGCAUCCUGUCGGUGCACAUAUGAUUUGAUAUUUAUGGCACAUUUUGGACUUGUUUAUGUUCUGGGUGAUUGCUUGUAUUUGACCUUUUGUUAUAGUCACAUAUUGAUUAAUUCGGUUGUUUUCAAAAUAUUAUUUUAUUUUAAAUUUAUCAUUGGAGUGAUUUCUGUCGUCCAAGUGGGAGAUUGUUAGAUUUAUUUCUCAUAUUAUGUGGACUGACAUAAAUCAUUCUAAUUGUUUUCUAUAUUUUACCGAAUUAAUACGUGACUAUUGUCAAAUAUUAUGGAGCAAUUUUGACAUACCUUGUACAGUAGUAUAUUAUGGACAAGUAUAUCCUUAAUUGUGUUAUUUUCGCCCAUAAUGGGAUGGGCAAUUUUGUACUAACACAUGAGGGGUCCCUGCGCUCAACCACUGUAUUUAAGUAACUUCAGCCCAUUGGAAGUUAACUGUUCAAGAAAUCUGUGGCAUGAGUGCAGUGCAUCUCUCUCUCCGUUUGUCUCCCGUGUGUGUGCACAGUAAAUUUUGAAGCAAGCCGAUCCUUGAGCUAAGGAAAAGAAAGCGGAAUUCAGAAGCUAAACCGAAGCAGCAGCAACUCUGUUGAAGCUCCAUAACAAGCUGCAAGCUUGGAUUCAUGGGAGAUCGUGGUAAAUUUCGAAAUUUACUACAAUAUGUGUUUAAUUUGGAAAUGCACGAUUAAAGGGCAUAAAGUAUGUUUUUGUUUCAUCAAUUGGUAUCAGAGCCCAUGGUUAUGCGUUUCCUUGUAAACCAUAGUUGUUUUGUUGAAGAAAUCUCACUCAUGGAAUUUUUUUUUUAUUUUCGGAUUUUUCGAAUUCUUCGAAUUUGGACAUAUUUCCUCAAACGGUUGUUAAAUAAUGCAUGAGUGAUGAUUUUGGAGCAAAGAUAUAAUUUUUUCGUGUUUUUUGGUGGCCAAAAUCGGGUUGGUAUGGAUGUGGAUGCUGUAAAUGUACUGUACAAUACUGUAGCAACAGCCCGAGGUUGAAGAUGAUGGGACAAUUUCAUUUGGAUCCCUAAAUUUUGUGAAUUGUCACUAUGGCCCAAAAUCUUUGCAAACUUUUCGAAAAGGUCCUUGACCGAGGGUCAACUAUGUAAAAGAUAAGUUGGUCCCUUGAAUUUUGGGAAAUUAUAGUAUGGCCCAACAGUUUAUUUUAUUUUAUUUACAGUUUGGGCCAAAAGUUUUAAUAGUUAAAACAGUAAAUAAUUCUGAAAAUUUUUCAUUUUAGUCCAAAAUCCUUUCAAUUUUGGCGAUUUUUCAGAAUUUAAAUUUUAAAAUAAUCCAUCAGUUAUUGAAUCUUAUGGGCAUAUCAUUUAUAUAUUUUAUUGAGGCAUGUAGAUAUUUUAUUUGAUUUAAUAUCUUGUUAAUUUCAUUUGACAAAAUUUAUUUAGCCUCAAUUUUGUUAAUAUACGAAAUAUAUAUAUGAUGCAAAACUACAAUUUAGAGUGAUUGUGUAUCUACUUAUCGUAGGACCAAUCAUGAUAAAUUAUUUGGUGGUUUGCAAUUGAUUGUCCAUUUACAAUUAUGAAUUAUGGAUUAUGUGAUGGAUUGUUAUUGUUUGACCAAGAUCCAUACGGGUGAUGAUACUGCCCUGUCGGCAAAUCACUACUUGGUACUUGGUAGGAUGCUUGGGAAGAUAAAGAGAUUUGUUGAGUAUUUUCUACUGAGUGGCUUAAUUACCCUGUCGGUAAUAGGUCAAUGUUGGUGUUAUAUUCAACUUGUCUGCUUUAUCUUUAGGUUAGUGCAUUCCUAUAUUGUUAAAGGAUGCCUAACAUAUUGUGUUGCUAUUGGAGAAACUUAGAAUGAGGAGCAAUUGAUUAUAGCAUGAUUUUAAUUUUUGCAUGCUUGAUAUUCUUUUGUUAUUGCUUCCUCAGCUCUAGAUAUUCUCUCCUUUCUCCAAGUAGCCUCCCUCAAGAAUUUAACUGGGACAAAUUUUGAGGACUGGCGUGAGUCCAUUUUGUUUUAUUUGUCUACACUGAAUAGAGACUUGGCAUUAAGAGUUGAUGAACCAGCCAAGCCCACAGAUAAGAGCACUGCUGCUGAAAAAGCAGAGUGGGCAGCUUGGGAUGAAUCCAAUAGACACUGUCUGGAUACAAUGAAAUACACCAUUGAUAGAACCACUAGAGAUAGCAUCCCUGCAUGUGAUAAGGCCAAAGAUUACUUGGCAGCUGUGGGAAGAACCUUUAAGAAGGUAGAUAAGGCAGAAAAGGGUAACUAUCUGAGGCUGCUUGCUAAUACCCAGUAUGAUGGUGUUUUCUGGGGUCAGAGAACACAUCCUUAAGAUGACUAGUUACCAUAAGAAGCUGAAGGACAUGGAUGUCACUUUGCCUGAUGACUACCUGGUCUUCCAAAUCCUUGAAUCUCUUCCACCACAAUUUGGCAAUUUGAGAAGCCAAUACAAUACUCAGAGAGACACUUGGAAUAUCACUGAGUUGACUGCUUAUGUGGUUCAGGAAGAGGAAUCAUUGAAGAAGGGGAAAUCUCACACUGUCAUGGUGGCAACUACUCAAGAGAGUGGAAGUGUGAAGAAAGGCUCUUCAAAGGGCAGCAAUAAGUUUUUUAAGAAGAAAAAGUUUGGCAAGAAAACUUCACGUGGUACUUCUUCUACCACUUCUGGUUCCACUUCUGAGAGCUUUAAGGGAAAGUGCCACUUUUGUAAGAAACCUGGGCACAAGAGAGCUGACUGCAGGGGAUUCAAAGCAUGGUUGGAAAAGAAAGGUAUUCCUGUAGCCUUUGUAGGCUUUGAAUCUAAUCUUAUUGAUGUUCCUUCUGAUACUUGGUGGUUGGAUACUGGUGCAACCAUUAAUAUAACGAAUUCCUUACAGGAAUUCAGAAGCAGGAGGGAGCCCAAUGAAGGGGAGUUGAUAGUUCACAUGGGCAAUGGAGUGACAGCCAAAGUUGAAAGCAUAGGAGUUGUCAGACUACAUCUAGCCACAGGCCAUGUUUUGGAUCUAUUAGAUACAGCUUAUAUUCCUUCUAUUAGGAGAAACUUGAUAUCUGUAUCUAUUUUGGAUAGAUGUGGCUAUACUUUUCAUUUUGGUGAUAGAAAAGUUUACUUAUUCCGCAAUUCAGAGUUAGUUGGUUCUGGCACUCUAUAUGAUGGCUUGUAUAUGAUUGAUUUAUUUUCUCGUGCUGUUGAAUCAUCAUCCAAUGCUCAUGUUAUGCAUGUUGUUAGCUCUAAUCGUGUUAGGGUUGAUGAAAAUUCCUCUAUGUUGUGGCAUAAACGGUUAGGUCACAUUUCUAAACAGAGGAUGAGAGGCUUAUUAAAGAUAUUCUACAUAAGUUGGAUUUCUCUGAUUUUGGCACUUGUGUUGAUUGUGUCAAAGGCAAACUUACUGCCAAAACCAGAAAAGAGAGAACUCAGAGGAGUCAACAGGUGCUGGAGUUGGUACAUACAGACAUUUGUGGGCCAUUUACUCCUAUUGCCAUUGGAGGUUAUAAGUACUUCAUCACGUUCAACGAUGACUUUUCUCGUUAUGGUCAUGUUGAACUUCUUGCUGAAAAGUCUAAAUCCUUAUCUGUGUUUCAAGCCUUUAAGGCUAAUGUUGAGCUCCAAAAGGGCAAGCAAAUUAAAGCAGUAAGGUCAGACAGAGGUGGUGAGUACUAUGGGCGAUAUGAUGAAACUGGGCGUAAUCCUGGACCUUUUGCUAAAUUUCUUCAGGAAUGUGGAAUAGAAGCCCAGUAUACAAUGCUCGGGACUCCUGAACAUAAUGGAAUUGCAGAAAGGAGAAAUCGUACCCUUCUUGACAUGGUGCGGUGUAUGCUGAGUAACUCCACCUUACCAGAUUUUCUGUGGGGUGAAGCCUUAAGAACUGCAGCUUACAUUUUGAAUCAGGUACCUAGUAAAUCGGUGCCCAAAAGUCCUUAGUUGUGGUCAGGAAAGAGACCGAGUCUUCGUCAUUUUCAUGUAUGGGAUGCAGAGCAGAAGUGAGGCCCUAUAAUCCACAAUCAAGGAAACUUGAUCCGAAAACAAUUAGUGGUCAUUUUAUUGGCUAUUGUAUCGGCUCAAGGGUUUCUAGAUUUUAUUGACCUUCCCACACUACUAGAAUCAUUGAGUCUGAUCGUGCCAUUUAUUUUGAGGAUGAUCACAAUGGUGGGAGUUCUGAGCCUCGCAGUCUGACAUUGAGAGAAGAACGUGUGGUUUUGCCUAUUCCAUCUUUUCCGACUUCUGCGAUGGGAUUACCACAUAUUGAUGAUUCUUCUGUUGAUCCUAAACUUCAUCAUAAUAUGGAGCCUAUGAUUGUAGAGGAUGAUGGUACUGAUGUGCCAUUGAGGAGAUCAGAGAGGAUCAGGAGACCUGCAAUUUCUGAUGAUUAUGUUGUUUACUUGCAGGAGCAUGAUUUUGAUGCUGACUCUUCAUCUGAUCCUAUUACCUUUCAAGAGGCCAUCAGUUGUUCAGAAUCAUCAUCUUGGAUACAUGCGAUGCAUGAUGAGAUGGCAUCUAUGUAUCAUAAUGAGGUUUGGGAUUUAGUUGAGUUACCAGAUGGAUGCAGACCAAUUGGUUGCAAAUGGGUUUUCAAAACCAAAAGAGAUGCCAGAGGUCAGGUAGAGAGGUAUAAGGCCAGGCUUUGUGGCUAAGGGUUUCAGUCAAAGAGAAGGCAUUGAUUACACUGAAACCUACUCUCCUGUUUCUACCAAGACUCUUUUCGUAUUAUCAUGGCAUUGGUAGCUCAUUUCAAUUUAGAAUUGCAUCAGAUGGAUGUGAAGACAGCUUUUCUUAAUGGGAGCUUGUCUGAAGAUGUAUACAUGGUGCAACCUGAUGGUUUUGUUGAGUCUGGUAUAGAAAACAUGGUGUGUAAGCUUAAAAGGUCCAUUUAUGGACUUAAGCAAGCAUCCAGACAGUGGUAUUUGAAAUUUCACGAUAUUGUCACCUCUUAUGGGUUCCAGGAGAAUGCCGUUGAUCAGUGUAUAUACUUGAGAGUCAGUGGGAGCAAGUAUAUCAUUUUGGUGCUUUAUGUGGAUGAUAUCUUGCUCGCUGCUAAUGACAGUAAUUUGUUACUUGAGACAAAGCAAAUGUUGUCAUGCAGCUUUGAUAUGAAGGAUCUUGGUGAAGCCCAUUAUGUAUUAGGGAUAGAGAUUCUUCAUGAUAGAUCUAGAGGAAUUCUAGGUUUGUCUCAAAAGACUUACAUUGAUCGCAUUUUGAAAAGGUUCAAUUUGCAGUCUUGUGCUCCUGGGAAAGCUCCAAUUUCGAAAGGUGACAAAAUUUCCAAGUCUCAAUGUCCCGAUAAUGAUGUAGACAAAGCUAGAAUACAAACAGUCCCGUAUGCAUCCGUUGUGGGUAGCUUGAUGUAUGCUCAAGUCUGUACUCGCCCUGAUAUUGCUUUCCAGUGGGAGUACUUGGAAGAUACCUGAGCAAUCCUGGAUUUGAACACUGGAAGGCUGCAAAGAAAGUACUCAGAUAUUUGCGAGCCACUAAAGAUUUUGUAUUGACAUAUCAGCAAUCUGACUUUUGAAUAUAGUUGGAUAUUCUGAUGCUGAUUUCGCAGGGUGCUUGGAAGACAAGAAAUCCACAUCUGGUUACAUCUUUAUGAUGGCAGAGGAGCUAUAUCGGAAAGUGUCAAGCAGACACUUAUAGCUUCUUCAACAAUGGAAGCAGAAUAUGUAGCAUGCUUUGAGGCUACACGUCAUGCUUUAUGGAUGCAAAAUUUUAUCACAGGGCUAGAUUGUAUAGUGGCCGUACCGAGGCCAUUAAAGAUAUACUGUGAUAAUUCUGCUGCUGUUUCUUUUUUCACAAUACAGGGAGUUCCUCACGUUCCAAGCACAUUGAUAUUAAAUACUUGUUUGUGAGAGAGAAAAUUGCUCUAUCUUGUGUAUCAGUAGAGUAUAUCCCUACAGAACUCAUGUUAGCCGAUCCACUUAUUAAAGCUUUAGCUCCAAAAGUAUUAGGGAGCAUGUAACGCAUAUGGAUUAUUUGAAUCCACUUAUAUAUGCUGAGUCAGUGGGAGUUCUGGUUGUAUUAUGAGUUGCAACUUAAAUGAGCUUAUGUAUUACUCAUUUUGUUAUCAUGCAUGCAUGUUGUUAUGUGAUAUUGAUAUGCCAUAUAUUGUGUACACAUUUGGCUGCGUAUGGCAUUAUGUAUAGAAUGAGGAUACGAUGGUCCGAGACAUUUUGCUCAGUCUCAAUAUGGACAUUAAAGACUGAAGCAUUAUGAUUUUCUUCAGUGUGCUUUCUUGAGACAUUUUGAUUUAGUCUCAUUAUGAUUAAAAAGGAAGCUCGCUUCUCGAGACAUUUUGCUAUAGUCUCAUUAUGGUUAUAAAGAAGCGAUGGUCUAGGAGACAUAUUGUUUUCGUCUCAUUUUGCUAGACAUCUGGACUUUAUGGAAAUGAGCAUGUUGAUCACAUUGUCAUGUUAUUUCCAUAAUUAUACUUGUAUACUACUACAUGGUCACGUGUUUAUAAGUGUCUUGUUAUAUGGAGCAUCCUGUCGGUGCACAUAUGAUUUGAUAUUUAUGGCACAUUUGGACUUGUUUAUGUUCUGGGUGAUUGCUUGUAUUUGACCUUUUGUUAUAGUCACAUAUUGAUUAAUUCGGUUGUUUUCAAAAUAUUAUUUUAUUUUAAAUUUAUCAUUGGAGUGAUUUCUGUCGUCCAAGUGGAGAUUGUUAGAUUUAUUCUCAUAUUAUGUGGACUGACAUAAAUCAUUCUAAUUGUUUUCUAUAUUUUACCGAAUUAAUACGUGACUAUUGUCAAAUAUAUGGAGCAAUUUUGACAUACCUUGUACAGUAGUAUAUUAUGGACAAGUAUAUCCUUAAUUGUGUUAUUUUCGCCCAUAAUGGGAUGGGCAAUUUUGUACUAACACAUGAGGGGUCCCUGCGCUCAACCUGUAUUUAAGUAACUUCAGCCCAUUGGAAGUUAACUGUUCAAGAAAUCUGUGGCAUGAGUGCAGUGCAUCUCUCUCUCCCGUUUGUCUCCCGUGUGUGUGCACAGUAAAUUUUGAAGCAAGCCGAUCCUUGAGCUAAGGAAAAGAAAGCGGAAUUCAGAAGCUAAACCGAAGCAGCAGCAACUCUGUUGAAGCUCCAUAACAAGCUGCAAGCUUGGAUUCAUGGGAGAUCGUGGUAAAUUUCGAAAUUUACUACAAUAUGUGUUUAAUUUGGAAAUGCACGAUUAAAGGGCAUAAAGUAUGUUUUUGUUUCAUCAAUUGGUAUCAGAGCCCAUGGUUAUGCGUUUCCUUGUAAACCAUAGUUGUUUUGUUGAAGAAAUCUCACUCAUGGAAUUUUUUUUUUUUUCGGAUUUUUCGAAUCUUCGAAUUUGGACAUAUUUCCUCAAACGGUUGUUAAAUAAUGCAUGAGUGAUNUAUUCUAUAUGACAUGUUAUCAUGGCAUGUAAUCAUCCAAAACAUAACAUAUAGAAAAAAUAAUUAAAUAAUCUUAAUUCAUGGCUUUCCUAAUAAUGAAAAAUACAUUAACCCUAAGCCUAAUCUUCAUUGGGCUUCUUGUCAAUAUCCAUCUUCCAUAGCUUGUCUUUGUUGAUGGACUAGGGGAAAUUGAGCUUUUAAAUUUAUAAUUGGUCCAAUUUUAAUUUGGAAAGAAAAUAAAUAAUUAAAAUUAAAAUUUAUUAAAAUAAAACUUUUGGACCAAAAAUAAAUUUAAUAUAUUCAAUUUUAUCUAUGCAUUUUAAUCCAUUAAGCCCAAUUGAAAUUGGGCCUAAAACUAGGAUUCAUUAAGCCCAAAACUAUUUUUGGAUUUAAACGCAAAAAAUUAAAAAUGUUUCUGCCCAACUGAAAAAAUAUGAAACUAUAGGGACCUCCACGAUAAAAACCAUGAAACCCUAAAAUCACAUUUUUCUUUUCCUCCUCUUCCCUAGCCGCCACCAGCACAAAAACCCAGCCGUUGUUUACUGUUUCCACACCGGACAGCCGUCAUCAACGCCGGAAAGACGCCAACCAAAACGCUCCGCGCCUUCAGCCCACGUUCACGCUGUUGCUUGGGUGCUGCAGCUGCUGCUCGCGCGCUGCGGUUGCUGCUUGUGCAGCGCGCGCUGCAGCUGCUGCGUGUGUAGCUCGCGCUGCUAGCAGCGUGGCUGCUGGCCGCUGCGCGUGCAGCGCGCGCUGCUGGCAGCAUGUGCUACUGGCCGCGCGCUGCUCGCACAGCAGCUUGUGCUGCUGGCCGCUCGCUGCUGCGUGUGCUGGUUCGUUGCUGCAGUUUCCGGCCUCGAUUGUUUGCGCUCGUUUUCCAGUGAUGAUGCUUCGGUGAUUUACAAAUUUUCAACGCAAAUUUUUGCUUACAAAAUUUCAAUUACAGUAAAAUAAAUCAAGAGAGAAUUAUGGUGAUAAAAAACCACCCCUCUUGUUACAGAUCCAAACGAAAAAUACAAUAGAAAAUCUAACAAUGAAUUAACUGCGUUUACUUUUGGAUUGGAGUGGGAAUCCUGAGGAAUGGGAAUCCUUGGAUUAGGAGUGUGGAGUGGGAGUGGGAGUAGGGGUUUACUUAGACUAAAUGAAAGUAUGGAUUGUCAAUUAGAAUUCCAAUUAUUUGUUUACUUUGUCUUGGAUUGGGAAGUAAAAUUGUUUUAAAUUACAAUUUUAUCCUUAUGUACAGAAUUAUAAUUUGUAAUUAAAAAUUAAUAAAAAAUAUAUUUGGAAAAUAAAAAUAAAUAUUUUUAUUAUAUUAUAAAUUAUUAAUAAUUUACUAAUAUUCUUAAUUAUGUAAAUCAUAAUUUUUUAUUAAUUUUAAUUUAAAUUAUGUGAAUAAAAAUUAUUAAUAAUAGCAACACAAAUGGAAUAUUAUUAUUGAUAAUAUAGUACAAAAUUAAUAUUUUUAGAAUAAAUAUUUAUAUUAUUAAAUAAAUAAAUAAUUAAUUAAUAUUUAUUAAAAUUAAUGUUUUUAUAUUAUUAAUUUAAAUAUAAUAUUAUUUAUUUUUAUUUUAUUAAUUUUAAUAAAAUAAAUAUGAUAUAAUUAUUAUUUUUAAUAAAUAUGAUAUUAUUUAUUUUAUGAAAUAUUAUUUAUUUUAUUAAAUAUUAUUUAUUUUAUUAAUAUUAUUUAUUUAUUUUAAUUUUAUAAGGAUAAAAUGGGAAGAGGGGGGAGUGGAUUCCCACUCCCACCUCCCCCAAUGGGAGUGGGAAUCCCACUCCCCACUCCAAAUUUAGGUGGGACCCACGGAUUCCCACUCCCACUCUCCCUAUUUUAAAGUAAGUAAACACUGGAGUGGGAGGGAAUCCACACUCCACACUCCCACUCCAGAAAGUAAACACUACCUUAAGACAAACCAUAAACAUGCUUUAUUCAUAUAUUAAACAAAUAAUAUAUAUCUGAAUAAAUUGUGCCACUCUAAUACAUAAAUUUCAAGAUUAAUUUCAUACGAAAAUUCUUAUUUAUUAAUAUGAGAUGGCUCUGAUACCAAUUGUUAGGGAAAAAUUAGGUUUUUAAAUUUUUAUAAAACCUUUUGAAGAUCGCUCUCAUAUAAUAUAUUAAGAAUUUGUAUUCUAGAAAUCGUACCUUGAAAAUCUGAGUUUGCUUUUUCCGCUGAAGUUGAUUUAGGCUCCUAGAUCACGAUCUGCCACCACCACUCCUGUUAGAUCACGAUCCGUCACCACCACGCUUGUUAGAUCACGAACUGUCUCCAAUGAUCUUCCAGGUUAUGACUCAGGUUCGAUCUGCACUUGACGUGUGGGCGCCUUUAUCACUACCAAAGCAACUAGCACGAGAAAAUUUUUCUCUCAAACAAUAGAGAAAAAAAUCUUAUUCUCCGAUUUGUAUAAAAUGGUUUCUCUUAUUCUUUAGAGAAAAUAAGCCUUUUAUAUCACCCUUUAGUGAAAACCUUAGGCUCCAAAUAAUGCCCUAAAUAAAACUCACGUUACUUUCUUUUUCAAUAGGGGACCCACCUUGUAAAAUAACAUAAGGCCCCUUAUACAAAGCUAAUUAAAUGGAGCCUCCCACUAAAUGAUAUAUUUAGCUUUUGAACCCAAAUAGCUAGUUAUCUUACUUAUUAGUCCAGUAGUGGUGCAGUCAAUUAAAUGAGCUAACCCGGGGAUCAUUUGGGAACAUACAAUAGUGGCUACAAUAAUUAGGCCUGUAAUUAAACUAGCCCAAAUAUUUAAUUCCAAAUCUACUCCACUAAAAGAUUGGAACUGACUUCCAUAAUUGUAUGCUCGAAUAAUAAUUCGUCCCAAGCCACAUUGAUUUCUUUACUGCACAAUCCUUUGUACCACAUCGUUAAUUUAAAUUGACAUCUCAACUGUCCAAUCAAUUUAAUAACAUCUUAUUCCUUGAUCCUUACUGGUUUUCUCUAAUGAUCAUUUUCAACAUACUAAAUAUGUUGACACACUCUGGCCAGAGAAUUCUAUGAUCAAGUGCCGAAAACCCAUCAAGAGAUGUGUUGUACAAAUUCUAUAUUGUUAAUCCAUAACUCCAAUAUAUAAAGUACUAGAUGUUUACUGAGAAAAUGACUAGAUCAUUUACCAAAUUUCUUGCGCAUAUAUACGUAUGUAUACAAGAAAUGGGAAUCAAUGAUUAUAAGACCUUGCAAUGAGACAAUAAUACAUCAUCAAAUCUAAAAAUACACAAGAAAUUCGGACAUAUAUAUAACAAAAGACCUCUCAUUGAGUCAUACAUAUUGAGAAUAAAAUGUCAAAAUGCAUACAAAGAGCUUAUACAGAAAAUGAAUUUACACAUAUUUAGAAUAAAUUGUCUUUGAACUUUUGAUGGUCAAAUAAAGGAAAACAGACAGGAUAUAACACACACUAUCAUAGAUGUAGCGACACGGUGAAGUAAAAUCACAUGAAGAUGGAAACGGAAACCCUUCACAAUAUAAAAUUUGAAUAGAGGGGGGAAAAAAAGGCUUCAUUUGGAAUGUUGCACAGAAGAAAGAGUGACUUGAAUCUCCAUCAGUAUCCAGACAUUCUACAAACACAGUGCUGAGAAUUUUAACAAGAAUAACAGACAAAAUAUUGUGCUUCUAUACUUGUCACAAAACUAGACCAAAUUAGUUCCCUUUUUGGUUUGUGAAAAACUUGAUAUUUUUGAAAAUUCUAUCCAAUGCUUUUAAACAAUAUUUCCAUAAUAAUAGUUGUUCAUAGCUAACCUUUGAUGGUUUAAGCAUUUGUUGUAGCAUGACGGGCUGAUUAGAUUAUUAUUUUUUUUUAUCCGAUGAAUUGAUAUUCAGCUGUUCUUAAUUAUGUGUUAAUAGGCAAGAGCAUUUUCUUAAGUACUUUCGUUGCCUUCCAAGUUUCCAAUGAACAAACAGAGCACAAACAAAUUUAACGAAACAAACAGAAGCAUUUUCUUCAGUGUGCUUUCUUGAGACAUUUUGAUUUAGUCUCAUUAUGAUUAAAAAGGAAGCUCGCUUCUCGAGACAUUUUGCUAUAGUCUCAUUAUGGUUAUAAAGAAGCGAUGGUCUAGGAGACAUAUUGUUUUCGUCUCAUUUUGCUAGACAUCUGGACUUUAUGGAAAUGAGCAUGUUGAUCACAUUGUCAUGUUAUUUCCAUAAUUAUACUUGUAUACUACUACAUGGUCACGUGUUUAUAAGUGUCUUGUUAUAUGGAGCAUCCUGUCGGUGCACAUAUGAUUUGAUAUUUAUGGCACAUUUUGGACUUGUUUAUGUUCUGGGUGAUUGCUUUGUAUUUGACCUUUUGUUAUAGUCACAUAUUGAUUAAUUCGGUUGUUUUCAAAAUAUUAUUUUAUUUUAAAUUUAUCAUUGGAGUGAUUUCUGUCGUCCAAGUGGGAGAUUGUUAGAUUUAUUUCUCAUAUUAUGUGGACUGACAUAAAUCAUUCUAAUUGUUUUCUAUAUUUUACCGAAUUAAUACGUGACUAUUGUCAAAUAUUAUGGAGCAAUUUGACAUACCUUGUACAGUAGUAUAUUAUGGACAAGUAUAUCCUUAAUUGUGUUAUUUUCGCCCAUAAUGGGAUGGGCAAUUUUGUACUAACACAUGAGGGGUCCCUGCGCUCAACCACUGUAUUUAAGUAACUUCAGCCCAUUGGAAGUUAACUGUUCAAGAAAUCUGUGGCAUGAGUGCAGUGCAUCUCUCUCUCCCGUUUGUCUCCCGUGUGUGUGCACAGUAAAUUUUGAAGCAAGCCGAUCCUUGAGCUAAGGAAAAGAAAGCGGAAUUCAGAAGCUAAACCGAAGCAGCAGCAACUCUGUUGAAGCUCCAUAACAAGCUGCAAGCUUGGAUUCAUGGGAGAUCGUGGUAAAUUUCGAAAUUUACUACAAUAUGUGUUUAAUUUGGAAAUGCACGAUUAAAGGGCAUAAAGUAUGUUUUUGUUUCAUCAAUUGGUAUCAGAGCCCAUGGUUAUGCGUUUCCUUGUAAACCAUAGUUGUUUUGUUUGAAGAAAUCUCACUCAUGGAAUUUUUUUUUUUAUUUUCGGAUUUUUCGAAUUCUUCGAAUUUGGACAUAUUUCCUCAAACGGUUGUUAAAUAAUGCAUGAGUGAUGAUUUUGGAGCAAAGAUAUAAUUUUUUUCGUGUUUUUUGGUGGCCAAAAUCGGGUUGGUAUGGAUGUGGAUGCUGUAAAUGUACUGUACAAUACUGUAGCAACAGCCCGAGGUUGAAGAUGAUGGGACAAUUUCAUUUGGAUCCCUAAAUUUUGUGAAUUGUCACUAUGGCCCAAAAUCUUUGCAAACUUUUCGAAAAGGUCCUUGACCGAGGGUCAACUAUGUAAAAGAUAAGUUGGUCCCUUGAAUUUUGGGAAAUUAUAGUAUGGCCCAACAGUUUAUUUUAUUUUAUUUACAGUUUGGGCCAAAAGUUUUAAUAGUUAAAACAGUAAACAUAAUUCUGAAAAUUUUUCAUUUUAGUCCAAAAUCCUUUCAAUUUUGGCGAUUUUUCAGAAUUUUUAAAUUUUAAAAUAAUCCAUCAGUUAUUGAAUCUUAUGGGCAUAUCAUUUAUAUAUUUUAUUGAGGCAUGUAGAUAUUUUAUUUGAUUUAAUAUCUUGUUAAUUUCAUUUGACAAAAUUUAUUUAGCCUCAAUUUUGUUAAUAUACGAAAUAUAUAUAUGAUGCAAAACUACAAUUUAGAGUGAUUGUGUAUCUACUUAUCGUAGGACCAAUCAUGAUAAAUUAUUUGGUGGUUUGCAAUUGAUUGUCCAUUUACAAUUAUGAAUUAUGGAUUAUGUGAUGGAUUGUUAUUGUUUUGACCAAGAUCCAUACGGGUGAUGAUACUGCCCUGUCGGCAAAUCACUACUUGGUACUUGGUAGGAUGCUUGGGAAGAUAAAGAGAUUUGUUGAGUAUUUUCUACUGAGUGGCUUAAUUACCCUGUCGGUAAUAGGUCAAUGUUGGUGUUAUAUUCAACUUGUCUGCUUUAUCUUUAGGUUAGUGCAUUCCUAUAUUGUUAAAGGAUGCCUAACAUAUUGUGUUGCUAUUGGAGAAACUUAGAAUGAGGAGCAAUUGAUUAUAGCAUGAUUUUAAUUUUUGCAUGCUUGAUAAUUCUUUUGUUAUUGCUUCCUCAGCUCUAGAUAUUCUCUCCUUUCUCCAAGUAGCCUCCCUCAAGAAUUUAACUGGGACAAAUUUUGAGGACUGGCGUGAGUCCAUUUUGUUUUAUUUGUCUACACUGAAUAGAGACUUGGCAUUAAGAGUUGAUGAACCAGCCAAGCCCACAGAUAAGAGCACUGCUGCUGAAAAAGCAGAGUGGGCAGCUUGGGAUGAAUCCAAUAGACACUGUCUGGAUACAAUGAAAUACACCAUUGAUAGAACCACUAGAGAUAGCAUCCCUGCAUGUGAUAAGGCCAAAGAUUACUUGGCAGCUGUGGGAAGAACCUUUAAGAAGGUAGAUAAGGCAGAAAAGGGUAACUAUCUGAGGCUGCUUGCUAAUACCCAGUAUGAUGGUGUUUCUGGGGUCAGAGAACACAUCCUUAAGAUGACUAGUUACCAUAAGAAGCUGAAGGACAUGGAUGUCACUUUGCCUGAUGACUACCUGGUCUUCCAAAUCCUUGAAUCUCUUCCACCACAAUUUGGCAAUUUGAGAAGCCAAUACAAUACUCAGAGAGACACUUGGAAUAUCACUGAGUUGACUGCUUAUGUGGUUCAGGAAGAGGAAUCAUUGAAGAAGGGGAAAUCUCACACUGUCAUGGUGGCAACUACUCAAGAGAGUGGAAGUGUGAAGAAAGGCUCUUCAAAGGGCAGCAAUAAGUUUUUUAAGAAGAAAAAGUUUGGCAAGAAAACUUCACGUGGUACUUCUUCUACCACUUCUGGUUCCACUUCUGAGAGCUUUAAGGGAAAGUGCCACUUUUGUAAGAAACCUGGGCACAAGAGAGCUGACUGCAGGGGAUUCAAAGCAUGGUUGGAAAAGAAAGGUAUUCCUGUAGCCUUUGUAGGCUUUGAAUCUAAUCUUAUUGAUGUUCCUUCUGAUACUUGGUGGUUGGAUACUGGUGCAACCAUUAAUAUAACGAAUUCCUUACAGGAAUUCAGAAGCAGGAGGGAGCCCAAUGAAGGGGAGUUGAUAGUUCACAUGGGCAAUGGAGUGACAGCCAAAGUUGAAAGCAUAGGAGUUGUCAGACUACAUCUAGCCACAGGCCAUGUUUUGGAUCUAUUAGAUACAGCUUAUAUUCCUUCUAUUAGGAGAAACUUGAUAUCUGUAUCUAUUUUGGAUAGAUGUGGCUAUACUUUUCAUUUUGGUGAUAGAAAAGUUUACUUAUUCCGCAAUUCAGAGUUAGUUGGUUCUGGCACUCUAUAUGAUGGCUUGUAUAUGAUUGAUUUAUUUUCUCGUGCUGUUGAAUCAUCAUCCAAUGCUCAUGUUAUGCAUGUUGUUAGCUCUAAUCGUGUUAGGGUUGAUGAAAAUUCCUCUAUGUUGUGGCAUAAACGGUUAGGUCACAUUUCUAAACAGAGGAUGGAGAGGCUUAUUAAAGAUAGCAUUCUACAUAAGUUGGAUUUCUCUGAUUUUGGCACUUGUGUUGAUUGUGUCAAAGGCAAACUUACUGCCAAAACCAGAAAAGAGAGAACUCAGAGGAGUCAACAGGUGCUGGAGUUGGUACAUACAGACAUUUGUGGGCCAUUUACUCCUAUUGCCAUUGGAGGUUAUAAGUACUUCAUCACGUUCAACGAUGACUUUUCUCGUUAUGGUCAUGUUGAACUUCUUGCUGAAAAGUCUAAAUCCUUAUCUGUGUUUCAAGCCUUUAAGGCUAAUGUUGAGCUCCAAAAGGGCAAGCAAAUUAAAGCAGUAAGGUCAGACAGAGGUGGUGAGUACUAUGGGCGAUAUGAUGAAACUGGGCGUAAUCCUGGACCUUUUGCUAAAUUUCUUCAGGAAUGUGGAAUAGAAGCCCAGUAUACAAUGCUCGGGACUCCUGAACAUAAUGGAAUUGCAGAAAGGAGAAAUCGUACCCUUCUUGACAUGGUGCGGUGUAUGCUGAGUAACUCCACCUUACCAGAUUUUCUGUGGGGUGAAGCCUUAAGAACUGCAGCUUACAUUUUGAAUCAGGUACCUAGUAAAUCGGUGCCCAAAAGUCCUUAUGAGUUGUGGUCAGGAAAGAGACCGAGUCUUCGUCAUUUUCAUGUAUGGGGAUGCAGAGCAGAAGUGAGGCCCUAUAAUCCACAAUCAAGGAAACUUGAUCCGAAAACAAUUAGUGGUCAUUUUAUUGGCUAUUGUAUCGGCUCAAGGGGUUCUAGAUUUUAUUGACCUUCCCACACUACUAGAAUCAUUGAGUCUGAUCGUGCCAUUUAUUUUGAGGAUGAUCACAAUGGUGGGAGUUCUGAGCCUCGCAGUCUGACAUUGAGAGAAGAACGUGUGGUUUUGCCUAUUCCAUCUUUUCCGACUUCUGCGAUGGGAUUACCACAUAUUGAUGAUUCUUCUGUUGAUCCUAAACUUCAUCAUAAUAUGGAGCCUAUGAUUGUAGAGGAUGAUGGUACUGAUGUGCCAUUGAGGAGAUCAGAGAGGAUCAGGAGACCUGCAAUUUCUGAUGAUUAUGUUGUUUACUUGCAGGAGCAUGAUUUUGAUGCUGACUCUUCAUCUGAUCCUAUUACCUUUCAAGAGGCCAUCAGUUGUUCAGAAUCAUCAUCUUGGAUACAUGCGAUGCAUGAUGAGAUGGCAUCUAUGUAUCAUAAUGAGGUUUGGGAUUUAGUUGAGUUACCAGAUGGAUGCAGACCAAUUGGUUGCAAAUGGGUUUUCAAAACCAAAAGAGAUGCCAGAGGUCAGGUAGAGAGGUAUAAGGCCAGGCUUGUGGCUAAGGGUUUCAGUCAAAGAGAAGGCAUUGAUUACACUGAAACCUACUCUCCUGUUUCUACCAAAGACUCUUUUCGUAUUAUCAUGGCAUUGGUAGCUCAUUUCAAUUUAGAAUUGCAUCAGAUGGAUGUGAAGACAGCUUUUCUUAAUGGGAGCUUGUCUGAAGAUGUAUACAUGGUGCAACCUGAUGGUUUUGUUGAGUCUGGUAUAGAAAACAUGGUGUGUAAGCUUAAAAGGUCCAUUUAUGGACUUAAGCAAGCAUCCAGACAGUGGUAUUUGAAAUUUCACGAUAUUGUCACCUCUUAUGGGUUCCAGGAGAAUGCCGUUGAUCAGUGUAUAUACUUGAGAGUCAGUGGGAGCAAGUAUAUCAUUUUGGUGCUUUAUGUGGAUGAUAUCUUGCUCGCUGCUAAUGACAGUAAUUUGUUACUUGAGACAAAGCAAAUGUUGUCAUGCAGCUUUGAUAUGAAGGAUCUUGGUGAAGCCCAUUAUGUAUUAGGGAUAGAGAUUCUUCAUGAUAGAUCUAGAGGAAUUCUAGGUUUGUCUCAAAAGACUUACAUUGAUCGCAUUUUGAAAAGGUUCAAUUUGCAGUCUUGUGCUCCUGGGAAAGCUCCAAUUUCGAAAGGUGACAAAAUUUCCAAGUCUCAAUGUCCCGAUAAUGAUGUAGACAAAGCUAGAAUACAAACAGUCCCGUAUGCAUCCGUUGUGGGUAGCUUGAUGUAUGCUCAAGUCUGUACUCGCCCUGAUAUUGCUUUUCCAGUGGGAGUACUUGGAAGAUACCUGAGCAAUCCUGGAUUUGAACACUGGAAGGCUGCAAAGAAAGUACUCAGAUAUUUGCGAGCCACUAAAGAUUUUGUAUUGACAUAUCAGCAAUCUGACUAUUUGAAUAUAGUUGGAUAUUCUGAUGCUGAUUUCGCAGGGUGCUUGGAAGACAAGAAAUCCACAUCUGGUUACAUCUUUAUGAUGGCAGGAGGAGCUAUAUCAUGGAAAAGUGUCAAGCAGACACUUAUAGCUUCUUCAACAAUGGAAGCAGAAUAUGUAGCAUGCUUUGAGGCUACACGUCAUGCUUUAUGGAUGCAAAAUUUUAUCACAGGGCUAGAUUGUAUAGUGGCCGUACCGAGGCCAUUAAAGAUAUACUGUGAUAAUUCUGCUGCUGUUUCUUUUUCUCACAAUACAGGGAGUUCCUCACGUUCCAAGCACAUUGAUAUUAAAUACUUGUUUGUGAGAGAGAAAAUUGCUCUAUCUUGUGUAUCAGUAGAGUAUAUCCCUACAGAACUCAUGUUAGCCGAUCCACUUAUUAAAGCUUUAGCUCCAAAAGUAUUUAGGGAGCAUGUAACGCAUAUGGGAUUAUUUGAAUCCACUUAUAUAUGCUGAGUCAGUGGGAGUUCUGGUUUGUAUUAUGAGUUGCAACUUAAAUGAGCUUAUGUAUUACUCAUUUUGUUAUCAUGCAUGCAUGUUGUUAUGUGAUAUUGAUAUGCCAUAUAUUGUGUACACAUUUGGCUGCGUAUGGCAUUAUGUAUAGAAUGAGGAUACGAUGGUCCGAGACAUUUUGCUCAGUCUCAAUAUGGACAUUAAAGACUGAAGCAUUAUGAUUUUCUUCAGUGUGCUUUCUUGAGACAUUUUGAUUUAGUCUCAUUAUGAUUAAAAAGGAAGCUCGCUUCUCGAGACAUUUUGCUAUAGUCUCAUUAUGGUUAUAAAGAAGCGAUGGUCUAGGAGACAUAUUGUUUUCGUCUCAUUUUGCUAGACAUCUGGACUUUAUGGAAAUGAGCAUGUUGAUCACAUUGUCAUGUUAUUUCCAUAAUUAUACUUGUAUACUACUACAUGGUCACGUGUUUAUAAGUGUCUUGUUAUAUGGAGCAUCCUGUCGGUGCACAUAUGAUUUGAUAUUUAUGGCACAUUUUGGACUUGUUUAUGUUCUGGGUGAUUGCUUGUAUUUGACCUUUUGUUAUAGUCACAUAUUGAUUAAUUCGGUUGUUUUCAAAAUAUUAUUUUAUUUUAAAUUUAUCAUUGGAGUGAUUUCUGUCGUCCAAGUGGGAGAUUGUUAGAUUUAUUUCUCAUAUUAUGUGGACUGACAUAAAUCAUUCUAAUUGUUUUCUAUAUUUUACCGAAUUAAUACGUGACUAUUGUCAAAUAUUAUGGAGCAAUUUUGACAUACCUUGUACAGUAGUAUAUUAUGGACAAGUAUAUCCUUAAUUGUGUUAUUUUCGCCCAUAAUGGGAUGGGCAAUUUUGUACUAACACAUGAGGGGUCCCUGCGCUCAACCACUGUAUUUAAGUAACUUCAGCCCAUUGGAAGUUAACUGUUCAAGAAAUCUGUGGCAUGAGUGCAGUGCAUCUCUCUCUCCCGUUUGUCUCCCGUGUGUGUGCACAGUAAAUUUUGAAGCAAGCCGAUCCUUGAGCUAAGGAAAAGAAAGCGGAAUUCAGAAGCUAAACCGAAGCAGCAGCAACUCUGUUGAAGCUCCAUAACAAGCUGCAAGCUUGGAUUCAUGGGAGAUCGUGGUAAAUUUCGAAAUUUACUACAAUAUGUGUUUAAUUUGGAAAUGCACGAUUAAAGGGCAUAAAGUAUGUUUUUGUUUCAUCAAUUGGUAUCAGAGCCCAUGGUUAUGCGUUUCCUUGUAAACCAUAGUUGUUUUGUUGAAGAAAUCUCACUCAUGGAAUUUUUUUUUUUAUUUUCGGAUUUUUCGAAUUCUUCGAAUUUGGACAUAUUUCCUCAAACGGUUGUUAAAUAAUGCAUGAGUGAUGAUUUUGGAGCAAAGAUAUAAUUUUUUCGUGUUUUUUGGUGGCCAAAAUCGGGUUGGUAUGGAUGUGGAUGCUGUAAAUGUACUGUACAAUACUGUAGCAACAGCCCGAGGUUGAAGAUGAUGGGACAAUUUCAUUUGGAUCCCUAAAUUUUGUGAAUUGUCACUAUGGCCCAAAAUCUUUGCAAACUUUUCGAAAAGGUCCUUGACCGAGGGUCAACUAUGUAAAAGAUAAGUUGGUCCCUUGAAUUUUGGGAAAUUAUAGUAUGGCCCAACAGUUUAUUUUAUUUUAUUUACAGUUUGGGCCAAAAGUUUUAAUAGUUAAAACAGUAAACAUAAUUCUGAAAAUUUUUCAUUUUAGUCCAAAAUCCUUUCAAUUUUGGCGAUUUUUCAGAAUUUUAAAUUUUAAAAUAAUCCAUCAGUUAUUGAAUCUUAUGGGCAUAUCAUUUAUAUAUUUUAUUGAGGCAUGUAGAUAUUUUAUUUGAUUUAAUAUCUUGUUAAUUUCAUUUGACAAAAUUUAUUUAGCCUCAAUUUUGUUAAUAUACGAAAUAUAUAUAUGAUGCAAAACUACAAUUUAGAGUGAUUGUGUAUCUACUUAUCGUAGGACCAAUCAUGAUAAAUUAUUUGGUGGUUUGCAAUUGAUUGUCCAUUUACAAUUAUGAAUUAUGGAUUAUGUGAUGGAUUGUUAUUGUUUUGACCAAGAUCCAUACGGGUGAUGAUACUGCCCUGUCGGCAAAUCACUACUUGGUACUUGGUAGGAUGCUUGGGAAGAUAAAGAGAUUUGUUGAGUAUUUUCUACUGAGUGGCUUAAUUACCCUGUCGGUAAUAGGUCAAUGUUGGUGUUAUAUUCAACUUGUCUGCUUUAUCUUUAGGUUAGUGCAUUCCUAUAUUGUUAAAGGAUGCCUAACAUAUUGUGUUGCUAUUGGAGAAACUUAGAAUGAGGAGCAAUUGAUUAUAGCAUGAUUUUAAUUUUUGCAUGCUUGAUAAUUCUUUUGUUAUUGCUUCCUCAGCUCUAGAUAUUCUCUCCUUUCUCCAAGUAGCCUCCCUCAAGAAUUUAACUGGGACAAAUUUUGAGGACUGGCGUGAGUCCAUUUUGUUUUAUUUGUCUACACUGAAUAGAGACUUGGCAUUAAGAGUUGAUGAACCAGCCAAGCCCACAGAUAAGAGCACUGCUGCUGAAAAAGCAGAGUGGGCAGCUUGGGAUGAAUCCAAUAGACACUGUCUGGAUACAAUGAAAUACACCAUUGAUAGAACCACUAGAGAUAGCAUCCCUGCAUGUGAUAAGGCCAAAGAUUACUUGGCAGCUGUGGGAAGAACCUUUAAGAAGGUAGAUAAGGCAGAAAAGGGUAACUAUCUGAGGCUGCUUGCUAAUACCCAGUAUGAUGGUGUUUCUGGGGUCAGAGAACACAUCCUUAAGAUGACUAGUUACCAUAAGAAGCUGAAGGACAUGGAUGUCACUUUGCCUGAUGACUACCUGGUCUUCCAAAUCCUUGAAUCUCUUCCACCACAAUUUGGCAAUUUGAGAAGCCAAUACAAUACUCAGAGAGACACUUGGAAUAUCACUGAGUUGACUGCUUAUGUGGUUCAGGAAGAGGAAUCAUUGAAGAAGGGGAAAUCUCACACUGUCAUGGUGGCAACUACUCAAGAGAGUGGAAGUGUGAAGAAAGGCUCUUCAAAGGGCAGCAAUAAGUUUUUUAAGAAGAAAAAGUUUGGCAAGAAAACUUCACGUGGUACUUCUUCUACCACUUCUGGUUCCACUUCUGAGAGCUUUAAGGGAAAGUGCCACUUUUGUAAGAAACCUGGGCACAAGAGAGCUGACUGCAGGGGAUUCAAAGCAUGGUUGGAAAAGAAAGGUAUUCCUGUAGCCUUUGUAGGCUUUGAAUCUAAUCUUAUUGAUGUUCCUUCUGAUACUUGGUGGUUGGAUACUGGUGCAACCAUUAAUAUAACGAAUUCCUUACAGGAAUUCAGAAGCAGGAGGGAGCCCAAUGAAGGGGAGUUGAUAGUUCACAUGGGCAAUGGAGUGACAGCCAAAGUUGAAAGCAUAGGAGUUGUCAGACUACAUCUAGCCACAGGCCAUGUUUUGGAUCUAUUAGAUACAGCUUAUAUUCCUUCUAUUAGGAGAAACUUGAUAUCUGUAUCUAUUUUGGAUAGAUGUGGCUAUACUUUUCAUUUUGGUGAUAGAAAAGUUUACUUAUUCCGCAAUUCAGAGUUAGUUGGUUCUGGCACUCUAUAUGAUGGCUUGUAUAUGAUUGAUUUAUUUUCUCGUGCUGUUGAAUCAUCAUCCAAUGCUCAUGUUAUGCAUGUUGUUAGCUCUAAUCGUGUUAGGGUUGAUGAAAAUUCCUCUAUGUUGUGGCAUAAACGGUUAGGUCACAUUUCUAAACAGAGGAUGGAGAGGCUUAUUAAAGAUAGCAUUCUACAUAAGUUGGAUUUCUCUGAUUUUGGCACUUGUGUUGAUUGUGUCAAAGGCAAACUUACUGCCAAAACCAGAAAAGAGAGAACUCAGAGGAGUCAACAGGUGCUGGAGUUGGUACAUACAGACAUUUGUGGGCCAUUUACUCCUAUUGCCAUUGGAGGUUAUAAGUACUUCAUCACGUUCAACGAUGACUUUUCUCGUUAUGGUCAUGUUGAACUUCUUGCUGAAAAGUCUAAAUCCUUAUCUGUGUUUCAAGCCUUUAAGGCUAAUGUUGAGCUCCAAAAGGGCAAGCAAAUUAAAGCAGUAAGGUCAGACAGAGGUGGUGAGUACUAUGGGCGAUAUGAUGAAACUGGGCGUAAUCCUGGACCUUUUGCUAAAUUUCUUCAGGAAUGUGGAAUAGAAGCCCAGUAUACAAUGCUCGGGACUCCUGAACAUAAUGGAAUUGCAGAAAGGAGAAAUCGUACCCUUCUUGACAUGGUGCGGUGUAUGCUGAGUAACUCCACCUUACCAGAUUUUCUGUGGGGUGAAGCCUUAAGAACUGCAGCUUACAUUUUGAAUCAGGUACCUAGUAAAUCGGUGCCCAAAAGUCCUUAUGAGUUGUGGUCAGGAAAGAGACCGAGUCUUCGUCAUUUUCAUGUAUGGGGAUGCAGAGCAGAAGUGAGGCCCUAUAAUCCACAAUCAAGGAAACUUGAUCCGAAAACAAUUAGUGGUCAUUUUAUUGGCUAUUGUAUCGGCUCAAGGGGUUCUAGAUUUUAUUGACCUUCCCACACUACUAGAAUCAUUGAGUCUGAUCGUGCCAUUUAUUUUGAGGAUGAUCACAAUGGUGGGAGUUCUGAGCCUCGCAGUCUGACAUUGAGAGAAGAACGUGUGGUUUUGCCUAUUCCAUCUUUUCCGACUUCUGCGAUGGGAUUACCACAUAUUGAUGAUUCUUCUGUUGAUCCUAAACUUCAUCAUAAUAUGGAGCCUAUGAUUGUAGAGGAUGAUGGUACUGAUGUGCCAUUGAGGAGAUCAGAGAGGAUCAGGAGACCUGCAAUUUCUGAUGAUUAUGUUGUUUACUUGCAGGAGCAUGAUUUUGAUGCUGACUCUUCAUCUGAUCCUAUUACCUUUCAAGAGGCCAUCAGUUGUUCAGAAUCAUCAUCUUGGAUACAUGCGAUGCAUGAUGAGAUGGCAUCUAUGUAUCAUAAUGAGGUUUGGGAUUUAGUUGAGUUACCAGAUGGAUGCAGACCAAUUGGUUGCAAAUGGGUUUUCAAAACCAAAAGAGAUGCCAGAGGUCAGGUAGAGAGGUAUAAGGCCAGGCUUGUGGCUAAGGGUUUCAGUCAAAGAGAAGGCAUUGAUUACACUGAAACCUACUCUCCUGUUUCUACCAAAGACUCUUUUCGUAUUAUCAUGGCAUUGGUAGCUCAUUUCAAUUUAGAAUUGCAUCAGAUGGAUGUGAAGACAGCUUUUCUUAAUGGGAGCUUGUCUGAAGAUGUAUACAUGGUGCAACCUGAUGGUUUUGUUGAGUCUGGUAUAGAAAACAUGGUGUGUAAGCUUAAAAGGUCCAUUUAUGGACUUAAGCAAGCAUCCAGACAGUGGUAUUUGAAAUUUCACGAUAUUGUCACCUCUUAUGGGUUCCAGGAGAAUGCCGUUGAUCAGUGUAUAUACUUGAGAGUCAGUGGGAGCAAGUAUAUCAUUUUGGUGCUUUAUGUGGAUGAUAUCUUGCUCGCUGCUAAUGACAGUAAUUUGUUACUUGAGACAAAGCAAAUGUUGUCAUGCAGCUUUGAUAUGAAGGAUCUUGGUGAAGCCCAUUAUGUAUUAGGGAUAGAGAUUCUUCAUGAUAGAUCUAGAGGAAUUCUAGGUUUGUCUCAAAAGACUUACAUUGAUCGCAUUUUGAAAAGGUUCAAUUUGCAGUCUUGUGCUCCUGGGAAAGCUCCAAUUUCGAAAGGUGACAAAAUUUCCAAGUCUCAAUGUCCCGAUAAUGAUGUAGACAAAGCUAGAAUACAAACAGUCCCGUAUGCAUCCGUUGUGGGUAGCUUGAUGUAUGCUCAAGUCUGUACUCGCCCUGAUAUUGCUUUUCCAGUGGGAGUACUUGGAAGAUACCUGAGCAAUCCUGGAUUUGAACACUGGAAGGCUGCAAAGAAAGUACUCAGAUAUUUGCGAGCCACUAAAGAUUUUGUAUUGACAUAUCAGCAAUCUGACUAUUUGAAUAUAGUUGGAUAUUCUGAUGCUGAUUUCGCAGGGUGCUUGGAAGACAAGAAAUCCACAUCUGGUUACAUCUUUAUGAUGGCAGGAGGAGCUAUAUCAUGGAAAAGUGUCAAGCAGACACUUAUAGCUUCUUCAACAAUGGAAGCAGAAUAUGUAGCAUGCUUUGAGGCUACACGUCAUGCUUUAUGGAUGCAAAAUUUUAUCACAGGGCUAGAUUGUAUAGUGGCCGUACCGAGGCCAUUAAAGAUAUACUGUGAUAAUUCUGCUGCUGUUUCUUUUUCUCACAAUACAGGGAGUUCCUCACGUUCCAAGCACAUUGAUAUUAAAUACUUGUUUGUGAGAGAGAAAAUUGCUCUAUCUUGUGUAUCAGUAGAGUAUAUCCCUACAGAACUCAUGUUAGCCGAUCCACUUAUUAAAGCUUUAGCUCCAAAAGUAUUUAGGGAGCAUGUAACGCAUAUGGGAUUAUUUGAAUCCACUUAUAUAUGCUGAGUCAGUGGGAGUUCUGGUUUGUAUUAUGAGUUGCAACUUAAAUGAGCUUAUGUAUUACUCAUUUUGUUAUCAUGCAUGCAUGUUGUUAUGUGAUAUUGAUAUGCCAUAUAUUGUGUACACAUUUGGCUGCGUAUGGCAUUAUGUAUAGAAUGAGGAUACGAUGGUCCGAGACAUUUUGCUCAGUCUCAAUAUGGACAUUAAAGACUGAAGCAUUAUGAUUUUCUUCAGUGUGCUUUCUUGAGACAUUUUGAUUUAGUCUCAUUAUGAUUAAAAAGGAAGCUCGCUUCUCGAGACAUUUUGCUAUAGUCUCAUUAUGGUUAUAAAGAAGCGAUGGUCUAGGAGACAUAUUGUUUUCGUCUCAUUUUGCUAGACAUCUGGACUUUAUGGAAAUGAGCAUGUUGAUCACAUUGUCAUGUUAUUUCCAUAAUUAUACUUGUAUACUACUACAUGGUCACGUGUUUAUAAGUGUCUUGUUAUAUGGAGCAUCCUGUCGGUGCACAUAUGAUUUGAUAUUUAUGGCACAUUUUGGACUUGUUUAUGUUCUGGGUGAUUGCUUGUAUUUGACCUUUUGUUAUAGUCACAUAUUGAUUAAUUCGGUUGUUUUCAAAAUAUUAUUUUAUUUUAAAUUUAUCAUUGGAGUGAUUUCUGUCGUCCAAGUGGGAGAUUGUUAGAUUUAUUUCUCAUAUUAUGUGGACUGACAUAAAUCAUUCUAAUUGUUUUCUAUAUUUUACCGAAUUAAUACGUGACUAUUGUCAAAUAUUAUGGAGCAAUUUUGACAUACCUUGUACAGUAGUAUAUUAUGGACAAGUAUAUCCUUAAUUGUGUUAUUUUCGCCCAUAAUGGGAUGGGCAAUUUUGUACUAACACAUGAGGGGUCCCUGCGCUCAACCACUGUAUUUAAGUAACUUCAGCCCAUUGGAAGUUAACUGUUCAAGAAAUCUGUGGCAUGAGUGCAGUGCAUCUCUCUCUCCCGUUUGUCUCCCGUGUGUGUGCACAGUAAAUUUUGAAGCAAGCCGAUCCUUGAGCUAAGGAAAAGAAAGCGGAAUUCAGAAGCUAAACCGAAGCAGCAGCAACUCUGUUGAAGCUCCAUAACAAGCUGCAAGCUUGGAUUCAUGGGAGAUCGUGGUAAAUUUCGAAAUUUACUACAAUAUGUGUUUAAUUUGGAAAUGCACGAUUAAAGGGCAUAAAGUGUGUUUUUGUUUCAUCAGGGAACUCUCAAAACAAAAUACUCAAAUUAAAUUAAAUUAGACCAAAAGACGCUCAAUGACGCAAAAUCUGCCCAUAAAAGCCUGAACGAAUCAUGAAAAGUGCAUUCCAUAUUGACAGUAAACCAAGUGACCCAUUCUAAACAAUUGAGAUGAAAUUGUGAAACAACCCACGAGAUCAAAUAAAUAAAAUAAGAAUUAAUUACCAGCUGGGACUUUCUUCUUCAAAUUCGUAACUCCAAGUCAUAAGAAGCCAAUGAAAUUAGUCGUAAUCCACAGAGUAUGACGACGACCCCGCCAACAGCUGAAAAUAAAAUUCUUAUUCAUCAAUUUAAACUAACUUUAUAACAAAUAUCUUAUCGAUAUUUUAUUUAAAAAGAAAAAGCAAAUUUUGUAAAAUUUUUCCAUGGGAGAUAGAGAGUAACACGUAUAUCCGUACCUUCUCAGCAUGUAAUUGUUGUAUGGUCGUGUUAAGAUCAUUACUAGCCCAACGCCGUUGAUUCGAUGUCUCUCCAUACCAGACGUUUACUCUUGGAGGCGUGCUUGAUUCUCCUCUAGUGAAAAUCUUCAAUUUGGGACAACCAAUCACAGAUAGAUCUUGCAAAGAUGGGAAUUUGAAGGUGUAAUUGGCAGAGCAGAAACUUGUGAGGCUGUCUAAAUCACGCAGUUCCAACCUCUUCAAUUUGCGGAAAACAAUCUCUUCUUUUUCAACCCCGUCUUUGUCAUUUAUUACCACCUCUGUCAUUGCUCUGCAUCCGUAUACACAAAGUGAUACGAGUCGCACUAGAGUUUUUGCUGUGGAGGAUGUUACUAAGUGUAUCAAUUUCUUGCAAUCGAAAGCUACAAGUUUUGUUAGGUUCCCAAAAGAUACCGAUGAUGUUGGCAAUAGAAUUAACAGACUUUGACAAUGAUAUACUCUUAGAAUUUCAAGAUACUGAAAAAUGGGGCCAAAUUUGGAGUCUUGUUUGCACAGCUGCUUCAGAUGAUAGUGCCGGUACAGCUCUAAUUCUUUUAUCAUUGCCAACUUCCCCACAUGUUUCUCUAAGCAUCCUUCCAUCGAAAAUACCUCUUCGUGGAAUGAAAAAUAACACAGUACGAGCAUUUCGAGAUUGUGAAAUCUCUCCAGUACAUUCCAGAUUGGAAAACAAGCUGAGUCAUCAGCAGCAAUCCCUAGAUCUCUAAGACUGCCAAAAAGGUGUUGUGGGAAAUCGGCCUGCAAAAUCAUCUUCACGUCUUUUCCGCAUAGUGAUAGUUCCGUCAAGUUGGGUAAGAUCUGAUCAUCAUCAAUCAUAAUAACUAAUAAGGUCAAUUGAUGUUUUCUCAAAUGAUUUUGAGUAAUCCAAUCAUAAGCAGUGAGUUUAUAGUAUUUGUUUUAUAUUAUAUUUUAAAAAAAAUUGUAUUAUUGAUAAAAUUUAUUAAAUGAUUUUUUAUAUGUUAAUUUUAGAGGUAAAAAAGAAAUUAGGGAAAAAAGGUUGAUUUAUACUGACUCGAAAUUAUUUUAUUGCACAAUAAUAAAUUACUAAUUUAUUUUGUAAGUUCUUCUAUAUGGAAAGACUCAAGAUUCUUUUACAAAUGCUAUACCUAAAAAAGUUUAUAUAAUCAUUAAUCUACCACAUUGAUCCCUUAGUCUAGACUAGCAAAGAUUAUUGUAUAAUAAAAGUUUUCAAAUUUAUUGAGCAUUAAUUUAUCAAAGUUAAAAAUAAGCUAUAGAUAAAAAAUCUAGAAAAUGGCUUCAUACCUUUUCCAACGGCAAUAGGGGCUGUUGUGCAGGAAUACCAAGUUGAUCAUUCCCAUUAUUCUGCGAUAAAUCUGCCGCGAAUAUCUUUAAUCUGUCACAACGAUACACUAAAAGAAUUUCUAGGGCGGGCCAUUCCGAAGUAUGCAUUCCAGGGUACAAACAUCUAAGUUUUGGUAGAUCAUGGAGUAUCAAAGUGGUGAGCUGUGGAAAGACAAAAUAAGGGAUCACUUGAUCUGCUCUGUUUUCAGAAAUGAUCUCCUGUAAAUCCUCACAGGAGCGUAUUUCUAGGCGUUGGAGCUGCUUAAGGCUUCCGAUCAUAGACGCUGAAAAUAUGUAUUUUAAUUUGUGACAACCCCACACAAUCAAUCGUGUUAAACUUUGAAAGUGAGGAAACACUGCAGCUGGAAUUUGAUUGUAGUGCCAAAUCUUGUCGACAUUAAUUUCAGAUAUCUCCAAAGCCUCCAAGUUAGGCAACGCAACCUAAAAAGAUAAGAAUUUCUUGUUGAAAAUUUCUCUUUGAUUACAAAUUAAUGCAAGUCAGAAUCAAUUUCCAACUGACAGCUGAGUAUGCAUUCUAAUUCAUACUACUUGUUAAGAGCUCAAUUAGUGAGUGCGUGAGAUUAUUUUUUUCCCCAUUGUUUUCAUUUUCUUUCAAUUCUCUAAAUGAUUUAAUUAUUUUCCACGUUUGACAUAAGAGAACGCAUGAUAGAAUAAACUCUGUUAUAUAUAUAUAUGAAUAAAAUGUUAGCCUACGCACCUUCUCAUUGAAAAGCAAAGUUGAAAUAUCCAAAGUGAUUUCGCUGGAGCAAUACAUAGUCGUCGAUUCCUCUUGCGACACUUGUCUGUUCGGUGAUGCUGAAGGAGUCUCCACCUCACGGCAAAAACUUGUAACCUCUGGAAGAUUCCCCAGACUCAAAGAUCUUAAUUGAGCAAACUCUAUCUUCUCAAUUGCAUUAUCAACUUCUUUCCCAAUUGCAAAAAUCUCUUUCAUCUUGCUGCAAUUAAUAACUGCAAUUCUCUCAAGUCUUGGAAGGCAUUUUGUAGUAGAGAGCCAAAAGAUAUUACUCAACUUAUCACAAUUAUAUACUUCUAUGUUUUUUGAGUUCGUUGAAAGACUCUACUUUGAGCCGAUCAAUACAUAUCCUCUCCAUGUUGAUCAAAUUGUGAAGGGCAAGUGACUCCAAAAGAGGAAAGGCAUCACAAGCGACCAUCUCCCUUGAAUCGACGAUACAAAAGAAGUCAGGAUUAUUUUGAACCCAGAGGACCUUCAAUUGUGAAAAGCCCUCCGUGUCCAAAUUGAAAAGAACAUUCUCGAUGCCUUGCAGCUUGUCCAACCGUAAGUAUUGAACGUUAUUGAUGCCUUGCAAUUUCAUGGAGCAAAUGUCCAUAAAAUCAAGCUUGAGCUUCAAUGCUCUUGAAAUCUUGCGAUUACUGUCGAUCAAAAAGUGCAGCUGACUUUUAAACCAAUGUUGUCCAAAAAGCAUGGGAUGCAUGAAUAACCCAUUUCCAAUAUGUAUUUUGAACCUUUCGAGCUUUCUGGCCAAAAGCCUUCUGGUAACAUACUCUCAUUUUUAACAUCAAUUUCUAGAGUAGUUAGCCGAGGUAAAUGCAUCAAUUCGUCAAGGCUAGCAUUACUUCUUUUGCUGUUGGCUCUUUCAACCUCCCAUUCAAUGAAGCAAUUACCAUAUACAAUUCUUCUAAUCGGAUUAAGCUUGAUAUGACAUUUGGGGCAAUAACUUUCAGACGGAAACAGUGUUAAAUCUAACAGCCUUAGCUUAGUCAGUUGACCCAGUGCUUUAGGCAACUCUACAAUAUCAGAUUGCAAAAAGCUAAGGAUUUCUAGAUUUUCCAACUUUCCAAUAAUGGCUAUGUCUAUGCCUCCGAAAAUGCUUUGAUUAAGACAAAGUGUCUGAAGAUUUACUAGAAGACCAAUUGAAGAUGGCAAUGACAAUAACCGCAUUCUAGUCAAAUCCAAAACCCGAAGCUUUUUCGUCCUUUUGAAGAAGUUCUCGGGAAUAUUAGGCACAGCAAAAGAGUUCUUGGGAGACCAUGAAUAGAAGUUCAAGUUGUAGAGAUUCCGACCCUUCAGGAAUGUCAUUAACAAUACUAUCUUUUAAAAGAAAUUGCAAAAUAUUUUUUAAUUCAUCUGCAUUUUGGCCAUUUCAAUCAUCCUCAUUUUCACCACAAAUGCAUUCAUGUCACGAAAUGCAAUUGAAAUGGCAACAUCGCGAACAACAUCGUGCAUAGAAAUGUAUUUACUGCCACCAUCCUCAAGCAACAAACAAGAGUCUCUUAGUUGAUGGACCCAUGCAUGUAAUUUGUUAUGUGCAUCUUCUAGCUUAUGGACACUUUUAAAUACACCCAAGCCCAUGCUGUAUUUGAACAAAUCCAUAAUUGGUGCUGGCGUAAUAAGACUACACAGUAAAAAAGUUUUCUUGAGUUGCUCACCUCUUAAGUACUUGUAACUCAGCUCAAUUGUUGAGUAUGCCUCUGCUGGUACUCCUUCGUCGAAGCUUGCCUCUGAAGGCGUUUUGGAGUUCUUGCAAGGCAUUCUUCCACACAGGCAGCUCUUUUUUUCUCAGUGCCUUUGCUACUGUGGUUAGGGCAAUAGGCAAACCUCCGCAUGCCUUGGCUACACUUGUUGCUGUAGAUUUUAACUCACGAUUUUCAACAUAAUCACCAGCCAUUAUCUUGAACAAUCUCCAGGCUUCUUGUUCAUUUAAAAUGCCAAUCGAGAAGUUUUUUUCAGAUCCCAUCCUUAACAGCACAUCAAGAUCUCUUGUUGUGAAUAAUAAUUUACAUCCUCUGUGCUCAACUCCAAAAGGAAUGCCAAUAGUCCCCAAAUCAAGAGGAUUCCAGAUGUUAUCGAGAAUCACAAGGAUCUUCUUCUCAUUCUUCAAUCUUUUCAUAUAGUCUACUAGCUCUUCUAGACUCAGCUUCCUCGGACAACUCUAGGCCUAACGUUUCCGCAAUUUCCUCUUGGAUCUUUCUUAUGUCUGGACAUUGGGUAACCUCCGAAAAAACCACCAUAUCGUAAAGCUUGUCUUCAAUGGCUCGCCUUGCAAACUCCUUCACCAGUGUCGUCUUUCCAAUGCCGCCCAUGCCGUACACCCCAAUGAUGCUGACAUCAACAUCGAUCAAAUGCAUUUUGUAUGGCCUUCAAAGUAGAAAGUCUUGAUUCGAAGGCUUCGUAGCCUUUGUGAGACUUGAGCCAUAUAUCCUCCGGGAAUGGUACGGUAGAAAUUCCAUCAACAAAUCUCCCAGCUUCUUCUCGGAGUUUAACAAUGGCCUUCACCUUUGUUUCUGCUUUCUUGCUAAGCUGAUAGCGGGUCUUCAAAUUAGGACACAAGCCCAUGAGACAUCGUUUAUUUGUUGUCUUCUCAUCAUCAAUGAAUUUGGCUGCCUGCUCAAUGAUGAUGUUCGCACUAACCAGCCACUUCUCAACCUUCUCUUCAAUAUUUUCCCCUUUUCUUUCAGCCUCAGAAACCCUGUGCUGAAUGCUUCUCCUUUCAUCCUUGAGCUUGUCUAUUUCUGCCUUGAGUUUCUCAACGUUGGCUUUAUAGUUACGCAAAUAACCAAGUCGGCGUUCUGUUGAGGAGCCAAGCAUUUCACAAAUUCUAAAACAAUAGUAACAAUGCUUUCCACCAUCCUGGAUCCCUUUUCUUUUUUUUCGAAGUUUCUGACAAGAAAAUAAACAAUGAGCGAAACACAGAGAGAGUGAGGAGAAAAAGAAAAAGAAACGCAAAGAUGGACAGUUUAUCUGGUUGUGGAAGCGGAGAAAUGAAGAAAUCGUAAUAGCUGUUAUGGAUCUGCUGAGAAGAUGGAAACAAGGAAAAGGUUUCUAGUUCAACAACUGGAUUGCGAGCGGAGAGACUAAUUAACAAAGACUGGAGAUUACAACAAAGCAGAUGCCAAGAGAAAAGUUGAUCCAGUGAAAUUCAAGAAGUUGACAGCAAAAGGGAGCAAAGAUUAAUAACAAAACAGCAGUGACUACAAUGAACAAAAGCAUAUGCGUUUCUUGAUUGAGAAUGAGUGCAAAGAAUGAUCCUUAAUCAAUAAAAUAUCUAACAAUAUCUUCACCGAAAGUUUGAGACAUGUGAUCCUUAUUCCACUUCGUCAAUUACACUCCAGACCAAUGCUGCCGUCAUUAUCGAACGGUCGAUAUCCAACACUUGCACGAAGAUUCCAAGAAGUUGCGUGGCUGCCGACUUUUAGAUGCAAAGCCUCAUUGUGUCGAUGUUACACGAAAGAGAGCAGUCCGGGUAAUUGCCAAAACUUAGAACUAAACAGUAGCUUAGUCAGAAAAUCAAACGCCCAGUACCGGUAAAAUGACCGAUAAAAUAUAAAAAAAACAAAAAUUUUAAAGUUUUACUUCAUUGCUUUUUUAAUCUUAUUACUAUUUCUCCUUGCACUUCUAAAGAAACCAAAGCUUUAAAAGAAAUCAGCCAAAUCACGAAGAUUGAAAACUAAAUCUAUGGUUUUAGAUUUUUAUUUUAUUUUUUUAGAUAAUAGAUAUUGUUGAGUAAUGAAAAGUACCAGCUCAGCUAUCCCCGCUUCCCUCACCUUGGGGCGAAUCCCCAGAUGAAUGGCACAAGCAGAUUCCUGGUAAUACAUCCUGUACGGGGCAUAUGCCAACUAGAAACGAGUACCGACCAGAUGUACAUACCGACCAAGUACUCAUUAUUCAAAGAAAGAGGACACGAACUCAACAAACUCACGACAAUUUUGUUAUGCCCCCAAACCGUUGGGGAGAACAUGACGCCCCACGUUUACCCACGAUUCGGUGGUUGGAGACCCAUGAAGGUUUGUCAUCACCCGAAAAUGAGGGGCAUGAAUAAGACUCAGAAAACAGGGGAUGAUUGCCUAUAAAAGGCCAAGAAAUCGAUGAAAAAUGGGAGACACAAAUUGAGAGUAAAGGGGAAACUCUGUCAAAUUAUAAUCAGAAAUUCAUAUAUCCAAAUCCUUGAUACAUUUGGUAUUGAGAAUAUUGCAACUAAUAUGUACAACACAAAUCAUUCACUUUUCUCGUAAACACCUUGUACUAACUUAAGUAUCGAAGGGUUUAUGCCCAAAAAACCAUCGGCGUCUCUGAUUUGUUUCUGUGAACGCAGGCCUGGAAGGAAGAAGACGGGUGAUUUGGGUCCCAGAAGCUCGGGAAAUUGCUGAAGCUAAUGGAUCGCAGCCUCUGUUCCUUUGCCAAUACAAGCGUUGGUGAACCAAUCUGGUCGGUCCAAAGGCGACUAGAUUUCAGCAUCAACAGAUAUUAUUUUGAUGAAUUUUUUAAUAUUAGAAUAAUGUUAGGAAUUCCAAUAAUAAAAUUCUAACUUGAGACCCAAUUGUUAUGUGUUAUUUUUUUAUUGAAUAAUGAAUUUCACAACUAAUAAAAUUUAUAUUUCCAUCAUCUAAUAAAUGACUACCAUAUCAGUUGGGACUCAAUUAUUAGGAUCCUUAACAUUGCUCUUAGUAUUAAAUUGGACAUCUUAGCUAAAUCAGAUUAAAAAUCAAAUUAGUUUUUAAGCUUUUAUUCAACAUCUCUUUUUUUUUUUUUGUCUAUUGGAAGUGAACGAAAUAAAAAUACAACAGGGUCAACGACUGGGCAAUUGGUAGUCAAGUAGAAGCAAAUCAAGGCUAAAUGGGAAAGAGAAAUGAUAUUUGUGCAAAAUAAGGAGAAAAUCAGUGUAACAGAAGAGAAUCAAAGUGCUUUUGAGAUAAAAAAUUGAAACAAGAAAAGGGUCGCUUGAUCCAAUGAAAAUGCAAAGAGCUGAUGGCAAAAGGGAACAAAGUUAAAUAAGAAAACAGCUAGCGCUAGCAGCGACCACAAUAAACAGAAAAUUUGAGAUGGAUUUACAAUAUUUCUGCCUUUCUUUAUGCUUUAAAAAAUAUUGCUCUAUCAAAAAAAAUAUUGAACAUUUUUAUUAUUGGAGUCACAAAUGACCUACACAAUAUAGCAAGUGACUAGGAAUAAAUAAGAAUAUAUAACUCUCUCUAAUUCUCACUCUGGCUUUUAAUUGUCACUCAAAACCCAGAAUUCAUCCUUAAAGUGUAGGCAAAUCAAGGAUGACACCGUUUGGUUGUCAUACGUGCCUUUUAGUUUUCGGAUGACAUGGCGUACACUUCUUCUGUAAACCCAACAAGACAUGUCGUACUCUUUUGUUUUGAGAUUCUAUUUCAAACUUUUCAUGCUAUGAAUGAAAGAUAAACUCCAAUCAUCAAAAUAUUUAGUGUUUGUUUGGUAAUGUAAUGUCAUAGUUGUGAAUUGAAAUUAUUUCUAUAAAAUAAAAGGAUUUGGGUCAUUGUUUGUUAUUUUCUGACAACAUUUAUUAAAUAUUAAAAAAUAAAUUUAUAUUUAUUAGGUAUUAAAAAUAAAUAAACAAACAAAAAUAAAAGUAAAAGUUUAUACAUUACGUAAAAUAAUGACAAUAUCAAUAUUUCGCACUCUAUAAUUGAGUGAUGUGUUGUCCAACUGGCAUACAUUGGUCCCAAACGGAGACUUAAAUAUCAAAGUCCAAAGUUAUUAUGAUGAUGACUUAUAAUCGCCAAACUUGACAUACGGGUAAUCAUGCAUUAUAAGGUGCUAAUUUCUUCCGAUCGGAACCUUAUUUUUCAUUUACAAAUAAAUAAAUGAUGUGACUUCACGGUUGGCGGGGUCCUUUGUGUCAUUUGGGCAUUUCACUAAAUGAUUGAUUGUAGCAGGAAGAUUCCUGGAAGUUGCCAUUUGCCAAUGCUACUAACAUUUUCAAACUUGGAAAACCCUUCAAUCAAUCUUUUAGUGGUAGGCUCUGGUAACUUGGUUUGAUUAUGACGUAUAAUUAUUUGAUAAUAAAGUUAGAGGAUGUAUUAAUAUAAAAUUUGUUUAUUGGUGUUGAAGUUAAUUAUCUCAUUAAUAAUAGUAUAAAAAGUUAAUUACUAAGAAACACAUAGCAAUAGUUAAUUGGUGUCAUAUUAUUGGGAUUCUGGGAUAUAAUUUUAUAUCAUAACUUUGUAAGUGUAUACUUACUCAUCAAACUAAUAAAAUUAUUUAAAAAUUUCAGUUGGAAAAAAUAAAUUAUAUUAUUUUCAUUUCAAAUAAUCUAUAAGUUAACUCAAAACAUAAUCAAGCUGAGAAUUAAAAUAAUGCUACUGUAUGAGAGGAUUUUUAUUUUUUCCCGAAGUUUCACUAGGAAAUUAUUGAUACAUAGCUUUAUUCGGAUCAUCUCAGUUCAAACGACAAAUAAUUGAAAGACUAAGCUAAAUAGACCAGCCAACAACUUUGUACAAGAGAGUUCAAAAAUUAAGGUCAUGGUAUUAAGGUGUUCUAUCUUGAAAAGUAUAGAGUAGUAAUAAAAUAAAAACUAAUAGUUUUUGGUAAGAUAUGACAUUUAAAUAAUAAUUUUCACAAAAAUACAAGGAAUAUUUAUAAAUUACUUUUAUAGUGAGGGGACCCUCACUCUGUUAAAGUGAAAAUAUCAAUAAUAUACAAAAGACAUAUAUUUUAACACAUUAAAAAUUGUAUUUUUUUAUCUAUUGGUGUAUUGAAAUAUGUGUUAUUUAGUUUGUUAGUGAUAUCAUUACUUUGUUAAAAUGAGAAUGUCGUUACUAGAGAAUCAUUAUGUAUACAUAUAUAAAGUGCUUCUGUCCAAGACCUAGACUUUAUUAAAAUUUGAGAAAGCAAAUAUAUUUUAUAUGGUAUAAUAGUGUAAUAACAUCACACUAUUAUAUCAUAUAGAGUAAUAGUUUUUCGAACUUUAAUAAAAUUCAAGAUUAUAGAAUGAAUGAUUUUUAUAUAUUAUAAAUUUUUUUAUCAUAAAUGGAGGACAAAAUUAACAUAUUUUCAAAUUAUAAUAAGCAUUUAUCAAAUAAUUUAACAUUGCAAUUUCUCCUAACUAGUAUAGUAAAUAAUACGACCUAGGAGAUACAUUCAAAGCAUUUCAUAAGUUAGUUGUUAAUAAUAAAUUAUAUAUGCAGCUCCAAUCAUCAUUGUACGGUGAGUAAUUUCCAGUUAUAAAUAGAUAUUACUCCCUUCCCAGCAAUUUUUGAUGACUUAAUUUAGUGGGAUCAAAAUCAACAUUGAAUUUUUGACCAGCUGCCAACAACUUGUGAGCAGUUCACAGUGGGUACUGCACAUGAUGCCUGUUUCUCCUUUUGCAUCUAUUUUUGUUGUUAACAUUAAUUUCAAUAGCAGCUCGUUAAUCCCAUUUGUUGAUUUGGGACUAGAUAAGAAUUUAUCUUGGAACUCCAAUUCUCCAAUUAUUUUAGUUGACAAUAUAUUUAACAUUAUUAAUUGCAUAUUAUUUAAUUAUCAGUAUAUAAUAUUCUUUAAUUUUCUAAUUUUAUAGGAUUAGACACAAAAUUGAUUAUGCCUUUUGAAAUUUAAGGGUUAUGUCAAUUGAAUAGAAAACUUGGAGGUAAACUUGUGGAUGUUUUUGUUGAUUAUCAAUUUAUGCAUGAAUUUUUGUACGUUUACUUUGGUUUAUAAUUAUUACUUUUAAACAUUUUUAUUGGUUUGAUUUAGGGUCAAUUUGGUAAUCCUGUAGCUUUAAAAUAAUUACAAUUAGCUAUGCUGUAGAAAUGAUCAAUCGUCAAGAGAAUCAGCUGAGCAUUUAGUAAAAUUUAUUUUUAAAAGUACUUUUAGUUUUAAAAGCGUUGUAUGAAUAAAACUGUUACACUAAAAAAUUAAAUGUAUUGCCCACUUGGGUAAAUAAAGCUAUAUAUUACAACUGUUACACUAAAAUUAAAUGUAUCUUAAACCCAAACUUCUUCUUCUUCUUUUUUGACUAACAAAAUUAAAAACAAUAGUGAACACAUUCUUUAAUAAACAAUAAGUAAUAAAUAAAAUCGUGUUAAAUUUCUUAAAAACUUUCUUUCACGGUUUGCUAAAUAUUUUUAUUAGUAUUUUAAAUAAAUAAAAAUAGUUGAUUUUAAUUUUUUUAAAUAAACUUAUUAGGUUUCAUGUAAAGAUGUUUUUGUUAUUUUAAAAAGUGUAGAAAGUACUCCUAAAAAAAAGCGUAGAAAGUAAAACUUAAUUUUUUAAAUUUAUUAGCUGAGUGCAUAAAUAAUUGAGUGUUCAUAAUGAUUUUUAAAGUAUAGAUAGUCGGACCCUAAUAUUUUUAAUAAAUGGAAAUUUUGCUAAUAUGUUAAUGAGAAUUAAAAAGAUAAUUAAGGGAGGCAAUCGAGACAUUCAGGAUAGUUAGGAUGGGACAUGAUUGUGAGCGGUUAGAUAUUGGUCCUAAUUUUGAUCACAAAUAUAUAAACAGGACGAGUUUAUCUCUACUUACAUUCCAUUUGAUAAUUAAGAUGAGAGUGGAAUUGUCAAAUCCCAAAUCAUCCCGGACCACUGCCACCAAGGGUACUCUCACUAAUAAUAUCUAAAGAAAAAUCUACAUCUAUUUCAUACUUUUUUUAAUGGAAAGAGCCCUCAUGGGGCUUGAAAUGGUAUCCUAAAUAAUAUUGAGAAUAUCAGGUCAUGAUUGGGUUUGUGACAAACAAAUACUACAUAGUUGGGAUACGUAGUUAUAAUGUCCCAAUUUAUGUAGUAUCUAUCAUUUAGCGCACAUAUAAAAUAUUAAUCAGCUUAAUUAAUUUAUAAAAUUUAAAUCUAAUUAAUAAGUGAUACAUAAAUGCCAAGUGCAAUACUGUAUAUGCAAAUCAUGUUUGUGGAUCAUUACAAAAUUGGCUCUUGAAAACAAGCAAGAAAGCUUAAUUAAGAACUUAAAACAAAAGAAUUAGAUUGAGAACAGUCAAGCCUUAUUUUUUCAAGGAUGGAGCUUAUAAAUCUUCAAGUACCAACAUACGCUUGGCCCAAUUGUUGUUAUUAAAAUUUCAAUAUACAUAUAUAAGUAUGAUAUAGCAAAAAUUUGAUGGUACAUAUGUCGGAAUAUACUAGUUCAUGGGUGCAUUUGAUUAUUGUUUCCAUAAAUUUGAACCAGGAAGGACGACACGAUAAAAAUUUGAUUUAUGGUAUGGUUGAUUUCAUAGCUCAUGCACUCAUUUCUUAAGAUAAUCAAAUUUUCUCUGACAUCUUUUUCAACUGUCGAAAUAUCAAUUAUGAUCAAUCAAAACGAUUUCAAAACCUUUCAACGAGACAUAUUUCUAAUACAAUAUUGUGAAAAUUACACUAAAAAAUAAUUUAUUAUAUAUUAUUAUCCAACGAGCACACAAAAAUGAUUUCGUACAAAUCUAAAAUACUAAGCAAUUUUCAAAUAGAAUUUACCAUGUACUACAAGAAAAUAGGGUAUAUGUGACCCCUACUGUGAAUGCAAAAGCAGCCAUUACGCAUAACCCCGAGUUGCUUUUGUUACCCUUUAUGUGACGGCCACACUGCUGUCACAUAUGUUACGACCGCGUGACGGUGAAGAGCCGUUCGGUAUACUAAUAUUUUAGAAUUUUAAAUUUAUUUCCAGUUAGAAAACUAUUCGCUGGACUCCGUGUUGCUGGCCACCAUCGUAAACAUAACUGGUUGCCAGCGAACGGCGUAAAACGCCGGCCAUCUUCUUCUUCAACGUAUUCUCCCUUCAUCUUUGAGGUAAGCUUGUGAUUAUGAGUUUCUUCUCUUACUUAGCUUGUAAUUAUAGAUUUUGAUUUUUUUUAAUUCGUAUUGUAGCCGUUAUUGUCAAUUUUUGUCCCGCCAGCAAUAUUUUUUUAUUCCUACAAGUUGAAACCCCUGUGUUCUUGUUCCAUUGGUGAGUUUGCUCACUCAAAUUAAUUUUGUUCUGCGGAAUUUACAAAGUUCAAAUGGAUUCAUUUGAAUUACUAUUGAAUUUAGCUUUAAUUCCAACAUCCAUUCUAAUGUUUUGCAAUUAGAUUUAAUUUAAUUUUAUGUUUAAAGCUUCUACAAUGAAUAGCGGAGCUUGGGUUUUAGUUUCAUUUUCUGGAUAACUUGUUUUUAGUUUAUCUUGUAUGCUCACCAAAUGCUUGUUAUAUUGUCUGAUAAGUUAUAUACAUUGCUGAUUCUACAUUAAUAAUGUUACGUUGUAUUUUCAGAAAUUAUAAUACAAAAGUUUUUUGCAAUGGCGUGCAUCUACAAACUGAAUUGACUUGUAGAAUAAGAGCUCGGAGUAGUGUUAUGUUCUUGAAUAAUUGAAAGUUCAUAUUGUGUAAGAGCAUUGUAGAUGUAAAGCAUCAUUACCAUUUCUACAAAGUGCUUUCAUUCUGUUCAUAUGCUCUUCUUGAACUUUGAAAGGUGCCUCGUUCAAGUCCUAGCUAUAACUACUAGCUUUGAUUAAUUAAGUUCCUAUACUAGCUGAAACAGAUUUAUUUAAUUAAUUAAUUGUGUAUGUACUAAUUAUAUUGAAAGUAUAUGAAUUUUUUUUUUAACAUGAAUGACUUCUAAAUGACUUAAAAACCUAAAGGGAUGUGUGAAACAAUGCUCAUUUCAUUUGAAUGAGCCCAUUAAUACUUUUAUGUCUAUGAUUUUCAAUAUUGGCUAAAGCAUUUCAGUUAAGUGGUUUACCUAACAGAGAAAAAAAUUUAAUAGAAAACUUCAGAGUUUCUAACAGAAAUAUAGUUCACUAUGCAGAUAUAGUUAUUUUACGGUAUACAAAUCAAGUUGUCCUAAUCUCAAUGUCCUAUGACCGAUUUUAUUUUAUAUAGUCAUUAAUUUUUUUCCUUGGUUUUUUGUGUUUAUGAGUAUGAAAUAGUGGGAUUUGGUGUACCUUAGCAUCUUUUGAAAAUUCUCUUUCAGUGUGGCCAACAGAAAUAUACAUAUAAUCAAGUUCUUAAUCGUGUAUAUUAGUUUUGGGUAUGAAUGUUCUAUUCUAGUUCGAGGCAAAGCUUCUUCGUUUUUGGUCUUCAGAUUUCCAGUAGGUUAAGUUAAUCAACUAUCAUAACUGGCUAGCUAGUUAUUGUCUGCCUUGGCGCCAUUACCAGGCCAUUAUAUUGCAUAGCAUAAGGAAUAGUGAUUAGGGGAUUAUUAGUGAUUUGUUGAGCUUAUUAUCGACCAAACAAACAUAUUCGCCUUUGCCCACAACUUAGUUUGAUUAGUUAUUAGACCAUAAAGAGCCUUGAUCUAUUCAUUGGCUUUAUUAUUUUUAUUUGGUUUUUCUUUCAACAAUAUUGUUGAUUUCUUAUAAAAAUAUUCAUUGGUUUUUAAACACCUAAUCAUUGGCUAUAUGAAGCUAAUUAAAACUGAGGCUUUGGAUCAAUUUCUUCUAACAAGAUACAAAUGAGCAUUAACCUAUCUCCUAUGAGUAAAUUUUUUUAAUAUCCUUGAUUUGUAAGGAUCUGGAGGCCUGAAAUCCUCUAGAUUUUUUUUAACACUGUCAAUGUUCUUUUAUUUCUGAGAAGGAAAUAAAAGGUUUUAUCUUUCAUACCCAAAUAGUAAGCUGGCCUUGUCUUAACAUGGCCUCCGAGGACUUGCAAGAUUCAUAGUGCCCCCACCCCAAAAAAAUAAAAAUAAAAAAACACAAAUAGGAAGAUUUUGCAAGAUUCACCACCAGGUUUUUUUUAAUUUGUUAAUUGUGUGUACGUGCUAGUUAUAUGUUGAAAGAAUAGGAAAGAAGUAUUUCAACAUGAAUGACUUAAAACUUAUUGCUCAGUAAACAUAAUCUGCAUGUAUUUAUCGUUUGUAUUUUUUAUGGUUUUGCUAAAGAAAUGAUAUGUGAAAUAAUGCUACAUUUGCAUCAGGAAUAAAUUGAAGAGAUUUAUGAUAUUUAUGUGUUAUUCAAAUUUCAGAUUCAAUUUUAAACUUUUGAUACGUGCAUUGAAAGCUUAGACUUGUUUAAGAAAUUAUUAAUAGACACAUGUUUUUAUUAGUGUCAUCUUUGGAUGAUAGUGAGGAUCAUAUGUCUAUUAAUAAUUCUUGAAUUGUCCAGGCUUGGACAGUUUGGGAAUGCAUAGUUCACUCUGGUAGCUAGUAGCUGAAGUUUUUUCCCACGUAAAAAUGGGUUUUUCAGUAGCUGCUCCUCGUGUUCUCUGGGUACGUACUAGGUGAAUGGGUGUCAUGUGUUGUUUUGGCAUAACGCAUAAACACUUAUAUAGCUAUGUCGUGUGCUUGGAGAAUUAUAGGGAGAUGGUGCCGAAAUUUUUAUAAACGUGGAAGAAAACUUUAGGUACUUGAGAUUGAAGAAACUUAUGCAUUCUUGAGUGGGAUAUGUAGGAUUACUUACCUUUUGUAAAUAUGAAGGGAAUGUUGGAUAUAUUGGGGAUAGUGUAGGAGCUGAGUUGGAUGAAUGUAAUUGGUGAUGAUUUUUGCUGAGCUGACCUUGGUUUUGAGCUUGUAAUUUUGUUUGUAAAUGGAGUGCUAUCUCCAAUGUUGGUUUAUAAAUAUGUUUCAGGACUUGCUGACCUAAUUUUUUGUUUCUAGGUUACAGGCUUUAUAUAUCUGUAAUUGAUGGCGAAGUGAAGUUCCCAGAACUUGGCGAGGAUGUUUCUUUACAGAAGGUAUUGGAAACUGUUUUUUACAUUAAUUAUUGUUGUAUAUAUACUUUGAUUUUCACAUCUUUUUCU